UAAUACAAAAUUAAGGUUCUAAUUUUUUAAAUGCUUCUCAAUUAAUAUAUAGGGGAUAUAUCAAGACUUUUAUUAUGCCUAACACAUUCUAGUGGCUUACGUUAGCAAGCCAUGUACAUACUUGGGGUAUAGUUGAAACUUAUGUUAGCCAUCAGACUUGUAUAUUAGUUUUUUUUUUUGUUUGUCAACUAUGCUUUUCAUAAAAGCUUUAAGGGCUUUUAAGCCCAAUCACAAUCAGUUCAACCAUCCAAAUAAGAGUUCAACUCAGACACUGCCCCACUAAAAGAUAAGAUCUACACGUGUUUAUCAAGAAAAUAAAUUAAAAAUAUGCUUGACACGUGUUUGUCGAAGGUGCAGGACGAUUCUGGAAACAGAGGAAGCAUCGACGGUGUCGCCGGAAUCUUUGCCGGAUCGAAAACCGUGAACUUUAAUCUCUGAUUAGUUGAACUGGUUGACCGCUCCGCCUUUCCAGAUCGCCGCUGAUCUUCUUCAGGUUCCUCAUCGUUGCGCAAGUGUUAAGUCCAGUGAAAGCUUCUAGGAGAUAAACACAAGAGUCUUGCCAGAAUAUUUCAUGAGGAGAAACUCCGGCUUAUCUGAAUCUGCAUCUUCUCUCCUUCGCAAAAUCAAACAUCUCAAUCUUUGGAUACUCCGCUAUGUUUCAUUUAUGCGAAGAUUGAUUCCUUGCUGUAUAAUUGAUCAAGCAUAACUCACAAAAAACCCUCCAAAGACAAACGGAAUAAUCAAUAGGACAGGAAAGGAAAAACGGAUUUAAAACAAAAAAAUUAACAUAACAAAAGGUCCCCUAGGGAAAUUCAGAUCCGCUAACGGAAAACAAGAGUCGCCAAGCGAAGAUAGAUGUAAUAUGAUACACAAACAUAUGUUACAGAGGCAAAAAAACAAAAUGGGUGGUGACCGGCGGCGAGGUGCUCACCGGCCACCGGAGGACAGCUUUGUUUAAUGUGUUUCUAGAGAGAAGUUGGAGAAAAUAACAAGAGAGAGAAGUGUAGGAGGGUGGUUUUAAAAUAUUUUACUCAUUAUUCAAAUUCUCAUUAGGGAAUUUGCGACUUGUAUAUUAGUAUCCCUUAUAUAUUAAAGAAGAAGCAUUGUAAUAAAUGCAUUCACACUAUAAUAGACACGUGGCAGCCUCACGAUGAUUUGAUAAUAAAUAUGUUAAUGCGUUCAUACUAUAUUUAUAAAUGUGUUCACACUAUAUAUUUUAUAUUUUUAAUAUAAAACUCAUAUGCAUGAUUCCAAUAAAACUUUAGAUUUUUUCGUUUCGAAUCAAAACAAAUAACGAAUCAAAAUCUAAACUAUAUAUAUAUUAUUUUUAUUGUUUACGGAUAAAGUCAGGUAAAAUAUUUCUAAAUUUUGAUUCCAUUCGUUAUCCGUUUUGAUUUGAACCAAAAAAUAUGGAUAUCUGUAACUCUACGAAGCAAAUCAGUUACUAAAAUAUAAUUAAAAAAAAUCACAAAUUCCAAUAUUUUUAGGAACGGAUAUCAAAUUUGAUAUGUUAUAUGCAUAUAUAUACAUAUAUGUACAGAUAUAUAUAUAUGUUAUAUAUAUUAUAGUUUAUAUAAGUUUACAAUAUUUUAUGAAUUAAAUUUAUUAUAAUAGGUAUUAAAGUUUAAAAAGUUAAAUAAUAUUUUAUUUUGUAAUAAAAUGUUAUUAUUAAAUUUUUCAAUUAUUUUAUAAAUUUUAUUUUAUUUACAGAUCAAAUAGGAUAUUCUUUAAAAUUCUAAAUCAUUUCGGUUAUCAGAGUCACUGACUAUCUAGGUGGCUAAAGAUUGAAUCAACUUGAAUGCCUCCAAAUACCCAGAUAUUUGAUCUGUGCCCACCUCUAUUUACGGAUACAAUUGAUUUUUCUUUAUAUGAAAACAAUUCACUAAUGUCAAGGCCUUUUUAAUUUUUAAUUAAUUUUAAUUUUAUCUUUCAUGUAUUAUUUAGAACAAAAAUGUCAUUUAAUAUUAAUUAACAAUAUCUUUAUAUAUUUGUCAUUUAUUCUUAUAUACUUUUACAUACAAAUACAUGUGCACCUUAAUGUGAGCACUUUAUAAGUAUUUACCACCACUAAAGUAUCUAUUUUUUUUUUAGAAGUUAAAAUAUUUUUUUCUUAAUGCUUCUUUCACUACCGACCAAAUUGUAGUGAAAUGAGUUGUUUUAAUAAUUUUCUUUUCUUUUUCUUGAACUAUUAUCCGCUUACAAACUAUGAUAUGAAACCAUUGGUUCGACAUGAAGAUUAUCUAAAAUUUAUAACAUGAAAAUAAACAAAUAAUAGUAAUUUUUGGUUUUUACCAAAAAAAACUAAAAAAUCAAACAUUCUAACAGAACAAACCAAAAUAAAUAUUAAUUUAAAAUAAUGGUUAUAUUUUAGGAGAUUAAAAACCAAAAAAUAACUUAAAACCGAACCGAUAUCCAGAUUAAACAAAUUUAGUGUGUUUUUAUUAAAAAUAACAAAACUAAUAAUCAUAUUCCGCGCAAGGCGCGGAUUAUUACCUAGUAUACAUGAAAAGACUUGAACCAAAGGCGAUUUUAUUUAAUUACAAAUGAUUUUAAGACUUUUGAGUAAAAUUCAAAUUCAGUGACUAUGAAUCUAGGCAGUUAUAAUUUAGAUCAAUCAUUAAUUAAAAUGAAUAGAUUACUUAAUAUGUGCAAAGAUUUUAAUAUCAACUAAUAAUCUAUGAACUAACUUGCAUACCAUUGGAGUAAAAGAUAAGUGAUGGAGAGAAAAGAGAUUCUAAAUGAAAUAGUACGAAAAAAAAAAUCUUUUUUCCUUUUCUCCCUAGUAAAGGUGAUUUUCUGUAUUUUUGUGACCCACUUUAAUUUCCUUAAUUAUCUCUUUUGAAACAUCUCCGGUUUGAAUCGUAAUCAAUUACGCGACCCUUGGCUUCGAUUCUUCUUUUGGAAACUCAAUUUUCAGUUGCCUUUUCCUUUCUCUAGUAUCUUCUCAAUCUUCACAAUUUUUCUUUUUCCUGAAAAUAAUUCCUUCUUUCAAUUUCAAUCUCUCCAAGUAUUUCCUUUUCUAAUGAUUUUACAGAUGAUUGUAGCGGAAUUUUGCGUGAUUAAAAGCUGUUACUCAUCAAUUAUUGAAGAUUUGCUGCCUCAAAAUUUGCCUCUACGUCGUCUCUUCAUUGCUUUCGGCGACUGUAACUUUCUUAAUAUGGUUGAUAUUCUGCAAAAAGCUAUCGGUGCAAUGUCUUUGGAAGAAGAGGAACCGCUGGUGCUUCCCGAUAGUCUGCAGUUUAGGGUUUUCGAUGAGAACGCUACAAGCCUAUUGGGGCGUCUCCUGAACCCGGAUUGUUAGUCUAUGUGUCGUAUGAUUGAGUACAUGCCAGCGGCGUGGCGAAUGGAGGGCAGAGUUCGGGGAAUCGCAUUCCAGUUCGUGUUUCAACGUGAGGAAGAUCUGGAAACUGUUCUCAAGGACAGACCAUGGUCCUAAAACCAUUGGGCUAUGGCGAUGGAAAAGUGGACAGAGCAUCCCCUGGAGGACUUCUUACAGAAUAUGCUGAUCUGGAUUCGUAUCAGGCACAUCCCGGUGAAUUAUUUCACCACCAAGACGAUGUUCAAGUUAGCUGAAUAAUUUGGGAAAGUAGAAGAAAUUGCAUACGACCCCAAAAUCUCUCACGCCAAAGAAUAUAUAAGGGCGCUAAUCUGCUUCAAUGUUGCUAACCCUUUGAAGGCUUCUCGCAAGUUGAGUACUCCGGGGGAGAUAGUGAACAUUGAAUAUGAGUACGAGAAAAUCGAUAAGAGAUGCGUUCACUGUCUUCGACUGAAGCAUGAAAAGGUGAGGUGUCCUUUGUUGAGAAGAGGUAGCUCUUCUGGCCCGAAGAUAGCUCCUGCUCAGUCCUCGGAAAUAAGACAAAAUGUUGAAGAUCCUGAGAGGCUUCAGAAUCGUAGGAACCCUUGGGAAGGCCCUCCUGGAUUUCCUCCCCUUUUCCCGGAACUGUCCAAACAGGACAACAUCAUGGCUCUUCAGUAUAUCUCUCACGCUGAUGAAACAGAGAGGAUGGCCAGAAUCCAGAGAGUGAGGCAAGGUAUUGAAGAUAAUAGGAACACAACUUCAGUCUGGAUGAUGAGGGUAACAGGAGAUGUGGACAAAGGAAAAGUUCAUGUCUUCAAUUAUCUUGAGCCUCGAACUCGGAGCCGUCUUGAUAUUCAGUUGGAAGGUGGAGAGCAAUCUGGUUCUCAUAAAGAGCAACUUGUAGAUAAAAAGGCUGAGUCGUCCUAUACUCAUGUUUCAAUAGCUUCUGCUCCUGGUCGGGUCUCAACGGGUUUUCAUCUAGGCCCUUCCUCGGAGGGACGAGUCUCCGAAAAUCAGAACCAUGGAAAAUCGCAGAGGAGAUGGCCCGAAAAGCAAGAUGUCAGGAAAAACUUCCACUUUACCAUCUCACCAAGAACAUCGAGCAUCUUCUGCUUCUCAAGGAAACAUGAAGAGGAAGUCAUCUCUUCCACUAUUGGCUACGGACAACAAAACUACAAAAACUUUGAACCCUACAGUGGUUUCCGUAUUGAAGCCGCUGCCUCCCCAAUGAGUGUUAUGUGCUGGAACUAUCAAGGAGUAGGAAGCGACGAGACAGUUCAACAUCUCAGGGGACUUCGUAGGAGUUUCUACCCGGAUUUUAUUUUUCUAAUGGAAACGAAGGAAAAGGAUGGUUAUAUGGUGGGGGUUCAAAACAUUUUAGGGUAUGAUAAAAUGAUUUCGGUGGAGCCUCUAGGUUUGAGUGGAGGCUUGGCUUUGAUGUGAAAGUCUAACUAUGAGGUGGUUGUGCUAAGCUGUGACAAAAGAAUUAUUGAUGUGAAGGUUACUUUGGGCUCGGUCUCCUUCUUUCUAACACGCAGAUCUUAACCCCAUGAAUAGGAUAUCCCGUUUGAAGUCUGCCCUGGAGCGUGAAAUAUCUAAAGUCUUCCCUUCUUUUCAGGUGAUGGGGAAGUUGAAGAAGGAACUAGCUUUAGCUUACAAAGAUGAGAAAACCUUCUGAAGGCAUAAAUGUAGGAAAAAAUGGCUGCGUUCGGGUGAUAGAAAUACUAAAUUCUUCCAUAACUGCGUGAAGGGGAAGAGGCAUCAAAACAGAAUCUUGAUGCUGCUGGAUGAACUGGGUAGGGAACACUUCUCAGAAGGUUCAAAAGGUGACAUCGCUGUGAACUACUUCAGAGAGCUUUUCAUGAGCUCUAAUCCUCACGACUUGGAGUCCUUGUUCUCUGGUUUCCAGCCACGAAUGACUACGGCAAUGAAUACCUUAUUGAUAGCGCCUGUCUCAGAAGAUGAAGUCAAGAGAACAGCCUUCUGUGUCAAAGGCAGUAGUGCUCCAGGAGAAGAUGGGCUCACAGGGGUCUUCUACCAGCGUUUCUGGAAUAUUGUUGGACCCUCAUUAACAUCAGAGAUUUAGAGAUUCUUUGUUAGAGCUAUUCUCUCGUACGGCUGGAACCACACACAGCUCAGCCUGAUUCCAAAGAUUCCUAACCCAAUCAGGAUGUCUGAUAUGCGACCUAUCAGUUUGUGCUCAGUACAAUAUAAGAUUAUUUCGAAGAUCCUCUGCAACAGACUGAAACUCAUCCUUCUGGAGAUCAUCUCAGAGACACAGGGAGCUUUUGUGGAGGGAAGGCUUAUCUCUGAUAAUAUUUUGAUAGCUCAUGAGUUGGUUCAUGGACUUAAGGUGAAUGAUCGAGUCUCUGAUGGGUUUAUGGCGGUAAAGACAUGUCCAAGACAUAUGAUCGAGUUGAAUGGAAUUUCUUGAAGAUUCUAAUGGAAAAGAUGGGUUUUGAUCAUGUGUGGAUUAAAUGGAUAAUGGCGUGUGUGGGCUCUGUUUCCUUCUCAAUCCUCAUGAAUGGGAACAAACAUGGUUUUAUCAAGCCAGAAAGAAGGAUAAGGCAGGGUGAUCCCCUAUCCUUAUUCCUCUUUAUUUUAUGUGCAGAAGCCUUGGUGAGCUGUCUGAAUGAGGCAGAGAGUGCUGGUAGGCUACAUGGGAUCAAACUGGCUGGUUCUGGUCCGGCUGUUCAUCAUUUGUUAUUCGCAGAUGAUAGUUUAUUAAUGUGCAUAGCAUCAACUUUGGAACCAGCUGAGCUCAUGUCCUGUCUCAGCCGUUAUAGUAAAGCCUCAAGACAGAUUAUCAACCCGGCUAAGUCCUCUGUAAUCUUUGGUGUGAAGGUACCAGAAGACAUCAAAAAUGAAGUGAAGCAGGUGCUUGGAAUUGAUGCAGAAGGAGGGGAGGGUUUUUAUCUUGGUCUUCUUGAAUGUCUAAGUGGCUCCAAACGGAAACUUCUCAGCUUUAUAAGAGAAAAAUUACAAGGAAGACUUCAUGGAUGGUUCUCUAAAUCUCUUUCCCAGGGCGGCAAGGAGAUUCUCCUCAACUCUGUGGGUCUAGCUUUACCGGUAUUUACAAUGUCGUGCUUUAAACUCCAUAAAGAUGUAUGUGUGAAACUCACGAGGUGCUAUGGUUAAGUUUUGGUGGAGCAGUGGAAACAAUCGCAGAAAUAUUUCAUGGGUGGCGUGGAAGAAACUUGGUAAACCUAAGGAAGAAGGUGGUUUGGGCUUCCAUGAUCUUGAGUUGUUUAACCAGGCCCUCUUAGGCAAACAAGCGUGGUGUAUCUGGGAUAAACCGAACUCCCUCCUGGCGCAGGUUCUGAAACAUCGCUAUUUUGCUACGUCUGAGUUUUUAGAGUUUGGAGUUGGCACAUGUCCUUCAUAUGGUUGGCGGAGCAUAUUGCAUGGUCGGGAACUUCUCAAGAAAGGUCUCCAGCAAGUCAUUGGGAAUGGACUAUCAACUAACGUUUGGUCAGAUAACUUGCUCUUGGAAGAUAUUCCUCGACCUCCUAGAUACCAACAGGAUGCUCUCGUAGAUCUUACUAUGGAGGUUAGAGAGCUCAUUGAUGUCCCCUCUCACUCCUGGAAUAGAGACCAUGUACGUCAGUUCAUUCAUGAAGAUGAUGUUGAAUUGGUGUUACAAACCAAGUUUUCCUUAAAAAAAUGACCACUCUAUGGUGUGGGCUCUCUCAGCUAAUGCAAGCUACAACACUCGAAGUGGCUACAAACUGUUGGAAACUCUUCAGGAUAGACAGGCUAAUCAGACCUCGCAACUUCCUCCGCUCGAAAGACAGCUCUGGAAAAACCUCUGGAAAACUAAAGCUCCCCCAAAACUGAAACAUUUUAUGUGGAGGGCCUUAUCAAAAGCACUCUCAGUACGUCAACGUCUCAGCACUCGGGGCAUAGCAUUGAAUAUGACAUGUACGAGAUGUGGUAUGCACGAGGAGAGUAUAUGUCAUGUUCUUUUCCAUUGUAAAUCAUCUCGAGAAACUUGGCAGCGAUCAGGCCUUCCUCUUCCUUCUGGGGGUUUCUCUCGCAGUUUGGUUUUCCUCAACUUUAUCAUUUAAUAGUAGAGAGCCGGAAACAUAACACUUUUGUGGAGACUAGAAGAAGGUUUAUAUGGAUCCACUGGCAGAUUUGGAAAGCUAAGAAUGCUUUCUGUUUUGAGAACACGAGGGCUGAGGCAGAGGUGAUUUUCACUAAGGCAGAAGAAGAUGCCUCUAGUUGGUUCCAUGCUAAGACUGAGCAGGCUGGUGAUCUGAGUGGCCCUUGAGGAGCACCUGUUGCGGUGGAAAAGUGGAGAUCUCCCCCCUGCAACAUGGUAAAAUGAAAUGUGGGUGCUUCAUGGGAUGGAGAUGCAAUGAUCAGUGGAGCUUCUUGGAUUACUCGAGACUCUCAAGGUCAACCGGUAUCUCACAGUAGACGUUCGUACUCAGGGGUAAGAUCGUUACUAGAAGCUGAGCUUUUGGCACUGUUCUGGACUGUUGAUUCGAUGAAGCACCUCCAGUUGAAUAGGGUGAUCCUGGAGGUCUCCUCUAAAGAAGUGUAUGAGCUAAUCACCAACUCUAUAAGGAUGCCUAGGUACAGGCAGGUGCUUAACAACAUACGUGAUAUCUUGUAUAAUGCAGGUAACUACCAUAUCAUAUGUGUUCAUCAUACUUUAAAUAGGGUUUCUUCUGAAAUUGCAACAAGUAUGAUAAGAGAUCUUCGCCUUCAAUCCUAUGUGGCGUCCGGAGGUCCUAGUUGGCUGAUUUCUCUCAUCUCUUCGGAGGCUGUAACAUCCGGUUAGGACCAGUGGACUUAACUCCUCUUGUGGUCGGGCCGUUUGCCUUGCAGCAGGCUCCUUCUUGGAGUUAUUAUAUUUCUAUGUUUUACCCAUUGUUUUGAGUUUUCUUUAAGCUCACCUAUUGGUGUUUACUCAGUUCUGUUAUUGUUUUUUGCUACUUGACCUUUUGGUCAAACAAUAUGGGUGCAUCCCUUUGAAUGAUUAUUUGACAAAAAAAAAUGGAAUAGUACUUGCCAUAUGUGAUACUGAAUGAAAUAGUACUACAUGGAAUAGUAGUACAUCAUAUGUGAUGUUGACGCACCCACUAGUCGGUUUAGAAUUGGUCGGAAGUCAAUUUUGUGAUACUGAAUUUGGAGGGUCUUUAAAAAAAAAACUCAACUCAGGUCCCGCACCAAUGGAAGUCUUCAAUACUUAGAGUCGAUCCAGUUUAGUUUUAAUUUGAUUAAAAAGAAUUCGGACAUUGUGAAUGAUCGAAGCAAUAGAAUUACAAACUGUCAAAUAUAUAGUAGCAAUUUACAAAUUCCAGUUUUACAUAGUAUCUGUAUGUUAUCAGUUUCAUAUACAACAUAUAUAGAAAGUUAAAUGCUUACUAAAAUUCUAUGUAUGGCAUAAUUCUAACUUUUUCUUUGAGAACAACAUAAUUCUAACUUUACAAGGCAUGGAACUAAAUGUUGUGGAAAAAGUGGGUGUAGAUCAAAGCAUUAGAGAGAAAAUCAUAUGAACUAAGUUAAGAUCCGCGCUUUGCGUGAGAUAAAUAUUAUAUAAAUUAGUUUUACGUAUUAUAUGUUCUUUUACAUAUUAUUAAAUAAUACAUAUAUAUAUAUUGAUAAUUAAAAACUCAGUAAAUAUUAUGUAUAUGAUUAAAUUGGUGCAAACACAUAAAUAAAUUUUAAUAAUUCAAACAAACACUUUUUCUAUUUUAUAUGAUAUAAAAUUAAGUUUUAAUGAUAAUAACAUAGAUAUAUAGCACAUUUUUAAUAUUGAUAUCUGUUAAAUAAUAUUAUAUACUCAUAUUAUUUUUUGAUCAUUUGUAUUUUCUGUAACAAAAUUUUUGAACCACCGAUAACAAUUUUUGUUUUGUGGGAUGUUUAAUAGUUUUAGUCAUUUAUAAUUUUAAAAACAUUAUGAAAAGUUUUAAAACUAAAUAUUAAGUUGUCAAUAUUUGUUCAAAAUUUUUAUCAAACAAAAAAUCAAAGCAAAUUUCAAAAUUAAAAUACAUAUGUAUUUCUAUAUGGUACAUAAUUUAUUUUAAACAAUAUUAAUAUAUUAAUAUUUAUUAAAUGAGAAAAAUAUAAAUGAUGAAAAAUUUAUUAUGAGAUUUUUGACAACUUUAGUCAUUUAUAUUUGAAAAUUCAAAAUAUAACAUAUACAGAAAAAUCUAAAAUUUUACUAUAUAGUUAAUGUGGUUGUUUAAUUUAUUUUAAUAUGUUAAAUUUAAAAAAUGAUAGAGAAUAGACUAUUUUUUAUCAAAUCUUUAUUAUUCAAAAUUAUUAAUUGUCAUAUAUACUUUAGCCACAUUUGAUAAUUUCGUUAUUUUUAUUUAAAGAAACAUUGAAGAACAUUAAUAAUCAAUUUAUGAUUAGUUUAAUAAAACUUAUUAUAUAUUUAGAUGGACCAACAUAUUGUUCUAAGGAUUCUAAGAAUGAUUGUGGUGAUGACACGUGGCUAUAAAAAAUGUUAUAAUGCUUCUCUUUUAAUAUAAAGGGGACGGUAAUGAGAAAUAAACAUAUAGUUAACUUGAAAGCCUCUUUUUUUUUGGACAACCACUUGAAAGCCUUUUAAAGAAAAAAAAAACAUAAAACUUGAAAACACGAUAAGAGAAAAAAUAUGCGGUGUAUCCUUCUAUCUGCAUAACAAUUUCGUGUGACGUUUCUCUUAGUGCUAGUGACGUUUCUCUUAGUGCAAUUGGCAAUUUGGCACAAUCAUCUGAUUUUUCAACAUUCAGUCAAUGUUGGCUCACCAUCGUUUGAAUAAAAUUGAAACUAUGAUUAUGUUCAUUUUUUUUUUAUGUUCAUUUUUUCCGGGAGAAAUUUUUUCCAAUCCGAAAAGAGUUUAUAAAUAUUUGUGCUAGAUUAAAUUAUGACUGAUUUUUCCGCUAUCAUAUGCAACCGCAGCUUUUGCGGUUGAUAUCGACUGUUGGCGUUUUCUAACAAUUACUCAAACUAUUUUAGACCACUUCAAACCGUUCUAAACCUCUUAAAUUCAAAAGCUGAUUCCAGUUUGCGGUUGUGAGAGGGUACAUUUUUUUUCUUUUUUUACAAAACUAAAAAUAUUCAAUAAAAAAAUUAAAUUAGAAUUGUGAAAAUACUAAAAUAUAUAUGUUAUAUUUUAAUUAUUAUUAUAAAAUUUUAAAAUAAAAAUAUUUUCUAUAAUUUUUAAAAAUUUAACAUUAAAAAUUUCUAAAUAUAAUUUUAAUGUUUAUUAUAAUAUUAUAAUUUUUGACAUUUUUAUAAUUUUAUAAAAUAUAAAUAUGGUUAAUUUAUUAUUUAACUCCAGCUGCAUUUGAUAGUUGACCAGUCAUAAGUAUCCCAUAAACGCACAAAUUUCUAACUGCAUACCAGACGAUAAUCGAUCGACACACCUUCUGUGUUGUCGAUCGACAGUGAAGCGCGCAAAGCCCAGAUUUGGUUCCAGUCGACUUUAAGCCCAAGUCCCAUAAGAAUUACCAGAUUACUCUUGACGAGUUUAACCUAAUAUUUAUGUGCUUUGUCAAUGUUUUAGGCAACACACGUUUUCUACACUUUCAUACUUUCAUACAACAAAAUAUUUAGAGUCUUAGGUUUGAAGAUAAGAUCCAAGAACUCCUUCAGAGAUUUAUGAAUAAAACUCCAAAGUUUUCUACUCUUAUAUAUAUUUAUGCAGUUUUUUUAUGAAUUGCGAGGGAUAAAUGGUGAUAUAUGUUGUGCACGAUGUGGCGCUGAUGAGGAAUCAAUUAACUAUGUAUUUUUUGAUUGUCCUCCAGUAUUACAGGUUUGGGUGCUAUCCAAGAUACCAUCAAAUCCAGCUAUUUUUCCAACAAGAUCUCUUUUUACAAAUAUGGAUCAUCUUUUUUGAAGAGUUUCUCCGCAGCUAGACGAUCAUCAGUUUGCAUGGAUUCUAUGGUAUAUCUGGAAAGGAAGGAAUAAUAAAGUUUUUAGUAACCUUGAUAUGGAUCUUAGGGAUACGAUUAAAUUGGCAGAAACAGAGUCCACACUAUGGGCUGAAGCGCAUAUAGUGAAGGAACAGAGAGCAGGGCCACAUGCAGAGGGUUCGGCAUUACCGUUAAUCCAAGGAAGAUGGUGCUACACUGAUGGUUCCUGGAAAGAGGAUAGUGGUUUCUCCGGCCAGAGGUGGUUUAGUACUUUAGAAGGUUUUGAGGGGAUUGAUGGGGGCAAGGAAUGUUCGGGCUAGUCUAUCUCCUCUACAUGCGGAGAUGGAAGCAUUACAUUGGGCAAUGGAGUGUAUGAGGAACUUACGACAAUUUCAGGUUACAUUUGCAACGGAUUGUUCUCAAUUGGUGAAGAUGGUUUCGGAACCAGAAGAAUGACCAGCUUUUGCAAGUUAUUUAGAUGAUGUUAAAGUCCUGAAAGAAAGUUUUACCCGAUCAGAGAUUGUCCAUGUGCCAAGAACGUAAAAUACAAAGGCGGAUAGCCUAGCACGUAGUGUCAGGAAGCAGCCAUCUUUCGCCGUUCACAUGGAUAGACAUGUCCCAGCAGGGGCGAAUCCAGGAUACAUUUUUAAUGGGUGCAUAAAAAUAAUAAAAUAUAUUAUAUGUGUAUAUGUAUGUAGAAAACUGUGACCGUGGGUGCAUCGAACUUCUGACCUUGAUAAUUAGUGGGUGCAUUCCUUACCAGCUGGGCUAAUUUAGUUAUAAUAUUUAUGUUUAACAUGAAAGUUUUAAAAUAAUUAUGGGUGCACUUGCACACACAAGCAACAACGUAGCUUCGCCCCUGUGUCCCAGUCUGGUUCACAGAGUCUGUAUGAAUCUGUUUAUACUGAUGACAAAAAAAAAAAAAAACUUAGCUAUGUCUAAGUAGUUAUCUUUGACAAGAUGUUAUAAAAGAUAAAUAUAGUUUACGUUUGUUUUAUAUAAAAUUGAAUAAACCAAAAACUGAUAGUAUAUAAACCGAACCAAACCAAGAGAAAUAUGAUUUUAAUAUGGUUGUAAACCAAAAUAUCAAAAAAACCAAAUCGAGAUUAUACCAAUAUUUAAUAAACCAAAAACCGGCAUUAUAUAAACAUAACCAAAGUAAAAUAGAUAUCAGUUUAAUAUGGUAUUUAGUUUUUAUAAACCAAAUUAUCAUAAAACUGAACCGAGACCAAACUAAAAUAUGGACUGAAUAAUCCUAUUAUGUAUGCCUCACUCUAUGUAAAGCAUGAGUCUCAUCCAAGUUAUUAAAAGUAAUCAAAAAACUUUUAGACGGGCAUUUCUCAGUUUUCUUAAGUAAACAAAUUAGAUUAAGUUGCUUAAAAAAACAAAUUAGAUUAAGUUGCUUAAAAAAACAAUAAACAAUAGGGUGCACGUGACCCUGUACCGCCCCAGGAAUGUAGGUGACUUUUAGAAACCAAGAAUCAGCAAUUUACGAACGGAUUUUCUAGUUAGAAAUUCUCACACUAAAAUCGUAUUUUCUCUUAUGUAAACAUCUCGGUAACUAGAUUGGUUGAAUAUUAUAAAUUUGUAAAUUAUAUUCUUGUUACGUGAAAAAACAGUUUAUAAAAUGCUUGUAUUAUAUAUGAUGACUCCUAACAAUAUAUAAUUUUGAUCUCUUUCAACUGCUAGUGAAACGGAUAUUUAAAUCAGACGUUUCUGUUUUAAAAAUCUAAACCGCUUUAUCUAACCAUUAAUAUCUAAACCUGCCAGUUACCAAAAAAAAAAAUCUAAACCUGCUCCAAUAAUUUGUUGGUUUUGAAGUCUUUCACUUGCCACCAAAGCUUCCAAUAUACUAUUAUUGCAUCAGUCAAUUAUGGAGACAACAACAAGAAGUAAUCAAUUUUAUAAACAGUUUUAUUUUAUUCAUAAGAUUUUGCACUAUGUUAUCGUGAAAAGCACCGUUACUAAUUUCUCCACCGGCCAUUAGAAUAAAUGCGCUAAUUGGAAACAUUUAUGUAUUCACAUCAUCUUGGUCGUGUGCCGUGCCGUGUGCGUUAGAGAGAGAGAAAGGCCCGCCCCCACUUAUGACCUGUAGCUUAUGACUUGCCCCUUCGUAUACACAAUCUCAUCUCUUCCCCUCCAAACUACAAUUUUGUCCCUUUCUCAUGAACGUUUUUGGUCUAUUUCUGGUCCAAGUGGGAUUUCCACUAUUUUUUGAAGUAGAAAUCGAACAAUUUUUUUCUGCUUUUUCUUUCGCAUCUCAUUAGAAAGCAACAUGAUUUUUUUUUUUAAAAGCAUAAAAAUUAAAAAUUAAAAAAAUAGAAGAAUUGGUACGUGCGGGAGUUUCAGUUUCCUCUAGGAGGCAUUUUGAUUUUUUGACACAUUAAAAAUAAAAUUAACGAAAAAUUCCUUCUUAUUAUUCUGGUGAGCCACUAUCAAAGAUAUUUGUAGCAAAAAGUAAUGGAGGACACGUAGGGCCUAAGGAACAGACAGAUGGUGUGUGGUUAAGAAACUGAGUCUCUCUCUCUCUCUCCUCCAUGUCCUAACACCAUGUCUCAAUACACAUUCUCUUCAAUACUCAUUUUUUUCUUCUAAGUUCUGAGCCAUCCUUUAUAUAUGUCAUCUCUCUCUAUCUUCAUUCUUACAUGCAUUGAGAAUUUACAUGAAGAGGGAGAGAAAGAAACAGAAACUUGAGGUCAAGGAGGAGAGGAAAAUGGAGGUGGCGGUGGUAGUGGAGCAAGUUGAUGCGUUGGCUGCAGCAGCGAUGGUAGCUGCGGCUGCGGCCGUUGAGGAGGAGGAACUGUGGGGAAUGAGGCUCACGGAAGGAGACGUUGUGGUCGACGAGCUGAUGACAUGGAGCACCGUGUUGCCCUCAUGUUGGAACGUGGAGUUUGUUGAGAAAAAUUAUGGAGUAUUGUUCGAAGAUGUUGUCUGGGAGGAUGAUCUUUGGAAUCUGAACACUUCCACUUAGCUCCCUCCUCCUUUAGAUAACAUAAGACAAGAUUGAAGUCGUGAGAUUCAAGGUUUUUUCAAUCGAUUCGGUUGUUCGGUUUAAGUUUAUAUGAACCAUAUAUUGUAUUUGUUUUGGUAUGGUUUUUUUGAGUUUUUGAUCAUGUUUUUACUAAAAGAAAAUAUCCUUAAUUCGAGGACUUUUUAUCAUAGAAAAUCAAGUUUGUUUUGGGUUUUGGUUUUUUCUUGGUUUAGUAUUAAGUUUUUUUGGUUGGGGGGGGUUUUAAGAACAGGAACAAAGUUAAAAAAAGAACAUACAUUAUGUGCCCUAUUAAGGAGUAGUUUUGUAACUGAUAUCUCAUGAUUUUCAUGAGUUUUAGAUUUAUAUUUUAGCUUAUUAUGAUUAUUUUAGGUUGCAUUUAGGUCUUUAUGUUGCAUUUGCAUACUCAUUUGCAUAUCAUAGGGGUUGGAAUGCACAUUUAGAAGUUUUGGGCAACAUUGGAAAGUUAUUGUUGCAAGUCAAAUACUUUUGAGUCAAAAAUGAAAGAAGGCGAGAAUCCAGGGACCGAAGUUGCAAAUGCAGAAAUUCGGUGGGGUUAAAUUGCACAAUCAAAAGUUAAGGGGCUAAAGUAAGGAUGUUUCUGCAAUUUACAAAGUUGUGGGCUCUUUUGUAACAAAUCCAAAGUUCGAGGACCUGCUGUGCAAAAUGGAAGAAACCACCACUGGAGAAGAUCGAGAGCUUCCUCUUCGCCGGACCUGAGUUUGAUUCAGCUCACCGGAGGUCGCAGAGAGGAGAUAAGCACGGAGACGGCUUGACCUUGAGAUUCAGAAGCUGAAGAGAUCCCGUAGUGGAAAGCUUGGCGGAGGAGAGACGACGAUUGAAGCUUGAUGGCUGCGACGGCGAGAAGCACUCCGGAGCUUCAGGACGUGCUGUCACGGCUCGAGCUGAGACCACGACGGUGAUUCUGAGCACAGCCACGGAAUGAUGACGACGACGGCACGUCGAGAUGUCGAGAAGAAGAAAUGAGGAACUCCACGCGGGUUGAGCAACUCGGGAAGCUGUACCCGCUCGCACCGGAAGAGACGUCAACACCAGUCUCACGCGGGGAAGGACGACGCGGGGAGCUGUACCCGCUCGCAUGAACUGAAGGCGUGGCGACGGCUUAACGCGGGGAAGCUUACGCGGGUGGAGCGACGAUCCCUACCCCGCGCCGAGACUUAUCUUUAAUCGAAUUUUAAUGUUUUUUUAAAGGGUUUUUUUAGACUUUUUAAUGGGAACCAUUAGGUUUACCAAAGACAUAUAAAUACUCUUGUAAUCCUAAAGUUAGGAUCUAUCUUAUUUUCUAUCUAAUCACAAAGAACUUUGAGUUUAAAGAUCUAAUUUUGAUCAUUAUCUUUUGUGAUUGCUUAGAUUAUAUUGAUCACUAAUCAUGAUUAACACCAAAUCAUCAUUGAUUCUUGGGUUUAUCAUGAUAAUUAGUGAGUAGUCAUCUUUGGAUUCAUGGGUUAGGGAGAUUAAGGGUGAUUAAGCUAGAUCUAAGGUGUUUUAGUAUAGAUCCAUCUUGUUCCUUGCUAGUAGAGUGAUUUUAAUGUCAUUUUAGAGUUGACCUCUCUAAAGUUGAGCUUUAGGCAUUUUAUACCCGGAAGGUGUUUGAUGAAAUGCCUGAACCAACUCUCCUAAGCUUUUAACAUUCUUUACCAAAGAGAUUUGUUGUUAAAGGUGUUAAGAUGACUAGUAGACUUGAGAUUAAUGAUUACUUAGAUAACAUUCAACCAAAGGAAUUUGAUGCUUGAGUUAUCUAGGUAAAUGAGCAUUCAUCUAGGGAUAGAGUUUGCUUAGGAUUGUGUCUAGGUCUAAGGUAGAUAUAGAUUGGUUGAAAGUUGACACCUUUAGGUUGAAUCUUGAUCACCCAAGAUCAAUUCCCAUAGCCCAUGAGUUCUCCCAUCUUAUAAGGUAGAAAUCUAGUUUAAAAACAUCUCAAAAACUGGUAGCACUUAGAUUAAGCAUGGUCUUGCAUUCUCUUUGCAUCAUAAUCACUUAGAACUGGUUUGACAUCCUUUAUACUACAACAUUUGAUUAGGAGCCUUGAAACUCCUAACAUCAGUAACCUUGAUUUUAGUGGUAGAAUUUAGUGGUUUAAGAGACGGUUCAUCUAGAGUCGUGGGGUGAACUCGUCUCACGUGGUGAAAAAUACAACGCCGAUUUAGAUUAGAUAGCGUAUGAUCUUUCUAAGUGUUCAUGGGUGUUACUAAAUCUCGAUGUUGUAUGUGGGGUCUAAAUCUGCAUUGAGGUUAAAAAUCUUUGUAAUCACAAUUUGGUUAAUGAAAGUUGUAGUUGAGCCCAAAAAAAAAACAAACUCAAAAACGGCUCGCCAAAAAUGUAAAUAAUUAGAGUAAAUAUUUAAUAUAAAUUAUAUUUAAAAAUAAAUAUAUUAGUUAAAUUAUGUACGUAUUAUUGUAUUUGAAGACUAAAUCUAUCAUGUUGUCUUGAUAAGCAGUUUUGAUUUAUUUAUUUUUUUAUGGUGACAUCUUAUCAUUUUUGGUAAUUUCUGGAUUUGGAUGAAUCUAAAGAAUCUAGUGAGGAAAGAAACUAACUUGUAAUUAUAGAUUAAGUAAAUAUAUAUGAGUAAUUUUUUUCUGAAAUACACAUUAUUUUAAAAAUAAAAACUUUUACAUUUUCAAUACAUUGUUUAUUGGUAAAAUACAAACUUUAAAAAAGAAAUUGUUUUUUUCGAGAUGCUAUUGGUUAAAAACUUUGGGAUAUAGUUUAUUACAAAUUAAUAUAUCAAUAUUCAUUUUUUGAGAUAAAGAGAAAAUAUCUUUUUGUUUCAAAUAUUUUUGUUAAAAAAAAGUUUUUGAUGUGAAAAAUGUAUUUGGUCACGACUUACCCAAACCGUUACAUAAUAGUAAAAAUAGCUUUUGGUGUGAAAAUGUUUUACGCAUGAAUAAAUAACAUUAACAUCUUUUUUUUUUCAACAAAGGAAACUAAACUAAACAGGUUCCGGUCGCGAAAGCCAUCUCGGUAGAACUGAAUCAACAUAAACCUUAGUAGAAGGCAGGUCUCUAGCACCUCGUGCUAGUUUGUCUGCCAUUGUGUUUUGUGCCCUUGGAAUAUGUUGAAUGAAGAAGUUGGAGAAGUAAUCCUUACAUCGUAGAAACUCUUCCAUGUGAGUAGUGAAUGCCGGCCAUUCUGUUGGUGUAGACACCAUCUUCACCAAUUGUGAGCAGUCAGUUGCAAACACCACCUCUGAGAUAUGUAGGGUCUUCAUGCACUCCAUCGCCCAUAUCAAAACUUCACAUUCUGCAGGUAAAGGUGAUAGACUCCUGCGAAUAGACAUUGCACCCAUCAUAGUAUCAGUGGAUCUUUCGUUUCUGUAAAACCAUCCUUGUCCUGUGAAGGAAUCUUGUUCUCUCCAUGCACCAUCAACACAACAUCGAUCUAUCCCAUGUAAAAUAGGGGUUCCAACAUGGGAAGACUCCCUUAAUGUAGCUUCUUUAGUCUGGGAUUCGGCCCAUAACACCUCUUCAAUUUCCGCAGUGCGGAGAAUAUAAGGAGGAUCCCUAACUUUGUUAUUAAAAAAUUUAUCAUUACGAUUCUUCCAGAUAUACCAUAAGAUCCAUGGGAAAUAACUCAAGUCUGGUUCUUUUGGAAGGCGCCAAAAUAAAUAAUCCAUAUUGGUAAAAAGAGAUUGGGUGGGAAAAACCCCUAGAAGGGAAGGAAUGUUAGAUAACGCCCAUGUUUGUAGUGCCAGAGGACAUUCAAAAAGCACAUGGUUAACGGAUUCUUCCUCUGCGCCACAUAUAUGACACUGUAAAUCACACUUAAUCCCCCGAGAGCGAAGGUUCUUUGUAACUGGCAAAGUGCCAGAAAGUAUUUGCCAGACAAAAUGUCUUAAUUUAGGUGAACACUUGAGUUUCCACGAAUGAGCUAACAAUGGUUUAGUGUUAGGCCCCCAUUCACAGGCUUGAAAACCUGAUUCCGGGAAUGAUAUCUCAGUUCGAUACCCUGAUUUAACAGUAUACCUGCCAUGAUCCGUAAACUGCCAGCUAUAUGAAUCUGCCUUAGGGUACCGACUAAUAGCUAAACCCUGAAUAAUCCUCACAUCAUCCUUGUGGAUAUAUGCAUUGAGCAAAUUCAAGUUCCAAGAAAGAUCAAAUGGAUUGAUUAAAUCCUCCACCUUAAGAAGUGGAUUCAGGUAUUGAUUUUGAAGUUUUGGGGUUGCUGACCUCGGGCGAUGAGCAGGAAUCCAGGGAUCAUUCCAUACAGAAAUGCUUGAACUUGUACCCACUCUUUUGAUUAGCCCUUUAUUAACCAGAGAUCUAGCUGAAGUAAUACUUCUCCAUCCAUAAGAGGGAGAAUAUGAGCGUAUCGGAUCCAUUGGAUCUGAUGUCCUAUAAUAUCUUCCUUUAAAAACCUUCGCAAAAAGGGAUUUAGGUUUAUCAAUAAGCCUCCAUAGUUGUUUUGCUAAUAAAGCAGUAUUAAAAUUCUGAAUAUCUCUGAAACCAAUACCCCCUCAUUUUUGUCUUUGCACAUCUUAUCCCAUGAAAACCAAUGCAAACCUUUUUUAUUUCCACUCCCGCCCCACCAAAAAUGAGCGACCACACUCGUUAAUUUCUUGGUAACCGUUUUGGGUAAACGAAAGCAAGACAUCACGUGAGUUGGCAUUGGAGAUGCCACUGACUUGAUUAAAACUUCCUUUCCCCCUUUUGUAACAAAACGUAUCGUCCAAUUAUUUACCUUAUUGUUAACCCUUUCGUGAAGAUAUCCAAAAAUUUGUGUUUUUGAUCCACCCAGACUCUCCGGAAUCCCCAAAUACGUCCCCAUACCUCCUAAUUUGGUAAUACCCAGGACCUGUUGGAUUUCCAGUCGCACUAGUUCUGGCACCUUAUGUCCAAACUGGAGUGAUGACUUCUCAAAAUUAAUUUUCUGCCCCGAUGUUCUUUCAUAGUCUUUCAGAAUCUGUAAUACGACCCCACAUUCUUGCCUAUUAGCUUUGCAGAAAAAUAAACUAUCAUCAGCAAAGAGUAAAUGAGAAACUGCAGGACUACCCCGCGCAAUUUUUAAACCUGUUAACAACUUAUCCUCUUCUCUCUUUCUAAUUUUCGAAAUUAGCGCCUCAGUACACAAAAUAAAUAAAUAAGGCGAUAAAGGAUCCCCUUGACGUAACCCUCUAUUUGGAACAGUAUGUCCUUUUGGCUGACCAUUAAUUAAAAUUUUAUAUUGUACCGAAGCAACACAAGACAUAAUUCUGGAUACCCAUUGUUGUGCAAAACCUAGCUUUAACAACAUCGCCUCAAUAAAGGACCAUUCAACCCUAUCAUAGGCCUUACUCAUAUCCGUCUUUAUAGCCACAAAUUUGUCCUUACAUGCCUUAUUUGUUCUUAGACCAUGAAACAUUUCCUGAGCAAUCAAAAUGUUAUCUGAAAUCAAUCUCCCAGAAACAAAAGCAGACUGCGUUUCCGAGAUAAUGUUCGGUAAUAGUCUUUUCAGACGUUGGCACAUUACCUUUGAAAUAAUUUUGUAACCCACAUUACACAAACUAAUAGGUCGGAGUUCCAUCAUUCUAGCUGGCCUUACUGUCUUUGGAAUAAGACAGAUAUUAGUCACAUUCAAUCCCUCAUCCAGAAAACCUGUCCUAAAGAAUUCAUUCACCAUGUCAGUAAUAUCAGCUUUAAUAAUCGACCAUGAUUGCUGAAAAAAUAAGGCUGUCAUUCCAUCUGGUCCUGGAGCCUUUUUCGGAUGCAUCAAAAACAAAGCUGAUCGCACUUCCUCCUAAGUUGCCCAGGAAGUAAGAAAACUAUUCUGAUCAUCAGAUAUCAAUGUUGGUACCGCUUCCAAGAAAUCUUCACUAUCCGAAGGCGAAGAUGUUGAAAAAAGAUCAUUAAAAUAAUCUAUCGCCACCCCCUCCACUUCUGCCUCCGAUGUAACCCAAUUACCGUCACCAUUAUAUAGCCCCACAAUUUUCUUUUGUAUCUGUCGCUGCUUUGUAAGAGCAUGAUAAAAUUUUGUAUUCCGAUCUCCUUUUGCAUGCCACAUCGUCCUACUUUUUUGUUCCCAAAACCAUUCUUCAUCCCUAUAUGCUUCUUUUAGUUUUCUGGAGACCUCUAGCACCUCCUCAUAGGUUUUAGUGUUAUCACACUGAAUUUCCUCCAAAGCCUUCUGUAGGGUAUUUAUUUUUUCCUUUUCAUAUGGGGGAUUAUUUUUCCUCCAGACUGAAAUUUCAUGUCUACAAUUGGUAAUCUUCUCAACAAUCCCUGAACUAUGUCUGUGAUCCCUUGACUUCCAUCCCCUCGAUAUAGUCUCCAUGAAACCUUCCUCUCCAAUCCACCUCUUAUCAAAACGAAAUUGUCUCCUUGUCUUAAUUCGUUUUUCAUCCAAAUUUGUGACAAUGGGUCUGUGAUCCGAUCCCACCAUUCUCAAAUAUUCUACAUAUGCAGAAGGAAAAAGAGAAUGCCAUUCCGCAUUUCCCAAUGCACGAUCCAAUCUACACCGGAAAGUUUGCCCUUGUCUCUUACCACUCCAAGACAAUGUAUUUCCCAAAGCCGGGAACUCCAACAGACCACAAUUUGCAAUCAUAUUAUUGAAUUGUACAAAUGUGGAAGCAUGCCGUAACGCACCCCCUUCUCUCUCAUGGUUACCCGUAAUUUCAUUUAAAUCUCCAAUUAUAAACCAUGGCUCCUUCCUAGUAAUACCAAUUCGUGUGAGACGUUCCCAGACAUGAUCCCUCCUAUCUUGAACCGGGUCCCCAUAUACAAAAGAAAUAAAAAAAUAUUGUUUUCCCUUUAUAACUUGUUUCAAUAUCUAUAAUUCUAUUGCUUGAAAAGAUUAUGGUCACUGGGAAAUCAUGGCUAUGAUAAAGAGCCAGUCCACCACUCCCACCAAUCGGGUCCACAGUAUGCAAAAAUUUAUAUCCAAAAUGAAAUUGAAAAUUCUGAACAAAGGUGAACUGUUGUUUGGUUUCUGAAAGAAAGAGAAACGCUGGUUUAUGUUUGUGCCAAAUAUCCCUCAAAUAACUAAUCGUAUAAUUACUUCCCAUCCCACGACAAUUCCAACUUAAUAUUUUCAUGACCCGUUGAAUUCAACUACGAGAGCUUUUCCUUAUUGGCAGAAUACAUAACUCUCAAACUUGAGAUAAAAACCUUUAUACCACACUUCAAACUUAAUGUUAACCAAAUAUAUCUCAAUAAUUCUGAUGCCACUUUAGAAAUCAUCCUUAACACCGUAUUCUUUAGGUUACCAAACACAUAAACAAUAGAGCAAAAAAAACAAUUCCGUUCAAAGAAAACUCCCAGUGACCCAAUACACCAAAUAUCAUUACAAUCAACCUCACAGAUUCCGUGGCUCGCUACAAAUAAUACAUCCCACUCCAACCAAAUCAGUAACAAGAUCCUUUCACUCUUAUAACCCAUCUCAAAACCACCACCGGCCCCAGAGCUUAUGGACCUACACCGCAUAUCCCUGACCACGAAGAAGCUCGCCCAUAAAACACCAGACUUGAAGACCAGGACCUCUCCCUCCACUACCUGUGAUAGUGGAUCCAUGGAUCCAUACCAGCCAGCACUAGACCAGAAAUAACCCAUAAAAUCCAACCUUUUAUGAAAGGCAAAACGCCAACUCCACAAUAACCCAUAUACCAAGCUUCUAUAAACACCAACUCCACUGCAAACCAUAAAUGCAUUUUCCAAUCCCAAUUUAGAAACCUUCAACCCAGUCCACAUACCAUAAUAACGGCAACCAGACCUAUCAGCAACCAGCUCUAACCCCCAAACCGAGCUUCUACUGAUCUCCAUAAAGCUCCCACAGCUUGACCAAUCCUCAAGCCAAAAUCCAGCCCAAUUGAGCCACCAACUCCACUGAAACAACAUCCAAGUAUGUAAAGAUAUAAACUUAGAUGAGAAAGCUUGACUAGCAAACCCCAAAAUCCUAGUGAGCAAAUAUGUAAGAAUGAGACAUAACUACCCGUGUAACUCACACUCAACAAAAACACCUUAUUUAGGCAAAGCAACACAUCCCUACGGUUAAAAAAACCAGCAUUUUUAUUCCAUCUCCCUGAUAUACUCAGAGACAACUCGAAUCGAAAAACCAUAAACAUAAAGACCAUAGACUUUUUAAAUAAAGCCCUAAACUUAUGCAUAAAUUAUAAAGAAAACAACCACGACGGAAACUCUAGUCCUGAUCCGGUUUAGGCUUAGCAGAAGCCUUCUUCUGUGGAGCUGUGCCCUUCUCCCCCACCUUACUGAGGUGCUUUGCCAUCACCUUCUUCCUUGGAGAUGCAAAGCACUGGACCGCCCUCUUCUUCGCAUUCCCGCCCAUCCCUUCAGCAUUACUCUUCCCAUUCUUGUUCUUCUGACCCUGACGUCCUUUCUCCCCUGCAAGGAAAUUCACAUUUUCCUCCAUUUGAACAUCUUCCCCAAAAGCAUUAACAUCCUCCACUGUCAUCUCCGUAUCUGUAGCCUUCAUCUCGUCCCCCACUUUUCCUUCCAACUCUUCCUCCUCUCCAUCCUCGAACAUCUCAUACUCCAAACUCCCAUCUUCACCGCCCAGACCAGCUACCAUCUCCGAAGAACCCCCCUCCACUUCAAGACCAGCCUCGUCCUCCUUCCUCUCCUCCUUUUCCUCACCACCACUAAAGUCUCCGACCUUCUCCAUUUUCUUUGUAUCAACAACAGCAGGGCCCACUCCAAUAGGAUCUCUUGUUUGAAGCUCUGAGACCGCCAUCACUUCCUUCUGCCCACUAGCACCAUCUGUUUGUAUCUCUCCAACCAUAUUCUGAUGUACCUCCCCUGAAGCCUUCUCCUCAAACUGAAGAGCCCUACGUGCCUUAGACCCUGGCGUUUCUUUAUUUCCACCACUUGUGAAAGCAUCAAGCAUUAACUUUUGAUUUUCCUCCAGAUGGGCCCCAACGUCCAGAUUACCCAAACCCUUAACUCCAUGCGUAGCCAUAACAUAGCUAUCCUGAAGCUCUCUAGGAGGAAGGUAAUCCGCCUGUCUGACAAAUCGUGAUGGUGCUCUCCCUUGCUCUCUGUACCUUCUUCCUGGACCUCCUUUCGCCAAAGUAGCGUGUUUCCCUCCAUCAUAAGCUAUCCCUUUUCCUUUGUAAUCAUGUUUUCCCCCUGACUGAUGAUUUUGUCGCCUUGCAUCACCCUCAGGAACAUUUCCUUUAGGAUGAGACUCCACUGCCCCCCUGUAGCUCAGAGCCUUAUCUCCCUGAUCUGGCUUAUCCGAUGGGCCCUCAUCAUCUUCCUCAGAUACAGUUUUUGUAGUGGGACACUUUGAUUGAUCAUGCCUCAAGCUCGAGCAUAUCCGACAGAAGCCAUGGAGCCGUUCAUACCUCAAUGCAAUCACCGCCUCUUCCCCACUGUGAAACUCAACGGUCAUGGAGAACACUAACGGCUUGAACGCAUCCAAGACCACCCGAACUUUCCCUUCAUUGAUGUCUAUAUCAGCAGGGAAAUAUUUAGUAUGUAAAAGAGAAGAAGGGAAAUAUUUCAAAACAUUUAUUGUCUAACACGUACUUAUGUCAGAGAUAUCUUCCUUGAUCGGCUUGUUUAUUAAUAAAGCUGAAACUGAUCAGUUUACAAAAAAAAAAAAAAGAAGCUGAAAUUGAUUUAAUCAACAUAAGCCAUAAAUAAUCGACUGCAUAAGGAAAAUGCUUUUACAAAUUUCGUACAUUUUUACAAAAUAGCUAUAUCAUGCAUGUAGACAUUGACACAUUUACCCAGAGCCGAAGAAUCAAACUGAAUUUCAUAAAUAUUUGCACACAUCGUACGUUUUUGAAAAAAAAAAAUCUAGACCAAAUCGGAACCGAAUGAAUACUCAAAUGUUGAAACAUAGUUUAUGUAUCUAAAAUAACUAAUUUCUUUAGUUUAACAAUAACCAGUUAUCCUAACAAUCUACUUUUAAACCGAAUUCUCCAAAAAGUCAAAUUAUCCAAAUGUCUUUUUAUCCAAAAUAGUUCAAAUUAUCUAAAUUAUCCAAUGCUAUCUGAAAAUUCUGAACUACACAAUAACUUUUUUGGAAAAAUCUAUUUUAUCCACAGAAAGUAUCUAAAUUAACAAAAUUACUGUUGCGCGGGUAUUUAUUUCCACUACAUAAACAUUUUUUUUUGCAACAUUUGUGAUAUAUAUAUUAUAAUAUUAAAAUAUUUAACGUAUUAAAUUAUUAAAUUUUUUAGAAUAUAAUAAUAAGUCAUAUAUCAAAAUAUGGUAAUAAUUUAUACAUCAUUGUUAAAAUAAAUAUAUUCAGAUAUGAUUUUCUAAAUUUGUAAAGAUGAUUUAUUCUAUUUUUAUAAUUAUACAAUUUUUAUUACUAAUUUUUCUAAAACGUUCUAUAUUUUUUUAAACAAAAUUUAAUCGUAAUAUCAUUAGUUUCUUUUAUAAUAUCUAAGUUUUUUAUAAAUAUUGUUUAGUUUUAUUUUUGAUAAUUAUACAAUUGUAUAUCAUUUUAUUAGUUUUAUAAAGGUUGAUAUAAUAUAUUUAACCACAAUAAAUAGAUAAAAUUUUAUCGAAGAUUAUUAUUUUUUAAGAUAUAACUAUAGAUAUUCUUAAAUAUAUUUUAAAAUAAGCAAAAUUAUUUUUAAUUUUAAUAAUAAUGUUUAAUUAAAUAAGAUUUCUAUUAAAAUAUUGGUAAAAUAAUAAAAUAUACAAUAUUAAUAAAUUUUAUUUUUAACUUUAUUUAAAUUUAAAAAAUAUAAGAAACACCUAGUUAAAAUAUUCGACAAUAGACAAAUAUUGAGAAUCAUUUUGAAGAAAUAACUAAUCAGAGUUGUUCAAUGCACCCCAAGUCAAAAUAGAGAGGCUAGUUACUCAAUAAGUAGGACUUAAUUCAAGAAGCUUAAUAUUGUAUUGUAGGUGUUGGGUUGGAUGGGAUAUUAUUUGGUGGUCGGAUGAGAGGGUAUAUAUGUUGGGUCUGAGCUAUGAAAUGACCAAGUACACAGCAAAACCAAACUUAUAACUAUAAACAAAUCAAGGAUUUAUUCCACUUAUCAUAGGUUAGACCGUUAGAGUUCGAACUACAACGGCCGUAUCAAGACUCAACAGCACGACGAAGUUUCCUCACCUCCUUAUUCUUGAAAAGAAGUAAAAACAUAUAGAAAAUAAUGAAAUAUUUCACCAUGUCUUCUUGAUUUUCCAGUCAAACGAAAUAGAAGCAAAGCAAACUCACUCGUAUUUCUGUGAGGAAGACCGAUCAAUACUCUUUUGUCCUAGCAAAGAUUAUACUACAGAGAAAGUAAAAAAGCAAUGCGACCUGGUCAUUUCAAGAAGUUAAAUCUACAAAUUUUAGUAAAAAAGAAGAAGUUAAAUCUGCAAAAGUAUGAAGCAGGAAAGUUUUAAAAGGGAAAGUACAGCCUUUUGUGCAGUUAUCAAUCUGAUGUGUUGUUUCAGUGGUUCUGCGGAAUCUAAUGCACGUAAGGAAAAUGUCGCACAGCUCUCUUCGAUAUUAUCUGUGGUUUCCCCAACCUGAGAAACUGAAUUAUUGUGGUCAUGUGGGUCAGCACACUGAAUCGCUGAGAACCCUGGCUUUUUAGUAUCUAAAGUUUUAAGAUCGAAUGAAUUGUUUUUCGAUCCUCAUUACCAAGAAAUAGAACACAAAAAUACAUUCUGGUACAAUCCCAUAUGAGACUAACAAUAUUCACAAGAGAAAGUUCUUUAAAGAUCUCUAGUGAAACUACAGUGGUCAAGAACAUUGAGAAGAGAUAGUGCAAUGGAUGAAUAAAAGUACCGUAGUCCCGGCAUGUUUAUCCAAAACGACAUAAGAAGAGUCAGUCACAGAAAUAAUCCGCGACUUCCAGUCAAUUUCAUAACACCCGAUACAAUCCAUCAUGUGUGCAGUGAAUAUUAUCACCAAAGCUUUCCAAUUUCUAAACAGUUUUCUAACAGUGUACCUUGGGGAACGUUUUGGUUGAACGUGCACACGCAAGUAAGUUCCAGCUUCAACAUACUGAUUAGCAUGAGAGAUACAAAACGUUUUCUGAGCUUCGCUAACAAUUUUUCUUUUGAUAGAAGAUCUCUUACGCAGUACUGAAGGAGAGGUUACUUCUUUAAAGAGUUUAACUUGCUAAGGAGUCGCAGUGGGUGGAGGUUUAGGGCAUACAAGAGCGUAAAGACAGCUCCAAAUCGAUAUAUAUUAGGUGAUUCAUCAGUUAAAAUGUUUUCAUAAACGGAGCCGGCUUUAUAGGAAAAAGUUCUUAUAAUAGUCGAUAACAAGGUUGUGACUUCUCUUUUAAUAUAUAAGAUAUUAAAAACGGAACUGAAAUUAAUUAGACCUGAAACUUUCUCUAAAUCAGCCGAUUUCCAAUUUUAUUGUUCGAAACGAAUUGAAAACCUAAAUAACCAAUGAUAAACAAAAUUGAAAUUCAUAAAUAACCAAAAAAACAUAAAUAUAUAAAAAAAUUGAAAACUGAACCCAAAAUCAUAAUGCCCAGAGCUACUUGUAUCUUCAAAAUUGAACACAAAAAAGAGAACAUCAUACUUAAGAAAAGUUUCAGUCCACCUUUUUAGAAAAUAUGGAAUGUUUUUCUUAAUGAGAAUUACAAUUUUUAUUCAAAUUUUGUUAUCUUCGGUUGGUAGUCCUUUUUUCUGUUUCCGUUCUUUUUGUAAAUGUCCCGACCGGAGAUGCACAAGUACAAAUCUACGUUUCGUGAAAACGGAAGCAGGUACGUGGAAACAUAAGCGGGUACGUGGAAGCGGAAGCGUAUAGAAGCGCAGAAGCGAGAUUUUUUAAAAAAUUCGGAAGCGGGUACGUGUUGGAAGCGUAUCCAUAUAUAUAUACAUAUAUAAGAAUUUGUUUAAAAUCUAGAACUAAAAAUUAUAUGAUUUAAAUUUAAAAUAAAGCAUUUAUUCAUUUAUAAUAAUUUUGAAAUGAUUUCAUAUUAAGACUGUGAAAAUACAUAUAAAUACACAUAAAUUAUUAUAUUAAUUAUUUAUAAUACUUUAUAAUUAGUUGACAUGAUAUAUUUGAAUAUAUGAUUUAUCUUUAAUAAGGACUUCAAUGCAUAAAUAUAAUUUACAGUAUUAAUUUUAAUAUUUGUAUAUUUCUAUUCUCUCUAUUCAAUACUAUUAUAUUUGGAUUUCAUAUAAAUUAAAAACUAUAAUUUUAUAUUUUUAUUGAUAUAAGACAUUGUAUUUCUUUGUAAGAACGGAAGUGUGAUUCCAAAACGGAAUCGUAAGCUUCCAACGUGUUUUUAAAGAGAAAAUUUUAGAAGCGUUUUGGAAGCGAAAUUCCGUAAGCUUCCACAAGGUUCUGAUUUUGAUUCCGGUUUCGAAGCGAGAAUCGGACAUCCGAUGAAGCUUCCGUGCAACGUAGGUACAAAUAGCUUACAAGUACAAAAAGAUUUCACUGUCUAAAUUUUUUUAAACAGAAAUAUUUUAUUUUCCUUCAGACUUCAAGAUAUUUAGCUACAGUCUGAACAUCUUUACCCCCUCUUCUGCUUCAUAGAGCGUCCACCUUAGCGAAUUUUUUUUUUCCGAAAGAUGAAAUGUGGCAUUACAAUAAAAAAAUAAUUAGUCUAUAUACAAUAUAAGAAAAAUAGAUAAUAAUUAAAUAUACAAUAUAAGAAAUAUAAAUACUACAUUUAACAUCUAUCGUAAUAUUACUAUUUAAUAUAAAAACAAAAAAUUAGAAUUAGUAAAUAUACAAAAGAAGAUUAAAUAAAUGCUAAGUAAAUAUACAAGAUACUAAAAACGGAACAUUUAUGUCUGAUUGAGUUUUCAAAGCAAAAACGCAACCAUACAUAUUCAUGUUUUAUGGAAUAGAUUGACAUGUUAUUAGGGUGUACACAUCAGCGAAAAAACUUCUUCCAAAAGAUGCCACAUGACAUUAUUAUUUUUUUGGUAAGUGUCUAUAAUGUAAUAUUAACAUUUCAUAUAAAAAGGUAAAUAAAUAAAUUCGAAAAUUAGAAUAUGAAAAUAUACAAUAUAAGAAAAUGUACAAUAUUACAUUUUUUACAUUUAGUUUUACAAAAAAGUUAAAUAAAUAAACUUGAAAAUUAAAAUAAGAAAAUAUACAAUAUAAGAAAUGGUAAUAUUAAGUUAAAUAAAUAAAAUACAAAAUUAGAAUAAGAAAAUAUACAAUAUAAGAAAAUAUUAAAAAUAUAAACGUAUUUUUAAUAUAUGAAAUAGAGAUUGCUUAUUUUUGGCUUAUUUCGGUCAAAAUUAUUAUUUUCGGUCAUAUGAUUUAAUGAGUCACGUGACUUCUUUUGAAAAAAAAUAUUAGUAUCUUAACAUGGACAGUCUUCUUUAUAAAAUUAAAUAUAAAAAAUGUAAUAUUAUUAUUUUCUUAUAUUGUAUAUUUUUUAUUCUAAUUCUGGAUUUUAUUUAUUUAACUUAAUAUUAUCAUUUCUUAUUCAAAUCAUAAUCGCAUGGCAUAGAAAAUCGACACUGCAAGCUCCACGUACUCGCGGCCUGACAGAAGUGGAUAUAAUCAAAUAAAAAUCUGUGAUUCUGAGAUGUUCCAACGCGAAGAACCCCUACAAAGUUAGUGGAGUCAUUGUGUUUAUUUUGCUAGUCUUCUUUGAUGAGGGGCAAUGGUGUGAGUUCGCUGUUGCUGGGUGGAUGGUUUUAUAGCCAUGUUUUUUAGAAGGAAAUAAACAGUCUCUUCAUAUAAAAAUGUAAUAUCAUUAGUGGAGAUUUGGAAAUAAUAAAAAUGUAAAACUAUACAUUAUUUCAGAUACUAUAUUUAAUGUAAUAUUAUCAUUUCUUAUAUUGUAUAUUUAUUUAUUCUAUUUUUUAUUAUUUUUUCUGAUAAUCUAUAUUUACUUAUUUUAAUUUUUUUGUUAAUUGUUUUUGUUAAAUAUGAAACAGUAAUAUUACAUUGUGGAGAUGAUUUAUUUUUUGGCUUAUUCCAGUCAAAUUCAAAAUUAGUAGGGAUUUGGAAAUAAUAAAAAUAUAAACAUAUUUUUUAUAUAUAAAAUAGUGAUUGCUUAUAUUUGGUUUAUUCCGGUCAAAAUUAUUAUUUCGGUCACAUGAUUUAAUAAGCCACGUGAUUUCUUUUGGAAAAAAGAUUUGUAUCCUAGCAUGGACGCUCCUCUUUGUAAAAUUAAAUAUAAAAAAUCUAAAGGCUUACAAAAAGGUUAAAUAAAUAAAUUUGAAAAUUAAAAUAAGAAUAUAUAUAAUAUAAGAAAUGAUAAUAUUAAGUUAAAUAAAUAAAAUAAAAAAUUAGAAUAAGAAAAUAUACAUUUUAGGUGUAGAUCCCGGUUCGUCUCGCUCCGUCCGGUUCUUAUUGCUGGUGAUCUGAAGUGUAUUGGGUCCUGUGCUUCAGGUUUAUAGUUGUUCAAUCGUUGAUCUCGUUUGGUCCUCCGUGAAUUCAGUAGCAGUGAUGGUCAAAAGGGUUUCAAAUUUGGGUAAAACACUGUUUUUUACUUUGAUUUCCUGUGACCAUAUAUACAUUUCGAUUCUAGGUUUUUUAAACUAGUUUUGUUUGACACAGUUAUCACCUCAAAUUGAGAAUCUUUUGAUUCCUGGUGAUUUAUUCUCUUCGAAACAAUUCGUCUUGCUUGCCUCAGUUCUGGUAUUCACAUGUGCAACAUUGUGAGUCUUUUGGCCGUUUCGUAUUAUUUUCCAUAUAAGUUAAAGAAUCUGUUUAGGUUAACAAUGCAAAAUGGUUGCAAGAAUCGGAUUUUAUAAUUUUCUGCUUGUUCAAUUUUUUUCGUAGUUUUGCAUUUUAUUAUCUAACUGGUUUCCUAAAAAAAAAGAAAAAACUGGUUACGUAAGUCCUUCCCUCUCCAAUGCUUAUGGAAAAGUCGAUAGCUAAGUAAGAAUGAACUAGAAUAACAUGUUAAGGAGUGUGUUACUACCCCCUCAUACAGCAUAGCGUUGAAUGGUGAGCUCCAAGGGUUUUUCUCGAGGAAAAAGGGUUUGAGGCAAGGUGAUCCCAUAUCAUCCUUACUAUUUGUGAUCGCCAUGGAUAUUCUUUCAAAAAUGCUCGAUAAAGGAGCAAUAGAAGGGAGAUUUGGUAUCCAUCCAGAGUGUGAGGCUCCUCUGAUCACCCAUCUGAGCUUCGCGGAUGACUUGUUGAUCUUCUUUGAUGGUACUGCGGAAUCAUUGACAGGGAUUCUGCAAAUUCUAGAGGAGUUCAGACAAAUAUCAGGCUUGAAAAUCAACAGACAGAAAUCAGAGCUGCUGAUUGACGGGGGUAGCAGUAGUAGAUGUCGUGAUUUGGCUACAGCAAUGGGGAUUGCUCAAGGAGCUCUACCGCUGCGUUAUCUGGGGGUUCCGCUAUCUCCAAAAAAAAUGACACGUUCAGACUUUCAGCCUCUUAUAGAUAAAAUUGCUGCUCGUUUCUCCUCAUGGACAGUCAAGCAUCUGUCCUUCGCAGGCAGGUUUCAGCUAAUUGAUGUUAGGAGUUUUCAAGGCUCCUAAGACAAAUGUUGUAGUAUAAAUGAUUGUCGAACCAGUUCUGAGGGAUAUCAAAGCACUGAGAAUGCAAGUACUCACUUAAUCUAAGUGCAACCAAUGAUUUAGAAGGGUUUUAAACUAUGACUAAAACUAGAAAGCAAUAACAGAAUGAUACUUUCUUGACUAAAGGAAAAGAGAACUCAUGGGUAUAGGGAUUAGACCUUGGGUGAUCAAGUAUCGAACUAAGGAUGGCAGAUGAUCAAUCAAACUAUCAACCUUAAGCCUAGACACAAUUCUAAGCAAGCUCUAUGUCUAGAUGAAUGCUCAUUUGCUAACAUAUCUCAAACAUCAAAUGUCUUUGGUUGAAUAAUAUGAAAGCAAUCAUUACUAACAAGUCUAUUAGCUAUCUUAGUACCUUUAACAACAAAUGUCUUUGGCAAAGUAUACUAAAAGCCUAGGAGAGUUGUCUCGGGCAUUUCAUCGAACACCUUUCGGGUGAGAAAUGCCUAAGGAUCAACAACUGAGUGGCCAACUCAGAAGAUGCAUUAUGAUUACUCUACUAGCAAGGAAAUAUGAAUGAUCUACACUAAAACAUCCUAGCUCUAACCUAAUCACCCUUAAUCUCCGAGGGUAUAUAUGUUGGGUCUGAGCUAUGAAAUGACCAAGUACACAGCAAAACCAAACUUAUAACUAUAAACAAAAUCAAGGAUUUAUUCCACUUAUCAUAGGUUAGACCGUUAGAGUUCGAACUACGACGGCCGUAUCAAGACUCAACAGCACGACGUAGUUUCCUCACCUCCUUAUUCUUGAAAAGAAGUAAAAACAAUGAAAUAUUUCACCAUGUCUUCUUGAUUUUCCAGUCAAACGAAAUAGAAGCAAAGCAAACUCACUCGUAUUUCUGUGAGGAAGACCGAUCAAUACUCUUUUGUCCUAGCAAAGAUUAUACUACAGAGAAAGUAAAAAAGCAAUGCGACCUGGUCAUUUCAAGAAGUUAAAUCUACAAAUUUUAGUAAAAAAGAAGAAGUUAAAUCUGCAAAAGUAUGAAGCAGGAAAGUUUUAAAAGGGAAAGUACAGCCUUUUGUGCAGUUAUCAAUCUGAUGUGUUGUUUCAGUGGUUCUGCGGAAUCUAAUGCACGUAAGGAAAAUGUCGCACAGCUCUCUUCGAUAUUAUCUGUGGUUUCCCCAACCUGAGAAACUGAAUUAUUGUGGUCAUGUGGGUCAGCACACUGAAUCGCUGAGAACCCUGGCUUUUUAGUAUCUAAAGUUUUAAGAUCGAAUGAAUUGUUUUUCAAUCCUCAUUACCAAGAAAUAGAACACAAAAAUACAUUCUGGUACAAUCCCAUAUGAGACUAACAAUAUUCACAAGAGAAAGUUCUUUAAAGAUCUCUAGUGAAACUACAGUGGUCAAGAACAUUGAGAAGAGAUAGUGCAAUGGAUGAAUAAAAGUACCGUAGUCCCGGCAUGUUUAUCCAAAACGACAUAAGAAGAGUCAGUCACAGAAAUAAUCCGCGACUUCCAGUCAAUUUCAUAACACCCGAUACAAUCCAUCAUGUGUGCAGUGAAUAUUAUCACCAAAGCUUUCCAAUUUCUAAACAGUUUUCUAACAGUGUACCUUGGGGAACGUUUUGGUUGAACGUGCACACGCAAGUAAGUUCCAGCUUCAACAUACUGAUUAGCAUGAGAGAUACAAAACGUUUUCUGAGCUUCGCUAACAAUUUUUCUUUUGAUAGAAGAUCUCUUACGCAGUACUGAAGGAGAGGUUACUUCUUUAAAGAGUUUAACUUGCUAAGGAGUCGCAGUGGGUGGAGGUUUAGGGCAUACAAGAGCGUAAAGACAGCUCCAAAUCGAUAUAUAUUAGGUGAUUCAUCAGUUAAAAUGUUUUCAUAAACGGAGCCGGCUUUAUAGGAAAAAGUUCUUAUAAUAGUCGAUAACAAGGUUGUGACUUCUCUUUUAAUAUAUAAGAUAUUAAAAACGGAACUGAAAUUAAUUAGACCUGAAACUUUCUCUAAAUCAGCCGAUUUCCAAUUUUAUUGUUCGAAACGAAUUGAAAACCUAAAUAACCAAUGAUAAACAAAAUUGAAAUUCAUAAAUAACCAAAAAAACAUAAAUAUAUAAAAAAAUUGAAAACUGAACCCAAAAUCAUAAUGCCCAGAGCUACUUGUAUCUUCAAAAUUGAACACAAAAAAGAGAACAUCAUACUUAAGAAAAGUUUCAGUCCACCUUUUUAGAAAAUAUGGAAUGUUUUUCUUAAUGAGAAUUACAAUUUUUAUUCAAAUUUUGUUAUCUUCGGUUGGUAGUCCUUUUUUCUGUUUCCGUUCUUUUUGUAAAUGUCCCGACCGGAGAUGCACAAGUACAAAUCUACGUUUCGUGAAAACGGAAGCAGGUACGUGGAAACAUAAGCGGGUACGUGGAAGCGGAAGCGUAUAGAAGCGCAGAAGCGAGAUUUUUUAAAAAAUUCGGAAGCGGGUACGUGUUGGAAGCGUAUCCAUAUAUAUAUACAUAUAUAAGAAUUUGUUUAAAAUCUAGAACUAAAAAUUAUAUGAUUUAAAUUUAAAAUAAAGCAUUUAUUCAUUUAUAAUAAUUUUGAAAUGAUUUCAUAUUAAGACUGUGAAAAUACAUAUAAAUACACAUAAAUUAUUAUAUUAAUUAUUUAUAAUACUUUAUAAUUAGUUGACAUGAUAUAUUUGAAUAUAUGAUUUAUCUUUAAUAAGGACUUCAAUGCAUAAAUAUAAUUUACAGUAUUAAUUUUAAUAUUUGUAUAUUUCUAUUCUCUCUAUUCAAUACUAUUAUAUUUGGAUUUCAUAUAAAUUAAAAACUAUAAUUUUAUAUUUUUAUUGAUAUAAGACAUUGUAUUUCUUUGUAAGAACGGAAGUGUGAUUCCAAAACGGAAUCGUAAGCUUCCAACGUGUUUUUAAAGAGAAAAUUUUAGAAGCGUUUUGGAAGCGAAAUUCCGUAAGCUUCCACAAGGUUCUGAUUUUGAUUCCGGUUUCGAAGCGAGAAUCGGACAUCCGAUGAAGCUUCCGUGCAACGUAGGUACAAAUAGCUUACAAGUACAAAAAGAUUUCACUGUCUAAAUUUUUUUAAACAGAAAUAUUUUAUUUUCCUUCAGACUUCAAGAUAUUUAGCUACAGUCUGAACAUCUUUACCCCCUCUUCUGCUUCAUAGAGCGUCCACCUUAGCGAAUUUUUUUUUUCCGAAAGAUGAAAUGUGGCAUUACAAUAAAAAAAUAAUUAGUCUAUAUACAAUAUAAGAAAAAUAGAUAAUAAUUAAAUAUACAAUAUAAGAAAUAUAAAUACUACAUUUAACAUCUAUCGUAAUAUUACUAUUUAAUAUAAAAACAAAAAAUUAGAAUUAGUAAAUAUACAAAAGAAGAUUAAAUAAAUGCUAAGUAAAUAUACAAGAUACUAAAAACGGAACAUUUAUGUCUGAUUGAGUUUUCAAAGCAAAAACGCAACCAUACAUAUUCAUGUUUUAUGGAAUAGAUUGACAUGUUAUUAGGGUGUACACAUCAGCGAAAAAACUUCUUCCAAAAGAUGCCACAUGACAUUAUUAUUUUUUUGGUAAGUGUCUAUAAUGUAAUAUUAACAUUUCAUAUAAAAAGGUAAAUAAAUAAAUUCGAAAAUUAGAAUAUGAAAAUAUACAAUAUAAGAAAAUGUACAAUAUUACAUUUUUUACAUUUAGUUUUACAAAAAAGUUAAAUAAAUAAACUUGAAAAUUAAAAUAAGAAAAUAUACAAUAUAAGAAAUGGUAAUAUUAAGUUAAAUAAAUAAAAUACAAAAUUAGAAUAAGAAAAUAUACAAUAUAAGAAAAUAUUAAAAAUAUAAACGUAUUUUUAAUAUAUGAAAUAGAGAUUGCUUAUUUUUGGCUUAUUUCGGUCAAAAUUAUUAUUUUCGGUCAUAUGAUUUAAUGAGUCACGUGACUUCUUUUGAAAAAAAAUAUUAGUAUCUUAACAUGGACAGUCUUCUUUAUAAAAUUAAAUAUAAAAAAUGUAAUAUUAUUAUUUUCUUAUAUUGUAUAUUUUUUAUUCUAAUUCUGGAUUUUAUUUAUUUAACUUAAUAUUAUCAUUUCUUAUUCAAAUCAUAAUCGCAUGGCAUAGAAAAUCGACACUGCAAGCUCCACGUACUCGCGGCCUGACAGAAGUGGAUAUAAUCAAAUAAAAAUCUGUGAUUCUGAGAUGUUCCAACGCGAAGAACCCCUACAAAGUUAGUGGAGUCAUUGUGUUUAUUUUGCUAGUCUUCUUUGAUGAGGGGCAAUGGUGUGAGUUCGCUGUUGCUGGGUGGAUGGUUUUAUAGCCAUGUUUUUUAGAAGGAAAUAAACAGUCUCUUCAUAUAAAAAUGUAAUAUCAUUAGUGGAGAUUUGGAAAUAAUAAAAAUGUAAAACUAUACAUUAUUUCAGAUACUAUAUUUAAUGUAAUAUUAUCAUUUCUUAUAUUGUAUAUUUAUUUAUUCUAUUUUUUAUUAUUUUUUCUGAUAAUCUAUAUUUACUUAUUUUAAUUUUUUUGUUAAUUGUUUUUGUUAAAUAUGAAACAGUAAUAUUACAUUGUGGAGAUGAUUUAUUUUUUGGCUUAUUCCAGUCAAAUUCAAAAUUAGUAGGGAUUUGGAAAUAAUAAAAAUAUAAACAUAUUUUUUAUAUAUAAAAUAGUGAUUGCUUAUAUUUGGUUUAUUCCGGUCAAAAUUAUUAUUUCGGUCACAUGAUUUAAUAAGCCACGUGAUUUCUUUUGGAAAAAAGAUUUGUAUCCUAGCAUGGACGCUCCUCUUUGUAAAAUUAAAUAUAAAAAAUCUAAAGGCUUACAAAAAGGUUAAAUAAAUAAAUUUGAAAAUUAAAAUAAGAAUAUAUAUAAUAUAAGAAAUGAUAAUAUUAAGUUAAAUAAAUAAAAUAAAAAAUUAGAAUAAGAAAAUAUACAUUUUAGGUGUAGAUCCCGGUUCGUCUCGCUCCGUCCGGUUCUUAUUGCUGGUGAUCUGAAGUGUAUUGGGUCCUGUGCUUCAGGUUUAUAGUUGUUCAAUCGUUGAUCUCGUUUGGUCCUCCGUGAAUUCAGUAGCAGUGAUGGUCAAAAGGGUUUCAAAUUUGGGUAAAACACUGUUUUUUACUUUGAUUUCCUGUGACCAUAUAUACAUUUCGAUUCUAGGUUUUUUAAACUAGUUUUGUUUGACACAGUUAUCACCUCAAAUUGAGAAUCUUUUGAUUCCUGGUGAUUUAUUCUCUUCGAAACAAUUCGUCUUGCUUGCCUCAGUUCUGGUAUUCACAUGUGCAACAUUGUGAGUCUUUUGGCCGUUUCGUAUUAUUUUCCAUAUAAGUUAAAGAAUCUGUUUAGGUUAACAAUGCAAAAUGGUUGCAAGAAUCGGAUUUUAUAAUUUUCUGCUUGUUCAAUUUUUUUCGUAGUUUUGCAUUUUAUUAUCUAACUGGUUUCCUAAAAAAAAAGAAAAAACUGGUUACGUAAGUCCUUCCCUCUCCAAUGCUUAUGGAAAAGUCGAUAGCUAAGUAAGAAUGAACUAGAAUAACAUGUUAAGGAGUGUGUUACUACCCCCUCAUACAGCAUAGCGUUGAAUGGUGAGCUCCAAGGGUUUUUCUCGAGGAAAAAGGGUUUGAGGCAAGGUGAUCCCAUAUCAUCCUUACUAUUUGUGAUCGCCAUGGAUAUUCUUUCAAAAAUGCUCGAUAAAGGAGCAAUAGAAGGGAGAUUUGGUAUCCAUCCAGAGUGUGAGGCUCCUCUGAUCACCCAUCUGAGCUUCGCGGAUGACUUGUUGAUCUUCUUUGAUGGUACUGCGGAAUCAUUGACAGGGAUUCUGCAAAUUCUAGAGGAGUUCAGACAAAUAUCAGGCUUGAAAAUCAACAGACAGAAAUCAGAGCUGCUGAUUGACGGGGGUAGCAGUAGUAGAUGUCGUGAUUUGGCUACAGCAAUGGGGAUUGCUCAAGGAGCUCUACCGCUGCGUUAUCUGGGGGUUCCGCUAUCUCCAAAAAAAAUGACACGUUCAGACUUUCAGCCUCUUAUAGAUAAAAUUGCUGCUCGUUUCUCCUCAUGGACAGUCAAGCAUCUGUCCUUCGCAGGCAGGUUUCAGCUAAUUGAUGUUAGGAGUUUUCAAGGCUCCUAAGACAAAUGUUGUAGUAUAAAUGAUUGUCGAACCAGUUCUGAGGGAUAUCAAAGCACUGAGAAUGCAAGUACUCACUUAAUCUAAGUGCAACCAAUGAUUUAGAAGGGUUUUAAACUAUGACUAAAACUAGAAAGCAAUAACAGAAUGAUACUUUCUUGACUAAAGGAAAAGAGAACUCAUGGGUAUAGGGAUUAGACCUUGGGUGAUCAAGUAUCGAACUAAGGAUGGCAGAUGAUCAAUCAAAGGUGUCGUGGGUGCGAAGGAACUUGAUUGGUAGAGAGAAUUUUUGGGUUUUAAAUCCUACUACUAGGAGGAGGGAAAGUUGGAUAUGGAAAGCAAUUUGUAAUCUUCGACCCAUGGCAAGGCCAAUGGUGUGGUGUGAGCUGGGCUCUGGCAUUACUGCCAGUUUCUGGCAUGAUAAUUGGACUCCCCAUGGUCCUCUGAUUGAGCUGAUUGGAGAUCGAGGUCCACAAGUGACUGGGUUACCUAUCGAUGCAGCAGUAGCGGAUGCUUUGACUGAUGAUGGGUGGUGGCUAGACAGAAGUAGAAGUAGAAGCCCCACGAUUACCUUGUUGAAGGCUUGUUUUCCCAAUCCACAAGAGAUUAUUGAUUCAGAAGAAGAUGAUACUUUCCUCUGGUAUCCGGAGCCUGGCCGUGGUAGUGGGAACUUCUCUACUAGCGCAUUACGGUGAACUAAGAAACGGACUGAAUGCACCUAGAUCUCAUCCUAACCUCUCUCUAAGUGAAGCUAAGCAACCAAGAAACCAUCUUUAUUUAACUGCUUUGUGUGUUUGUGAUACAUAACAGUAAACUUUGUCCAGGCUGAUGUCGAUGGCAAUGGAAGAAUGGACCUCUACGAGUAUAUCUCAGCGACUACGGAAACAAACGUACUUGUUACAGAUGAAAAUUUGCACAAAGCGUUCCAGUACUUUGAUAAAGAUGGUAGCGGGUAAGUUAAUGAAUCAAUCUCCACCAAUCAUUUUUUGUGUGUAGAGAACCAAAGAUUUGAAAAUGUAGUAAGAUAUAAUGUUCUGCGCAUUAAUUUGGAUUUGCUUAUUUAUACAAAAGGUACAUAACGAAGAAUAACUUGAAGCAUGUUGUGGGAGAUGAGGCUAAUGCCAAAGAUAUCAUAUCAGAAGUUGAUACAGAUAAUGUAAAUUGACUUUUUUAAGUUUCUGGUUUGUUAUUUUUCCGGUUUAACAUUUAGCUGGUUUUGUGCAGGAUGGAAGAAUAGACUGAGGAGUUUUGUGCGAUGAUGAGAGAUGGUAAAUUGCAGCCACAAGGGAAACGUGUUAGGAUAAAUUGUAAGCUCUUGUUCUUGUCUCACCCGAAAGCGGUUUUGUUUGAACCUUGAGAUGAAUAGCUAAACCGAGGUGAGAGUUGUUAAUCUGAAAAUUGUAUUAUUGUUCUAUGUCUUCUUGUAAGUUGUAACUUAAGUUCCUCGAUCCUUAGCAAAGACUCUUUGGUAUUUGCUUUUCCUUUAAUUCUAUACUAGACUUUGGUACGCGCGGAUAUAUUUUUCAAAAUAUGUUUCUACGUGUUUUUCAUGUCAAUAAUAUAAGGGCUAUGCAAAAUACCUGAAUCUGAAGAGAUCCGAAAAGUAGUACCAAGCCCAAACCAAAAUUGAUUAAAUAUCAGAAUUAUUCAAAAUUUUGGUUUUUAGAGAACCGAAACUGAAUCCGAAUCCAAUCCGAACUGAAGUAUUCCGGGUACACGAAUGUGUCCGAAAUAGAUUUAUAUACUUAUAUAUAUUAAUUAUUUUUAGAUUUAAUAUAUAUACAAACAUCUAGAAUAUAUAUGAUACUUUUAAGCUGGUUUAAAUACUUGAAAAUAUAAACAAAUAAUCAAUAGUAAAUAUAUAAAAUAGUAGAAGUAUACUUAAAACACCAAAAAUAUUUCAAAUAAUUAUUGGUUCUCUAUCCAAAUAUUUGAACUAAACUAAUUUAUAUGUUAAGUUUAGGUAUUCUGACGUAUGUUAUUCAAAUUUAUAUUUAUUACUUUAUAGUUUUUGAGAAAUUUAAAGUAUAUAAAUAUAUAAUAAAUUUUAAAAUUUUAAAAGUAAUGUAAAUGGGUUAUCCGAACUCGAACCGAACCUGCAAAAAUCUGAAGCGAAUCUGAACAUAAAUUUAGAAAUAUUAGAACGAGGCUGAAAUCUUUGACCCCGGAAACCCGAAACUCAAACAGACCUGAACCGAACCUGAUUAGGUACCAUAUAGAUAGUUUCUCAUAAUAUAAUGGACUUCCAAAUUUUCUUAAAAAUAUAAGCUCAUUACUUCCAAAUUUUCUUAAAAAUAUAAGCCCAUUAUUUUUAAAAAACUACAAUCUAUGUUUUCAAACAAACUUCUUUUUUAAAACUGCAAUAUAUGUUUCCUAACAAACUUUUUUUUAAACUACAAUCUAUGUUUCCAAACAAACUUUUUUAAAAAAUUGUUAUACAUGUUUGCAAACAAACCUAAUUUGUACUUAAGUUUUAAUAAGAUAGAUGAUUUUAAAAACUUGAAAAAUCUAAUAUAUGGUUAUCAACUAAAUUGUUUUCCGAAAUGGUUAGAAGAAAGAACAUCUUCUUGUAAUGGUUAGAAGAAAGAACAUCUUCUUGUACAGCAUUUCCAUGUUUUAGUUGCUAAUAAACCAGGAAAUUAUACUUUUGGUAUAUAACCAUAUGAGUAUGAAUCAAUACACUUAAAUUUUAUCUUUGCUCUUUCUUCUCUCGUCUAGGGUGUCCUAACCCUAGCCGCCGUCGGAGGGCCUCACGCUUCUCCGUCGAGACUCCCCUCCCCCCACCCGCUUUCUCUGGUCUAGGUCCAUGAAUCCCAAGAAGAAGCGUAAGCUCCCCUUUAGGGUUUCGUCGAAGAUGUCCCGCUUCGCGGGUGUUGGUAAAGGCUCCUCUUUGCUGAAAUCGAGCAAUGAUUCUCCCACAUUCGCCGGUGCCUCAAGCUCCGUUGCUGUAACUGCCGCUUCUGAGGCAGAUGGGACCCUUCCUUGCUUGGUGGAUAACGCAAAGGUGGAGGUAGACCGUUCUCUCCAGGCCGUUCGAAGCUCCGAUUCGGAUGUUUUCCCUUCUCCUGAUGGAAAGGCGUGUAGUGUUCCAGAGACGCCGUCUCAUGUAGCGGCAGAGUUCGUACUGUCAAAGAAAGGUGAAUCCUUUAAGAGGUCGGAGCCUUUCAUAGAAGGUGCUAGCAGUGUUCAGUCCUCCUACGAUUCUGGAGCGACUGCAGAGAAGUCUGUCCCGCCAGUGUCACCAGGGUUUGUAGACACGAGUACGGAGAAGGUACCCUCAUUAACCCCAUCGGCCAAGAGCUAUGCUAAUCUACUAAAGGCUUCAGCAGAACUCGAGGAGAUUGGCACACCAGCAGAACACGUUUCAGGAGUCCCUUUGGUUUUUAUUCCUGAUGACAACAUUGCCGCAGCGAAAGAAGAGUUUAAAGAUUUCAUUUUUGCGAGAUUUCAAGGGGGUGUUCCAUCGAUGGGAAGGAUCAUCGGAGUUGUUAACUCUAUAUGGGCUAAUCCUAGUCCUAGAAUCUUUGUUCAUAAGAUAGGUCUCAGUGGCUUCUUACUCAAAGUCACGAAUACCAGAACAAGGGAGAGGAUUUUAGCUCGUACCUGUUGGAACAUUGCAGGUCAUCCUAUGUUUGUAGCUCCUUGGUCCCCUGAGCUAGAUCCAGAAGUGGCCCCUCUUACAAUGACAGUGGUUCCAGUGGAGUUGAGGAAUGUUCCAUACUUGCUUUUUAACAAGGAGAGUUUGAGCAGGUUAGCUACGGCAGUGGGUAAGCCAGUGUCUUUAGCUCCGGAAACAGAGAGGAAGGAGAAUUUCCAUGUUGCAAAGAUGUAUGUGAGGAUAGACCUGACAAGGAAGCUUCCGGAGAAAAUCAUAUCAGGUUUUUCAAGUGGAAGAGAGGUGGAGAUUUGCCGGUGAAGUGUUAGUUGUGUUCAAGUUAUGGACAUGUUGCUGAUAGGUGCCGAUCAGGAGAGGUGGUAUCAGGGAGUCAAGAGGCAAAGGCUAAGAGUGCCACGGCUGAUAAGUCUCGUGGUAGACCCCAUAAUAGGCACCGCUCCAGUCAGAGCCGUUCGACGGGUGUUACUGAGCAGUCCAACCCCUGUAUGGGAGGUAGCAAGCCUAUCAUAACACAGGAAGAGAUCCCGAAGACUGCAGAGCCGCAACAAGAGGUCCAACAAGUGGCGUCGUCUGUUGCUCUUAGAACUCUCCAUAAUAGGAAUCGUUCGAGGGCUCGGAGCAGGUCUCGCUCGUCAGUAAGAGUGUACGCUAGAGCCGUAAGUUCUCCUCCGGAAGUCAAUAAAAGCAGUGCUCUAGCUGUGGUAAGGAAACAAGAAGUUCCAAAUCAGACUCAGUCUCAGUCUCAGUUGGAAGAAGGAGAGAUUGGAGAAGAUGAUAGUAUUGAAAGGAACAAGAGUAGUAAUGCGAGUAAGGAGUUCAGAGUGGAGCAGGACGAGGAGGAUGAAGUCUGGUUCACGAAACACUCCAAAAAGUAUAGACGUGCACUGCGUCAGCAGGAGAGUUGGGAGGCGUCGGGAGCAGUUGGUUCGCCCCCAAAAUCAGCUAAGUUUCUCAUGCGAGCUAACACCUCGGGUGGGAAAAUUGGGUAUAAAUCUGGUCCCCCUUUUUUGUAUCUGUAUAUAUGAAGAUUUUUAGUUGGAACAUUAGAGGAAUAAAUGGCCUUGGCCGUCAGAGAGUAGUCCGUAGCUGGUUACAGAGUUUGGGGUCCUCAGUUGGAGCUCUCUUGGAAACUCAUGUACAGAAAGAAAGUUUUCUUAGUGUUUUAAGAGCAGUGGCUCCAGGUUGGAGAUAUGAUAAUAAUUACUUGGAAGCUUCAGGAGGCAGAAUCUGGCUGUUGUGGAGAGAGUUAGUAUCAGUGGUGGUUUAUCGGAAGACGGAUCAACUUAUUCUAUGUGGGGUACUUGACCCGGCGUCAGGCAUCGAGUGUACAGUGGCUUUUGUGUAUGCUCAUAACACAGAAGUUGAGAGAAGGAACCUGUGGAGAGACCUUGUCACAAUCACGAGUUCCUCUCUAGUGGCAGCGUCUCCCUUAGUGAUAAUGGGGGAUUUUAAUCAAAUUUUAACGGCUGCUGAACAUUUUUCAUUGCAACCGUAUGAGCUACCUGUUAGAGGGAUGGAGGAAUUUCAGAGCUGUUUGGAAGACAGUCAGUUAUCAAACAUGGAGAUCAGGGGUACUUUCUUCACUUGGUCCAAUAAAAGACCAGAGGAUCCUAUCCUCAGGAAGUUAGACAGAGCGAUCUGUAAUGAAAGGUGGAGAGACAUAUUCCCAGAAGCAGUAAGUAUCUUUGAAGCUCCGGGUGACUCAGAUCACUCACCGAUAGUGGUCACCUUCUCGUCGGUUCCUCAGACUAGGAAGUGUAGCUUCAAGUAUUUCUCCUUCUUAUCUUCGCACCCAAAUUUCAUGACUGAGAUUUUGAAGAGUUGGGAAGAAGAAAUCCCGGUGGGAUCAAAGCUCUUUUCCUUGGGUCAGAGACUUAAGAAAGCCAAAGCCACUUGCAGGAGACUUAAUAGAGAAGGCUUUGGGAAUAUUCAGCAAAGAGCCAAGGAGGCUCUGAGUAAGUUGCAGGAGAUUCAGCUCCAGCUUCUUUCAGCCCCUUCAGAUACGCUGUUUCGUCAAGAAUUUGUGGCCCGUAAGAACUGGCAGUUCUUCGAAGCAGCUCAGGAAAUUUUCUUCAGUAGAAAGGCCAGAGUCAGAUGGCUGGAUUGUGGAGAUGCAAAUACAAAAUUCUUCUACAAAGCGGUGGUGGCACAUCAGUUAAGAAAUGCAAUUACUUAUUUGAUGGAUGCAGGGGGGAAUCGGAUUUUUAACAUGUCUCAGAUCAAGGAUAUGGUAGUGGCUUAUUUCCAGAAUCUAUUGGGUUCAGAGGAUGAGUCGAUUCAGAAUGUCUCGGUUGAAGAGUUAAGAGGUCUUCUAUCGUAUAGAUGCACCCCGGAGGUGACUGAGAAGCUAGUCUCAAUUCCAUCUGAUGAAGAAAUACAGUCUGUACUGUUUGCCAUGCCAAAGAAUAAAGCGCCAGGACCGGAUGGUUACUCAGCGGAGUUUUUCUUGGAAGCCUGGAGAAUAGUUGGAAAGGAUACGAUUGGAGCAGUGAAGGAGUUCUUCAUGGCAGGAAGAAUGCUGAGACAGUUCAACACUACUACUAUAUCACUUAUACCGAAGGUUGUUGGAGCAGAGCAAUUAUCCCAGUUCAGGCCGAUAUCUAUGUGUUCUACGGUCUACAAAGUAAUGGCCAGAGUGUUAAAGAAGAAAUUGAAGUUAUGCGUCUCAGAUAUAGUUCAACGCAAUCAAGUGGGGUUUGUUCAAGACAGAUUGCUCUGCGAGAACGUGUUGUUAGCCUCGGAGCUGGUGAAAGACUUCAAUGAUCAAGGUCCAACGACUAGAGGGUGCCUUAAAAUUGAUAUUUCAAAGGCCUAUGACAAUCUUAGCUGGGAGUUUCUUUUCAAAGUCCUGUCUGCGUUUGAUUUGCCUGAAGUAUUUAUAGGGUGGGUUAAGGAGUGUGUUACUACCCCCUCAUACAGCAUAGCGUUGAAUGGUGACAAUAUUUUAUUGGACAUUAGUCUAUUCCUAACAUUGUUGCUCCAAGGAUUUUUGCCGGGGAAAAAGGGCUUGAGGCAAGGUGAUCCCAUAUCAUCCUUACUAUUUGUGAUCGCCAUGGAUAUUCUUUCAAAAAUGCUCGAUAAAGGCUCGAUGGAAGGGAGAUUUAGUAUCCAUCCAGAAUGUGAGGCUCCUCUGAUCACCCAUCUGAGCUUCACGGACGACAUGUUGAUCUUCUUUGAUGGUACUGAGGACUCAUUGACAGGGAUUCUGCAAAUUCUAGAGGAGUUCAGACAAAUAUCAGGCUUGAAAAUCAACAGACAUAAAGCAGAGCUGCUGCUUGACGGGGGUAGCAGUAGUAGAUGUCGUGAUUUGGCUACAACAAUGGGGAUUGCUCAAGGAGCUCUCCCGCUGUGUUAUCUGGGGGUUCCGCUAUCUCCAAAAAAAUGACACGUUCAGACUUUCAGCCUCUUAUAGAUAAAAUUGCGUUUCUCCUCAUGGACAGUCAAGCAUUUGUCCUUCGCGGGCAGGUUUCAGCUAAUCCAGGCAGUGAUUUACUCCACUAUCUCCUUCUGGGCUUCAAUGUUUAUAAUCCCUGCGGAGUGUGUGGCCAUUUUAGAGCGAAUGUGCGGGGCCUUUCUUUGGAAUGGCGCUCCAAAUUCAGCUAGAGGAGCUAAGAUAUCAUGGGACUCUGUAUGUACUCCUAAAGAAGCUGGUGGUCUAGGCUUAAGGCGCUUAGCAGAUUGGAAUAGAGUUCUUGGUUUAAAACUGAUUUGGCUAAUCUUUACAGCCGGAGGUUCCUUGUGGGUGUCGUGGGUGCGAAGGAACUUGAUUGGUAGAGAGAAUUUUUGGGUUUUAAAUCCUACUACUAGGAGGAGGGGAAGUUGGAUAUGGAAAGCAAUUUGUAAUCUUCGACCCAUGGCAAGGCCAAUGGUGUGGUGUGAGCUGGGCUCUGGCAUUACUGCCAGUUUCUGGCAUGAUAAUUGGACUCCCCAUGGUCCUCUGAUUGAGCUGAUUGGAGAUCGAGGUCCACAAGUGACUGGCUUACCUAUCGAUGCAGCAGUAGCGGAUGCUUUGACUGAUGAUGGGUGGUGGCUAGACAGAAGUAGAAGUAGAAGCCCCACCAUUACCUUGUUGAAGGCUUGCUUGCCCAAUGCACAAGGGAUUAUUGAUUCAGAAGAAGAUGAUACUUUUCUCUGGUAUCCGGAGCCUGGCCGUGGUAGUGGGAACUUCUCUACUAGCGCGACUUGGAGAGCCCUUCAUCACAAUCCUUUAGAGGUGUGCUGGCAUAAGGUGGUGUGGUUCGCAGGUCGAGUACCUAAACAUGCCUUUAUUACAUGGAUUGCAGCUAGAGACAGAAUGGUUACAAGAGAUAAACUAAUUCGGUGGGGAUUGAGAGUUCCAGCGAGCUGUGUCCUAUGCCCCUCUCAUGAGGAAUCUCGAAAGAAAUUUAAAAAAAAAAAAAAAAAAAAAAGAAUAACAUGUUUAUUUAUUUUAAUAUCGCCACAUCGAGUUUGAUCAUCUAUUGUGCAUUUAAGAUAUAUUUCCUAAGUAUAUGAGAUUUUGUAAAAUAUAUAGGAUGAACUGCAGGUAGAAAUGCAUAAUAAAUCUCUUAAAUAUUUGUCUAUUGUUCAGAUAUAUUCUGAUGAUGAGACGGUUCUUGAAGCUGCUUCUCGUGAAGUAAUGGAAGAAACAAGACGGGAGUUAAAGGAAUAACACGAGUAUGUUUUCUGUGCCAGCAUAGAUACUUAAUCACAAGUAGAGAAAGUUCUUGUAUAGAUUAGAUUGGAUUAUCUUUUAGUGUUUGACUGUUUUAUACAAAAUCAAUUGAGUUAGGAAAUUUAGAUUGGAUUGUCUUUUGAUGUCCUCCUAUUGUUUAUGUAAUGCAUAUUUUGAACUACUUGAUUCCACUGUUUUUAAUUAACAAACUUUAAUUAUAAUUGUUUUUCAUUUACAAUUAAUUAUUUGUUUAUAAAUUCAAAUAUAAAUUUUAAUUUUAAUUUUUGUAAAAUAAAAUAAUAAAUAUCAUUGCAGUCCCAAAGUAGUUGCUAAUAUUUGCAACGACUGUGUAACUCCAAAUACCAAUGUAGCUGCAUAUGAGUCGCACUUUUUUGCCACUACUUUAUCACUAAUGAACUAAAAAACCCAACUACGUUGUCGUAUCAUAUGGAAAUUGUAACAAUUUAUGAGUUCCAAUGUAGUUAUACAUUACUCACAAAAUUAGCUACUUAUUGUGAAGUCUCACAGUAGUGCUAAUUGGCAACCAAUUUGCGACGAACUUUUUUUUACUUCAACCCGUAGUUGCAAAAAGGUAACAAAAGUCAUAUUUGUGACUAUUUUGUCACUAUAUAUGUAGUGGCAAAAUGAAUGUUUUUUUGUAGUGUAUAUAGCUUUAAAAUAUCUUUUUAUUAGUAUAGAUUUUCCGUAUACAGGAUCAUCUGACCCAAAAUGAUAAGAAUUAUACCCGGGACUAAUCAUGGUUUGGUUCUUAAAAACCGAGCCAAAUCGUUCUACGACCUUAUCUUUGUUCCGUUUAGAUUUUCCUAUGGCUAAACAAUUAACAAUAACAAAAAAAUCUUUAUAUAUAAAGAAGGGUUUCCUUCACUCAUAGGGAGUCCACGUCAGCUGCCACCUAGGAAAGUUACCUCAUGUCCAUGCGACACGUGUCCGAUAGAUGAAACUCACCGUUUCAUUUAAACGGUUUGAUGGGCUUCAGCUUUGAUGGGCUUCAGCAAGGCAUCUCGCGACUCCUCAUGUCAUCUCUGUGGCGGCUCCGCGAUUGCCUCCCUCCGUUGCCGAGACCAAGCUUCCUUCGCAACCGUAAGCCACGUUAUCUCCUAGCUCUCAAAGUCGUCGAUCUCACUUCCAAUUGCAGAAGAUCUCAAGCCGCGGCAGCCAAUCUCACUUCUAUUUUCGUCUGAAGGGUUGAUGGUUGACCGUCUCCGACUCUUCACUUCGUCGUCACCAUUUCGACUCUCUAUAAUUCGUCGUUACCGCGACCCACUUUGAUUAAUCAAUUAUCUUCUUUACUCCUUUCGUCUCCUUUUAUAUCAGAAUUAUGCUUUAUGGUUUGAAUCCAGUGGUUUAUUAUUUUUAUUUUUGUUUGUAAUUGUUUUCAGGAACCACUCAUUCCAGCCAGAAACAUCCGGAUACUCUGUUCACGUAGCUAUGUUCACAAGAAGUUGCUUAGCAGAGGAUGAUACUCUGAUCACGCAGCUAUUCGUAAAACGGUAUCUAUCUCUUCUUGGCCGACUACAAAUAAUAUUUUUUUGGCUGUUUCAUUCAAUUGUUUUUGUCUGGUAAUUAGGAGAUAGUGAAAUUGAGGAGACAAUCAGAGAGAUGGAAGCAACAGAGAUGGAAGCAACGAUGAAAUGAAAUAAUUUGAGCAAGUAAGUGUAAAACUGGAAAGCCUAUUAUCCUAAGCACUUUGCUAUUGACAAAAUCUGUUAUAUAUAAUAUAUAUAAUGAUUAGAAGGAUGCCGAGAAACAGCUGUGAAAUCGUUGCUGAGUGGACGACCAUAAUGCAAGAAGCUAUAUAACUUAAAGGAAACAAAAAAAUGUUUUACAUUUUUUUUAGGAUAAAUGGUCAUCCGUUUGAUGCAGAAAUGUUCUACUUGAGGCAUGUAUGCACAAAGUGACAGAAGAGUCAGAAAAACGUGGAGCAGUUUGGUCUGAAAAGUGGCCAGAGUAGAGAUUGUUCAUCAGUGGUUUGAAGACACAUAUGGAAAUCAGCACAAGAGGAUUUCACAGCAGACAUGAUUGUUGAAAAACUAUUGUUUCAGUCAUACUUCAAGGGUGUAGGAAUUGAUUGGUGGUAUGUGAGAAACGUUAUGGAUUGAGAGCUGUAUAUGGAGGGUAAGCACUAAAAAAAAAUCUUUCAUCAAUACAAAAUUGGCUGCAUGUAUCUGUUACAAAAUGAUAUAUCUCUUUUUCUGGCUUUCAGUUUUAUUGCUGCAUUGAAGGAUCUGAGACAGUGAGACUCUGUGUGAUUAAUGUACUUUCCUCAAACUUACGACCUUCAUGAUGAUUCAUCAAUUCUCUGCACUGAAGAAGAGGUAUGUAUAUAUACAGCACUCUCACAUAUAUGCAUCUCUAUUGCCUUUUUUUAUAUUUAUGAAUGCAAAAUCUGAUGUGUAAACAAUACCUUUAGGUGCAGCUUGGUGUCUGUAAUGGUUGAAGUGGACCGAAUUCUUAGACCACAAGAAACAUUUAUAGUAAAUGAUGGCAUGGAAAAGAUAGGAGAAAUUGAGAAGAUGAUGGAAUCACUGAAAUGGAAUGUAAUAAUGACACAUUCCAGAUAUGGAGAAGGAGUGAUCUCUGUUCAGAAGUCAUGGUGGCGUCCUACAGAGGUCGAGACCAUUACAUCGGCCAUAUCAAGUGAAAGAGAAUUGGUUUAAUAUAGUUUUAUGAGAAUGUUUCUUUCAUGAUCACGUUGAUUGCUUACAUUGUAUUAGGCCAAUAUGUGUAUCNNNNNNNNNNNNNNNNNNNNNNNNNNNNNNNNNNNNNNNNNNNNNNNNNNNNNNNNNNNNNNNNNNNNNNNNNNNNNNNNNNNNNNNNNNNNNNNNNNNNNNNNNNNNNNNNNNNNNNNNNNNNNNNNNNNNNNNNNNNNNNNNNNNNNNNNNNNNNNNNNNNNNNNNNNNNNNNNNNNNNNNNNNNNNNNNNNNNNNNNNNNNNNNNNNNNNNNNNNNNNNNNNNNNNNNNNNNNNNNNNNNNNNNNNNNNNNNNNNNNNNNNNNNNNNNNNNNNNNNNNNNNNNNNNNNNNNNNNNNNNNNNNNNNNNNNNNNNNNNNNNNNNNNNNNNNNNNNNNNNNNNNNNNNNNNNNNNNNNNNNNNNNNNNNNNNNNNNNNNNNNNNNNNNNNNNNNNNNNNNNNNNNNNNNNNNNNNNNNNNNNNNNNNNNNNNNNNNNNNNNNNNNNNNNNNNNNNNNNNNNNNNNNNNNNNNNNNNNNNNNNNNNNNNNNNNNNNNNNNNNNNNNNNNNNNNNNNNNNNNNNNNNNNNNNNNNNNNNNNNNNNNNNNNNNNNNNNNNNNNNNNNNNNNNNNNNNNNNNNNNNNNNNNNNNNNNNNNNNNNNNNNNNNNNNNNNNNNNNNNNNNNNNNNNNNNNNNNNNNNNNNNNNNNNNNNNNNNNNNNNNNNNNNNNNNNNNNNNNNNNNNNNNNNNNNNNNNNNNNNNNNNNNNNNNNNNNNNNNNNNNNNNNNNNNNNNNNNNNNNNNNNNNNNNNNNNNNNNNNNNNNNNNNNNNNNNNNNNNNNNNNNNNNNNNNNNNNNNNNNNNNNNNNNNNNNNNNNNNNNNNNNNNNNNNNNNNNNNNNNNNNNNNNNNNNNNNNNNNNNNNNNNNNNNNNNNNNNNNNNNNNNNNNNNNNNNNNNNNNNNNNNNNNNNNNNNNNNNNNNNNNNNNNNNNNNNNNNNNNNNNNNNNNNNNNNNNNNNNNNNNNNNNNNNNNNNNNNNNNNNNNNNNNNNNNNNNNNNNNNNNNNNNNNNNNNNNNNNNNNNNNNNNNNNNNNNNNNNNNNNNNNNNNNNNNNNNNNNNNNNNNNNNNNNNNNNNNNNNNNNNNNNNNNNNNNNNNNNNNNNNNNNNNNNNNNNNNNNNNNNNNNNNNNNNNNNNNNNNNNNNNNNNNNNNNNNNNNNNNNNNNNNNNNNNNNNNNNNNNNNNNNNNNNNNNNNNNNNNNNNNNNNNNNNNNNNNNNNNNNNNNNNNNNNNNNNNNNNNNNNNNNNNNNNNNNNNNNNNNNNNNNNNNNNNNNNNNNNNNNNNNNNNNNNNNNNNNNNNNNNNNNNNNNNNNNNNNNNNNNNNNNNNNNNNNNNNNNNNNNNNNNNNNNNNNNNNNNNNNNNNNNNNNNNNNNNNNNNNNNNNNNNNNNNNNNNNNNNNNNNNNNNNNNNNNNNNNNNNNNNNNNNNNNNNNNNNNNNNNNNNNNNNNNNNNNNNNNNNNNNNNNNNNNNNNNNNNNNNNNNNNNNNNNNNNNNNNNNNNNNNNNNNNNNNNNNNNNNNNNNNNNNNNNNNNNNNNNNNNNNNNNNNNNNNNNNNNNNNNNNNNNNNNNNNNNNNNNNNNNNNNNNNNNNNNNNNNNNNNNNNNNNNNNNNNNNNNNNNNNNNNNNNNNNNNNNNNNNNNNNNNNNNNNNNNNNNNNNNNNNNNNNNNNNNNNNNNNNNNNNNNNNNNNNNNNNNNNNNNNNNNNNNNNNNNNNNNNNNNNNNNNNNNNNNNNNNNNNNNNNNNNNNNNNNNNNNNNNNNNNNNNNNNNNNNNNNNNNNNNNNNNNNNNNNNNNNNNNNNNNNNNNNNNNNNNNNNNNNNNNNNNNNNNNNNNNNNNNNNNNNNNNNNNNNNNNNNNNNNNNNNNNNNNNNNNNNNNNNNNNNNNNNNNNNNNNNNNNNNNNNNNNNNNNNNNNNNNNNNNNNNNNNNNNNNNNNNNNNNNNNNNNNNNNNNNNNNNNNNNNNNNNNNNNNNNNNNNNNNNNNNNNNNNNNNNNNNNNNNNNNNNNNNNNNNNNNNNNNNNNNNNNNNNNNNNNNNNNNNNNNNNNNNNNNNNNNNNNNNNNNNNNNNNNNNNNNNNNNNNNNNNNNNNNNNNNNNNNNNNNNNNNNNNNNNNNNNNNNNNNNNNNNNNNNNNNNNNNNNNNNNNNNNNNNNNNNNNNNNNNNNNNNNNNNNNNNNNNNNNNNNNNNUUUGGGCUUUGAAUAUAUAUAUAUAUAUAUAUAUAUAUAUAUAUAACAUUAUAGGCAUCCAACCCCCAAAGAUGUUAUUCGUUGGAUUCGAAUAUUCUUAAAAAUGGUGUUCAAGAAGACUGCCACCCAUUACAGUGAAAAACGUUAGUUGUGGAGCUCUGCAAGAACGGAUGAUUAUGGUCUUAUGGACACUCUAAAUUUGAUCAUACAUUUCUUGUUUUUAGUUAAUAUUUUUAUAUCAGACAUGCCCAUGUGACCAUUUGACUCCUUGAGCAGACAUACCUGUUUGUAAGGAAUAUAACAUCUGUUUGACUCCGAUUUAACGAAGUUUAUUACCACAUACUAAUUUGUUAUGUAUUUUAACCUCUUCGAUAACACGAUCAUAUCGAUUAAACAGCUUUCGUUUACACUUUGUGGAUAAUUAAAUGACAUAAUAGAAUAUGCUUCGCGUGAUUAUAAUAAACAUUGCUCGUUCGCCUCCACCGAUCUCGUCUUUAGUUUUGACCACACCGACACACUGAAACGUAGGAAUUAAACUUCUUUUUGUUUUCUCUGUUCCUCUAUUGUUGUACAUUGUCCUCUUUACAUCUCUGUCGGGUAGCUAGAAAUAUCAAUUUUUCUGCCUAAUAAAUUUCAUCCAUUUAAUUCCCAACGGUACAAAGUUUGCACCCAUCUUGGGAAUGCAACUCAUGAUUAUGAUCUUUUCAAUGCAUACAUUUGUCGUCGGACCACUACUCCAUUAUUAUAUAAAUAAUUAUACAUUAUAACAUUUGGAUCAUAUUCUUAACUAAGCGAGGAAUAAACAGAGGAUAUAUCCAAGGGACAAGCAUGUGACAAUAUACCCAACUUAGUAAAUCCAAAACAUAAUUUGAGAAAAAUCUUAUAUGUAUACGUACUGCCUACCUAAAACAGGUUGGUUAUUUAUAUAAACUUUCCGUUUUGUAACUACAGACACCGUAUAUAGGUAUUUCGUUUGAAUGUAGUUCUAUAAAACAGCUAUUUCAUUUUAAUAUAUAAGAACAAAACAGCGAGAUAAAUAACGACAGAGACUGACUCUCACUCUUAUUACAAAUGAGCCAACGACACAGCACGCCCGUCAUCUUCAUCUUCCCUCCCCCUGCUCCAAAUCUCCACCUCAUUAAACACACUGAAAGAGAGAGAGAUGGAGUUUUCUGAAUAUAACACUCUCUGACCUUCUUGUCAUAUCACAAACAAAUCUCUCACACUCGUUUUUCCUCAUCGAAACAUUCUCUUUCUUCUUCAUAUUCGUCUUCUUUUUCUUUAUGGGUUGUCGAGAUGUUCUGUUAACUUUCUAUGUGGCUCUCUUGCUCAUCUUUCUGUUCCAGGUCUGGCUUUUCCGGGAAGGACAAGUCCGGGAACUGUCCGAAGACAACCACCUCGGAAGAGACAGAAACACUCUUGUCUCCAAGAACAAGAAGGACGACGAUGAUGUUCAACGGCUCUUUCAAAGGUAUUUCAAGGGAUCAUCCUUUGGUCUAAACAACAACAACAGCAACACUCGCUUUGAAGAUUCUGAUAGAAAAAUCCCUAGUUCCCCAGAUCCCCUACACAACUAGUUAGUUACUUUAGCUUCUUCUAUUUUUUUAUUUUCUUUUCAACUCUUAUUGUCCAAAACAAACCUUAUAUUUACCUCACUUUCUUUGUAUGUAUUUCUUAAAUGAGGACAUGUUCUGUUUAUCACUAGAGAAUAUUUUGAAGGCUUAAAGCAAUAAAUCACUAAAAUUUCAUAAGAGAGAAUAUGAUAUUUAAUUAUUGAAUGACCAAAAUGGCAAAAGCUCUGCAGAAAAAAAGAAAGCUGGUCAAGAAGAAGCAUUUAUAAUCUAUUUGAAGAAAUAAGGCUGUGCAGCUAAUAAUAUAUUAAUAUCAAGGGUUGUCAUGACGAAGGACCUACCCUACUUUUUUCUUCUUCACGUAGAACACACUUAAACUGACGUAAAAGUUGUCUCUGAACGUUAAGAAAUUAGCCAUGAUAAAGGAAAAGAAAGUCUUCGAUGAGACAGUAACGAAGAAAGGUCAACUAGUGUUGAAAAUCGUAUCAAUUAUGUUAUCAAAAAAGUAAAACACUGUGCAUCGGUUACACUAGCAGUAAACCAAGCAUAAAUAACACAUGAUAAGCAUUGAACCAUGUUGCACGAGUAUCGCUGGGACAUGCCGACCAAAAAAAGGGAACCAUGUACCUGUGAUACUUGUAGCAAUAUUUUAGGUCGAGGCGUGUGGGCAAUGCGUUAGAUGGAAUUGAGCGAUGUGCCCAAUGUCAAAGUAACCGUACAAAUAAUUGUUAAAUACUUAAGGCCAUAUACUAGACAAGAAUUAACACUAAUAUAUACUUUUCUGAGAAAGAACCCUAAUAUUUUCUGCCGUGAAAUCGACACCUACAGCCUGCCCCAAGCUCAAGAUCAUGCAGUCCUCUGAUGACUUAUUCCAAAACGUACUCUUUUUAAGGUUUCGUAUUUUUGUAGUUAACCAAACUCUAUAAUUUUUAGAUGAUUAGUCUAAAAGCAUGGUAUCUACAUGUCUCUUUAGAAUUUCCACCUGUCAGGAAGGAAAACACAACUAGCAAAGUAGCAAUUCAUAGUGAAAUAAAUCCCUUAGUGAUUGGUUAUAACUUUAGCAAAAGAAAAUGAGUAAAAUGGCUAUGAUCCACCUGAUCAUACAAGACGAAGAGAGCCGACGUCCGUUUGGGCUUUGAUUUAUUUAUGGGUCAACACUCAACAGCUAAACUUUACCUCCAAUCACUCAUUUUCGGACCAUUCAUUACUCACUGGUCCCUGAAGUUUUGUCUUAAUAUUCUUUUGGUAAGCCCACGUACGUAGGAAACUAUUAUCGAGUUCAGGCAGGUGCAGGUUGCCGCGGGCUUAGUGGAAGAAGUUGCAUAAUCCAACUAGGGUUUAUAUAGCUGUAAUUUAUGUUUAUGUAGGAAGGAAUAUUUAAAAGAACUGAGCUGAUAAAAAGAAAAUUUAAAAGAACUGAUUUGUUUAUGGAAAAUUAGGUGAGAUUGCCAACAGAAAAACAAUAAUUCAUUAUCUAACUAAAAUUACAUUAUCUCUUUUCUUUUCUCUUACUAUCUCUCUACCUUCUCUCUGAAAAAAACUAAUUUUUUUUUUCUUCGUUAUUAUUGUUUAUCUACAUCAUCAAAAUCAAAAUGUCUUUUCAAUCACUUGUUUACAAAAUUCAUGAUUAAACGUGUUUGAUCUGGAAUAAUGUAUAACUAGGAUAAACAUGCGCCUUAUACAGGAUAAGUUUAUUUGUAUAUAUUGACAAUGUUUUUUUUUAUAUAUUUAAUUAUUUUAUUUAUACAUAUACAAUAUUUUUUGUUAUUAUAAUAUAAUUUCUUUCCGAUGGACCGGAUCAAUUUUUCUUAAAAAUUUUGAAACUAAACUAUAAUUAAUAAAAUAUAAUUAAUAUAUCAUGGAUUGAUCAGAUUAGACAUUAAACAAAUUAUGACACAAAAACCUUAUUUUUUUCCACCGAACACAUUCUUGAAAAAGUGAACAGUAUUGUUUCUACAGUUGAAUUAUUUUGACAUUUAUCUUUCAUAUGGUUUUGAAAGGUUUUAGAUCAACCGUCAAAUCGAUACAUGUCAUUUUAAUGCUUUUAGUCGUAGGUUUUAUCUUCCAUAUGGUUUUGAAAGGUUUCAGAUCAACCAUCAAAUUGAUACAUGUCAUUUUAAUGUUUUUAGUCGUAUGCUUAAUGAGAAUUAUUUUUUUGUAAUUUAAAGUCUUUUAAAAAAUUCAAAAUAUAACAUAUAAGAAAAAAAUAACAUAUAAGGUUUCUUAAUUUUUUUAAUUUAAAGUCGUUUUAAAAAAUUUAAAAUAUAACAUAGAAGAAAAAAUAUUUUUAUGAUUGUUUAAUUUUUUUUAAUAAUAUAAAAUUAAAAAAACAUAAAAAAUGAUGGAAAAAUUGUUACCAAAUCUUUAUUAUUCAUAGUCAUUAGUUAUCCAUAGCUUUUAUUUAAAGACAAAAUACACGUUUUUUAUAUUUUGGGUUAGUAUAAUGUUUUCUAGUAAUUGGAUUUGGACCAACAUUUUUAAUUGAUUCUUAAGCCGCCACGUAAGCUAAAUUGACAUCCUAAUUAAAUGACACCUAAGUAGUGUCUCUUUUUAAUUAGUACAAACUUAAGAUUAUAAUUUUUCAAAUGAUUCUCAAUUAAUGUAUAAGGCAUUUAUCGAAAAUCAAUUUGCGAUACCAUGUCAGUAAAGCAAAAAGAUAGAAAAUAUCAUAUAGUAAUUGUAUGAUAAGUAAAUAAAUCUCAAACUUCCAAAAAAAAUAAAGAUAUGGAUCGCCACAUAUUAGGAUAUACGGACCGAAUAAGUGAGCCUAAAUCCAUUAACUAUGGGGACCGCUUAAAAUCCCAUAAAUAUUAAUCAUGGAGCGUUACAACAUGUUGUUGUAGUCAUGUGUCAUCACGAGGAUGAUUCUUAAAAUUUUUAGAAAAAUAAGCUAGUCCAUAAAAACUUAUACUAUGCUUUUUAUUAAAAUAACUAUCAAAUUAAUUAUAGUGUACCAAAGAAUGUUUUUUCUUUCCUUAAAUAAAAGCUACGAAAUUACCUAAUAUGGUUAACAAAUAUAUGACAAUUAAUGAUUGUGAAUAAUACAUAUUUGAUAACAAUUUUUAUAUCAUCUUUGUUUUUUGUUUAAUUUUAUAUUAUUAAAAGAAAUUAAACAAUCACAUUAAACAUAUAAUAAAAAAAUUAGAUUUUUUCUUAUAUGUUAUAUUUUGAAUUUUUUAAAAUGACUAUAAAUUACUAAAAAUGGUAUUAAUUCCACAUUGAAAAUUUUGUAAAUGGUUUAACUUUUUUUUUGUUCAAGCAAGAUAUAAAUGAUCAUAUAUCGUAGGGGUGAACGUUCAGAUACACGUUCGGGUUUGUAUCAGGUAUUUAGGAUUUUUGGGUAUUUUAGUAUAAAGGUAUAGAACAUGUUCGGGUAUUUCUGUACUUCGGGUCUGGUUCGGGUAUUUUAUAUUUGGGUUCAGAUAUUUUGGAUCGGGUUCGGAUAUCUAAAUUUUGAAAAAAAAAAAAAAUUAUUCAUUGUUAAAAAGAAAAUGUAUUAAAAUAUAUUUUUAACCUAACUGGUUUUCUAAUUUUCAAAAGAUUAAACUUUUAAUAGGUUUGAAGAUAAAACUUUAAAAAUAGAAAACCACUAAUUUAGUUGUUGUUUUUUAAUUUUAGAUGCAACUUUUGUUAAUGCAAAAAACAAGAACUUAAUAUGUAUUUUAAGUGAGUAGUAAAUGAUUUUGUCCAUAAUUAUAUGUAUAUUAUCUAAUUUUGAGAAAUGUGCAUCAUUAAUAUAAAUAUUUUGAAUUAAAUGAGAGGAGUAAACUAGAAAUAUAGGGUUAAGUAUACUUAUGUUUGGUUAUCAUCGGAUAUCAUGCAGGUUUUGAUAUUAUUCGUUCAGGUUCGGAUAUUAUCCGUUUGUGUUUGGAUAUCCAAUCUCUCUGAAUUCAAUAACCGUUCGGUAUUUUGCUACUUUGGUUCGGAUUUUCGGAUCGGAUUCAGAUACGGGUUCGAGUAUCGGAUAAAAUGCCCAACCCUAAUAAAUCGUAUGAAUAAGAAGUUUCAUUAAUAGAUAUUCAUAUUAUUACAGCAAAUAUACAAAUGCUAAAAAAAUAAUAUGAGUAGGAAAUGUCAAUAAUAAAUAUUUAUAUUAAAAUAUACUAUAUAUCUAUGUCAAUAUCAAUAAAUUUUAAUUUAAAUCAUAUAAAGUAAAUAAAAUAAAUUUUUAGUUAUUUACAAAAAACGUGAUUGCAAAUUAACAAAAGGUAUUAGUUUAAUUUAUCUGAUUACUCUAAUGUAUACACUUUUAUGUAUACAAAUUUAUUUUUUAAAUAGGUGGUUUCUGAUAUCUUAUUUCAUUCUGAGAAUCCCAGAAAUACACUUCUUCAAAUCGAAGUGAUUUUAAUAUUGGAAGCACUAUAUAUAUUAUUUCAUUCAGAUUAUAUAAUUUAGUCUUGAUUUUUAUUCCUAAAUUUUUUUAGUGAAAUAUCAUGACAAGAUUCCAAUCACCUUCUUUUGAGUUUGUUCGAAGAAUGAGAUAUUUGAACUAUUUUUUAUAAGUUUUCUGGUUUAUCAUUUAAUAAAUCAAACAGUUUUUAGUUUAUACAUAAUUUACAUAUACCAGAAUGGUAAAAUAUUAUAUAUUUUUUAUAUGUAUACUCUUAAGUAACUAAACCUCAAAAUCCUAGGUUAAUAAAAUAAGUAUUUUUUUUAUUGUUCUAGAAUUAGAUGAUUUUUAGACCAAUAUGGUGAAAAUAUAUUAGACAGAUAUUUAUAUUUCGCAUCUGCACUUAUAUUCAAUAAUAGCUUGAUAUAUUAGAUAUGAACACUAACCUGUUAAUAUAGUUUGCUGGUGGUUUUCUUCAAAAUUUUGAUUCUUAGAUAUGUAUCUGGAGUGGAAUUAAUUUUUAUAGAUGUUCAUCUUUUUAAAUUUACACUUAUGUAAUUCAGCGAAUUCAUAGAAGAAUUUAAAAAAAGAAACUAAACUCAUAGAAAAUGAAAUCAAUUAUGGAAAGUCAAUAGUAAACAAAUCUAGAGCAGAAAAUCUAUUCUCCUUUUUUCAUUAUUCAAUCGAUGUUGCCUAUAUUGUUUUGGAGAUUUGUAUCACCCAUAAUAAUUUUUUUUUUGUGCAUAUGAAAUCUUAAAAAUAAUUAAAAUAAUUAAAAUAAUAUGUAAUAUGUUAACUCUUCAACAUCGAUGAUAUAUUUAAGAGACCAACAUUUGUAUUUUAUAAUCGAUAAAAAUUAUAAUUUUUCAAAAUGUUAAAACCAUUUAAUAAACAAGCCUUAUUAUAAAAAUUCACCAUGCGUAUGCACACGGGUUAUCAUCUAGUACAUGUAUUACUUUUUGGGAUGAAAGUGAGUUAUAUUGCAUAGUUUUAUACUCUCUUCAUUUAAAAAAGUGUCAUUUUGACAUUUUCACAUGAAUUAAGAAAAUUAUAAAAUAUAUAUAUAUAUAUUUAUAUUUAUUUAAUUUAUAAUUAAUUAAAUGAAAAUAAUUAAAUAAAAAAUUAGUAAUCAUUCUAAAGGAUAAGAAAAGAUAGCAAGUGUAUAGUCAUAUUUAGGGGUGGGCAAAAAAACUGAACCGAACCGAUCGAACCGAACCGACCGAACCAGAAUCGAUUCAAACCAAACCAAAGUCUAUUUCAAAUCUUUCAGUUGAGAUUUUUCUAACCCGAAUGGUUCAGUUCAGUUCGGUUUAAACCGAACCGAACCGAUAAACCAAAGUGUUUUUAUAGUUAUUUAAAUUAAAGUUAUUAAUAAUAUCAAGAUAUUAAAAUCCUAAGAUUAAGCCCACACAGUUUCCUUUUGCACAAAGGAAAUCCUAAUAUAAUUUGAUUUCCAUGACACUUCGUCUAACUUUUGUAAUAUUCGUCAUUAAGCCCACAUAAUUUCCAUGUUAAUUUCUUUUCAAUAGCGUAUACUUUUAAACCUUAAAAUUAAAACCUAAACCAAGUCUAAUUAAAUUGAAUUUAAUUUACAUACUUAAUUUUUGAUUAUGUCCAACACAAAGUAUUUCAUGACAACCAUACAUUUGUGUAUUGAAACAUGAUUUCUUGUAUAAUAAAUAAACUAAGAGAAAUCCGAUUAAACCGAACUGAACCGAAAUACAAACCGAAUCGAAUACAAACCAAACCGAAUAUAAACCGAACUGAACAUAGCCGAACCGAAAUCGAUCCAAACCAAACUAACUAUGGUUUACUUCAGCUGGAAAAAUUCUAGAACCAAACCAACCAAACCGAACCGAACUCGAACCGAUAAAAUAACCGAAGUGCCCACCCCUAGUCAUAUUGGAAAUAUAGAAUGGCAUUUAAAAAAAAGGAAAGUUUUUAUAAUAUGAGGAAUAUAUCGCUUCAACAUAAUCUCAUUUUAGCAUCACUUGUCGCUUACCAAUGUCUAACUGUAUAGUAAUGAUUAAAAAAAUUUGGAGUUGAACUUUCCUCUCUCUCUUUAACAUCUCCAACUUCUCUCUACACAAACCCUAGAUCUGUGGUAUUCCCCCCGGCGGCCGGUGUCCUUUCUCGGAGCCGGAGGCUUCUCCUUCUUCUUUUAUCUCGUUUUUCGUUUUGCCUUCUUGGCCGUUUCACACUUUCCGGCGAUAUGCUCGACGGAUCUGGAGUUCGAUGGAGGCCUCUACUUUGGUUCUGACCGGGGUGGAGCUGAGGUAGCAGGAGGAAGACGGAUCUCUGGAACGGCGGCGAGUCGGGUGAAGAGGAACUUCCGGGAUGUGUCGGCUCUUAUGGUUUGUUGGGUUUCGCCGGCGGUUGUUUUCAAGCUUGAUUCGUCGGAUCUCAACAUAGAGAUGGAGGUGCGUGGCUGUGUCUCUGUUCCCGUUUUCCAUAGAUCUGAUGGCUGGUGUCUCGGACUCGAAGAGAGAUGGGGCGUGGGUUAGAUGCCUAGAGAUUUUAUGGCGUGUGGAAAGGCUCUUGUCUCACCCUCGACAAGUGAACGUUGAGAGUCCUCCUUUUAAUGGCGUUCCCUGAGUUCAUAAGGAUGACGUGUGUCAGUUGAUUUGGCUCAGAUGUGGCGUGUGGCUGUGAUUCCUUCAGUCGAAGAGGGUCGUCUAUGGCCAUCUCGGAGGAAGGAAGAAUGGCGCUUCAUUGUGGACAUAUGGAGCUUCGUCAGCGGCAAGAAGGUUCUCCCAAGAGAUGCUGCUUCUCUGGUUCUCAGAAACAGAACAUGAGGAGGUUCAAGCUUCAUCGACUGGUCAACGAAGGAGUUUGGGUCUUGGUAGUUUCAUGUUUCAAAGUGUAACAUUCGCAGUGCCAAAGCAUUGUUCUUACCCGGCAGUUUCGCUUUGUCCCUUUUUGGUGGUGAUCUAAAUAGUCGUUGUUGCCAAAAUCUCAACCCGACUUUUGGGAUAUUCGGUAGUUCAUAACUACUGACCAUCCAUUUGCAAGGAUACAAAGCCUUAGUUUCAGGCCAGUUAGAGUUUCCACAUGGGAAAAUGCACCUCUCGGUGUUGUGGCGGUUGGUCAUGUGCUUCAUUCAAAUCAUAAGGCAUCAACUGCUCUGAGCGUAUUAAUGUGUUUCUCUUUGUGUUUUCUUUUAACUGUUUUUGAAAUAGCUUUGUAUUCUUGUUAUCAGUGGUAGAAUUUAGGUGGUUUAAAGGGCGGUUCAUACUGAGUCGUUGUGUGGAUUCGUCCCAUGUGGUUGCAAGAGUACAAAGGAGUAUCGAUUGGGUAGCAUAGGAUCCAUAGACGUGUUCCUAAGUGAUACUAGAUCACUCAUUUGUCUUGUGGUUGAAUCUUGUGUGAGGUCUAAUUUCAUUGUAAAACUCUUUAAUUAAUGAAAGUUGAAGCUAAGUCAAAAAAAAAAUUGUAUAGUAAUGAUUAAGAGAAGUAAAUAUAUUACGGACGUGUCCUUAUGAAAACAUCAUAGGAUAAAACGGAGAUGCCAAACGGGGGUUUAUCAAAAUGACGGUCCCUCACGUUUUGGAAUUUACUCAUUUUGUUUAACGAUGGAUUGUAAAUUUUGAAAAGACUUUUAGAAGAUGAGUGGACCACAAACAUGUCACUUCAGUUUCCAGCCCACACAGCCAGCCAUGAGACACCCUUGUCUUAAUAUGAAAUAAAUUAUUACAAAAUUCCAAAACUUCAAUUUAAUUGGUGGGUCCAAUUUGCCUUUCAAUCUUUGUAAAUCUCUCCAUUGAUUUGGUCCAAAUAAGAUGGGAUUCACAGCUUUUUUAUUUGUCGAGAACAAAUUCUCUAUUUUGGCCAAAACUAUUUCAAAUUCUUAGAGUCCUUAAAUAAUAUUUGAACAUUUCAUUGAUUGGUAGAGCAUUAACAUUAGCAGUAAUAAUUUGCUAUAGAAGCAGUACUAUAGAAGCAAUAUGCUGCAGAAGCUAUAUACUUUUGCUAAAUUAUUUAAUAGAAUGAUUGGUAGAGCAGUAUGAAUAUACUAUUUAAAAUUAUUAUAAAAAUUAGUAUAUAAUAUAUAAUUUUUCUAACAAUUGUUGAUUGGAUAAUGUAGAGCAUAAUGCUAAUGCUAAUGCUCUACCAAUGAGGAGCUUAAAGCCAUGACUCGUUUCCCCGUUACCAUGAAAAAACACAGCUUUUGCGGUUGGUUGCGGUUGCAGGAGGGUAAAUAUUUUUUUUCUUUUUAAAAAAAUAAUAUAAAUACAAAAAUAAAAAUAAAAAUAAAAAUUUUAAAUUGAAUAAUAGAUAUACUAAAAUAUAUCUAUUAUAUUUUAAUUUUUAUUAUAAAUUAUUAAAAUAAAACAUUUUACACUUUUUAAUAAUUUUAAAAUAUAAUUUUACCAAUAUAAUUUUUAUAUUUAUUAUAUUAUUAUGUUAUUUAAUAUUUUUAUAAUUAUAUAAAAUGUAAAUAUUGUUAAUUUAUUAUUUAACUGCUGUUGUAUUUGGUGGUUUACCAGUCAUAAGUAUCCCGCAAACACACCAAUUUCUAACCGUAGUAACAGUCAUACAAAUAUCUUAAAACUGUUUAAAACCACAACCAUCCGCAUCCGCAAACUCCCGCAAUCGUAAGAAUUGUGGUUACACCAGUCAAGCCCUAAGACACCAUCAAACCAAACGUUACGUUUAAAAAGCGUAAAUACAUUAAAAUCAUAUCAUAUGAUUCUUUCUUGUGUUUGUAUUCGAGACAUUAAACUUGCAAGUUUUGGUGGUUUUGUUUAAGAAUGUCCACAUUGGGAGUCACUGGUAUACCGUAUACGAUAUUUGAUUAACUUCAUGUUUCUGUGGGUACAUUUUUGGUGAUAUAAUAGAUUCAUGACUUUUGAUCAUAUCUAUAACAAAUUUGAUAUAUAUCUUUCUUAUAAAUUUCUCUUAUCUUGCUGAUUUCUUGUUACAGCAUAUGAUUUUUACUAUACUUCCUUUAAACAUUCUUUAGGAAGACAUUUAAUUUAAGAAGCCUUUUCUUGAUGAUAACCGAGAAUUAGUACAUCAAAAAAGCAAGAAAACUAUAAAGCUAUUCGAUGAAGGCAACCCCAUAUUAGGGUUUCUUAUUAAUGAUUGUAAAUUAUAAUUUACAAGCUUUUAGAUCCAUAGUUAUAACGUUCAAGAAAAAAAUUAUUAUUUUGACCUAGAAUAAGUUUAUUAUACCGAACAAAAUUCAACCUUUAUUGAUAUAACGAGCUUUAAACACAAUUAAGAUUAAUUAGGUUUUACAUUAGUGUUUUAGAAGAAUAAUAACACUUACGUAUCAUAUGAAGAUGUUUUAAUAUAAAAAAACAAAAAUUUCAUACAAGUACAUCAAUUAAAUUUUGUAAAGCUUUUUAAUACACAAACCUUUUUGUUACCCACUUUAAUACCUCAACUAAUUAUUUACUUAUUUUAAUACAUAAACUUUUAAAUUGUGUUCAUUUUAAUACCUAAAUUUUGUUUAUUUUAAUCCGAAAUAUUAAUAAGUUUCAAACAAAUUUUAAAAAAUCUCUGAAAUCUAAGAAUUUUUUAAAAAAAUUUCCACUUUUAUUUUAAGUUGUAGGAAAGAAAGUAACUAAAUUAUGGAGAAAGAUAUAAAUUUAUAAAAACUUAAUUUCGAAGGGAAAGUAAAUAAAUUUGUUUUCUAUUUCCAAAAAUAAACCAAAUUUGAUAUUUAUUUAUUUUUGAGAAAGAACCAAAUUUGAUAUUUAUUUAUUUUUGAGAAAGAACCAAAUUUGAUAUUUAAAAUUCUUAUUAUAUAAUUUAAGAUUAUUCAUAAUUUAGUUACUUUUAUUUCUAAGACUUAAAAUAAAAUUAGAAUUUUGAGAUUGUUUUUGAAUUUUAGAGAUUUUUUAAAUUUUAUUUUAAACUUAUUAAUAUUUUUGAUUAAAAUAAACAUAUUUUGGAUAUUUAAAUCAACACCAUUUUAAAAGCUUGUGUAUUAACAAAAAAAAUAGGUAUUAAAAAGCUUAGCAAAAUUUAGUUGGGGAUAUUUGUAUGGAAUUUUGCCUAAAAAUUUGCCAAAUAAUUUUUUUAUAAAUAUUAUAUCAAUACUCUUAAAACAGCAUCAUGACCAAUUGAUUAAUAUUGUGUCUAACUUAAAAAAUAAAUCAUAUAUUUUAGGGGGUGUUAGUGGGACUUAGAUUUCUAUAGAGUUUGUUGAUUUUAAAAGUUGAAAGAUUUGUUAAAUUUGGAAAGAGAUGUAGAGAAUUUUGUAUAUUGUGAAAAUCUAUGAAAAUAAAGUAAUGUAAUGAUUCUAAGAAUUCAAGGUAAACAUGUAGUAUUCUCAAAAUCUUAAUUUGUGAGUUAAAAUGAUAAGAAUUCAACUCUAAAUAACACUUACUUUAAUAGAUUUGUAGAAUCAUUAAAAUCUAAACUUUUUGAAUAACAAAUGAUUUUGUAUAGAGUUAUAGAAUCAUUAACCAAUAACAAUAGAUUUCAAUGAGAAUAUGAGAAUCUAUAAACCAAUAACACUAGACUUAGAAAUUCUAAGACUCAUUAUAAAUCUCAUCCCCACUAACACCCCCUUAUAAUUGUAGCCACCUUUAUUAAUCAAUACGUAACCUCCUAUCCAAAAUUCUUGGACCAUUUACAAUUGGUUACGUUUUCCCCUUUUGUCAAUAUUGAGUCCAAUUUUUUUUUUUUUGAAGUGAAUUCAGCCCAAACUAUUUUAUGCUAUUUAAUAAUUUUAACCUUUUAAUUGAUGAAUAUAACACGUUACUUCAUGUAAUUAAUUUACAUGUAAUUAAUUUAUGCAGUUACAUUAUUGACAUAUGAUUAAAAAAACAAAUAUUAAAAAUUAAAUUUGUAAAAAAGUUUAAAACAAAAAAUAUACCCGCCUUUUUAAGGGUAGGUCAGAAACUAGUAUUCUCUAUUAAAAGAGAAGUAUUAUUUUUAUCUAGUACAAAAUAGUCAUACUUAAAGUGUAGGUCCAUAUAUUCAAAUAAUAUUUUUAUUGUUUACAUAGUUUAUUUAAUGUAUAACAUUUCUAAAUAAUUAUAAGGAUAUUAAUAACAAAUCCAUUUUAAAUUAAAAGAGAAGUACCAUUUUUAUCUAAUACAAAAUAGUCAUACUAGAAGUCUAGGUCCAUAUAUUCAAAUAAUAUUUUUAUUGUUUACAUUAGUUUAUUUACUGUAUAACAUUUCUAAAUAAUUAUAAGGAUAUUAAUAACAAAUCCAUUUAAAUUUAAAUUUUAGUUUUAGGAAUAACAAAAUCUUUUGAGAAAAAAUCUAACAAAAUCUUUUAAAAUUUUUUAAUAUUCUUUUAAUUAAUGCACUGAUUAAUUUUGCAAUUAGUAGUAUAAUGUUAUUAUAAAUUAAUUUUAAUUGCAUUUUUAUUAUAAAUAAAAUAAUGAAACUAUUUGCUAAUUUUAUUAAUUUUAUAAGUAUAUUCUACAUUAUAUUAAAAUAGAAGUAAUUAAUGAAUUACGUAUGAAAAUUGUUUUUUGUGCAAACAUAUUAAAAUUAUGUUGAAUUGGUAAACCAAUAUAUUUUGAAAAAAAUAUUUUCAUUAAGAUAAAUAAAUAAAAUAUCAUUCACCGUUUAAAGUGACUAAAAUAUCAUUCACCUUUUAAAAUGAUUAAUAUUCAUAAAUUAUGUAAUAAUUUUUACAAAAAAAUAAAAUUGUUAACAUAUGUUAAAUUUUAAUAUUUAUAACUAUAUAUCAUCUAUUUAGUUAUUUUUAAAAUGACAGCAAUAUAUUAUCAUAAAUUAUUAUAUACAAAAUAAUAUAAAAUUUUAUAUUUAUAAAUGAAAUGUUACCCGCACGGAUGUGCAUGUUAAAAUCUAGUACCCAAUUAAAAUGUGUGCGCACAUUAGACCGAGAUUAAACCAAGCAGAGUUUGGAAUUAGAAUUGAGAUUGAAUUUGUGAUUUGCUAUAUAGAUUAUUGGUCUAUUGCUUUAUUUAUAUUGAGUCAAAUUCAAAUUAAUGUUAUUAUUAAUUAAUUAAAUCAUAAUUAUCUUUUCAUUAGUAGCAAAACGUUACCAUUUGAUUUGGUCAUGGAUUCAAUUUAAUUAUAUGAAUCAAUGCAUUCUCGUGUAAUGAAUGCAUGCACCGUUAUAAAUCAAAUGAUGGAUGUCCAUAACCGGCCCGGUCAUAAACCGGUCCAUCCGCAGGAGAGAGAGAGAGGAGAGAGAGUUGGCCUAUUGAAGAGAGAGAGAUACGGCCACAUGUUUCCUUUUCCUUGUAUGAUUAGGAAUUUCCUUUCUUUGUAAUCUUUCCAUAUUAUGUAUUAGUAGUCUUUCCUAAAUACUAGUUGGUUUAAGUUUUGGAUACUUUCCUUUUUACUUAUCUUGUAAUCCCCUAUAUAAAGGGAACACUUAUUCAUUAAUAAUAUACAGAAACUUACAGUUCUAAAUCCUAAGUUUCACAACUNNNNNNNNNNNNNNNNNNNNNNNNNNNNNNNNNNNNNNNNNNNNNNNNNNNNNNNNNNNNNNNNNNNNNNNNNNNNNNNNNNNNNNNNNNNNNNNNNNNNNNNNNNNNNNNNNNNNNNNNNNNNNNNNNNNNNNNNNNNNNNNNNNNNNNNNNNNNNNNNNNNNNNNNNNNNNNNNNNNNNNNNNNNNNNNNNNNNNNNNNNNNNNNNNNNNNNNNNNNNNNNNNNNNNNNNNNNNNNNNNNNNNNNNNNNNNNNNNNNNNNNNNNNNNNNNNNNNNNNNNNNNNNNNNNNNNNNNNNNNNNNNNNNNNNNNNNNNNNNNNNNNNNNNNNNNNNNNNNNNNNNNNNNNNNNNNNNNNNNNNNNNNNNNNNNNNNNNNNNNNAUAAAAUUGUUAACAUAUGUUAAAUUUUAAUAUUUAGAACUAUAUAUCAUCUAUUUAGUUAUUUUUAAAAUGACAGCAAUAUAUUAUCAUAAAUUAUUAUAUACAAAAUAAUAUAAAAUUUUAUAUUUAUAAAUGAAAUGUUAUCCGCACGGGUGUGCGGAUUAAAAUCUAGUUGUCCAAUAAUACUUACGUACACAUUUUAUCUACUAUCCAGUAACUGUAACAAGAAAAGCGGCAAAUCGAAGGUUGAAUGUGAUAUAAGUUACAAAGCCAAUGCCUCUCUAGGCUCCUUCAUGCGGACCCAACUCUUAGCUACACAACAACAUCCGACGAUGUGACUUCUACAUCUUUUAGCUGUGUCCUGUCUUUUUAUGAAAUGAACUUUUUUCAUCAUUUUAUAAAAAUAGAAACAAAAACGAAAAGAUAUCUCUUAUCUUUGAAAGUUUCCUCGAUGUAUAACCCAUAUAUACUUUCUUAACAUGUACUACUUAACUUUAGAUAAUCAUACGUUAGCUUUUCCAAAAAAAUUCUUUGAAUUAACCCAUCUUACCAAAAUGUUAAGCGCCACCAAAAGUAACAUUUCUUAUAUACCACAGAUUUAAAUCAAUAAUUGCUCCUGGAUAAAGAUGUAUGAGGAUAUUUUGUAUAGGCGCUGGUAGGUAGGUUGUUUGCUGCAAUACACGCUUGUGUGGUAGUUAGUUGUCAAUUUAAUAUUAGCUAGAGAGUAAAAUGGAACUGGACUCUACAUUAAAAAUGUUCACAUAUAUAUGUUGGUAGGGACGACAUAUAUCUUGGUUCAUUGUGUGCUUAAUGUAGCUUUUCAGGCAACUCAUUCCCUUUGUUACAUAUAAGUGUUAUAAAUGUGGUGGUGAGUUGCAUGUUUUAAGAAAAUCGGCUCAGUUAUGAUUUGAGACAAUUUGUUCGUUCAGUUUCGGCUUUGAGAGAUAAACAUCGUUAAACUAAAUAAUUUAAACAAUGGAAGUGCCUUGUCACAUUCUUAUUACCAGAUAAUAUAUACAUCAGCUCUAUUCAUACAAGUCACAUUAUUUGGUUUCCCUAUGUACAUAUCAAGCCCACAAAGCACAAUUAAGUGCAAAAAAACUUCCGUCAUUGCAGAAGAAAAAAGUCCACCAAAAAACAUUCAAUUUAAAAGGUAAAGUGAGCUAUAGCCAAAUAGCUAGGAUAUUCAGUAAUUCACACCCAAUGGUGAACUUGCAGCAGAUAGAGCAAGUGAAGCUCUCUUAACGAAUCUUCCUUUCAUUCGAGGUCGUUUCUCUGCAUUCAGUUUACGUACCUCGUACCUUAUCUUCUUUGAAAACAAUCUCGUCCUCCUCUUCUCUCUGUACCUCGAAACCCUAGCUUCUCUUCCUCCAUCCCCAAACCCACUUGAUGGUAAACAUCCACCAACGUAAUGCUUAUGAUGACUUUCUCCUCCAUUUAUUUCCUGGGAACACACAUUUUCAACUCUACUUUGUUAGGCAGGUCUUCAACAUAGCGAAAUGAAACAUUACCCUUGAGUUCCUAAAAUUUUUGAGUUAAUAUAUAUAUGAACAUAAACCUCUAAAUUAUUUUUAAAAUUUACUUAAUUAUUUAAAUCCUUCAAAAUCUCAAGGCCAUGUUGUUAGGUUACCACAUCUAACUUGGACCUAAUUAAAGUAAUAUAUAAGCACCAUGGACUAAUAUAUUCAUUUGACAUAUAAAGAAAACUCUUUUUGAUUCGUGACAAAAAAAGAACAGAAAAAAAAAAAAAACUCUUUUUGAUUUACAAAGAAUGAGUUUCUAUAACAUACCAUGGAAACAACUGGCUUGUCACUGAUGUCUAUGUCUCGUUCUGGUGGCUCUCUUGACAGCCACGGUUGACCUUGGCCUCCCCAAGUUGAUAUCACCGACUCGUAGUUUAAACUCAGCAUUAGAACAUUCUUUUGCUCUUCCUCCUCCACCUUAAUACAAUCAGCAUUCUUUAUCGCCUCUUCUUCGUAUGUGUUGUGUGAGUCGUGAUCAAACCUCAGCUCAAACGCCACAGUUCCAUCCCCAUCGCCCCGAUCCUCACCGCAGCAUAUUCCCAUGUUCAUGGCUUUUGUUUCUUCUCCUUCCUCUUCCUCUAUCUCGUCUUUUUCGAUUUUAAACAUCUCUGUAUUAGACAACCCUAGCUCCUCCAUCGCAUAGGACUCUGUGACGUCUAACCCGCGACCGAGUAGAAUCUCCACGUCAGCAGCGAACUCCUCAAGCUCCAUGUCGGUCGGGAAAAAACCAUUCAGACAACUUUCAGCGUUGUCUUCGUCCUCUUGAUCAUCGAUUGUAAUCAUAGGAAACUCGAUCUUUGGCUCAACGACAUCGUUUAAGAACUGCUCAGCCACCAUGGGAUCAAGAACCGGCACUUGACAGAUCAGCUGCUCUUCGAUCUCGUAGCUGUCCGUCUGAUCCUCUGCACUAAUCUCCGGAACCAAAUCAUGAAAUAUCGACAAAUUGUUUUUCUUACCAGACCCACGUGGAGUCCGAGGUUUACGAGUGAACCCUUGAUGCCACGUUGCAGCUUCAAGCGGUGGACAAGAAGCUGAGUGGUUGUGGCUGCUAUACUUUGUGGCCACGGGGCUGGCCGACUUCAAACGAACCCUCUCGUGCCGGCGAGCGAGAGGGUUCGCUGAGUGGACUAAAGUGUCGCAAGACUGGCAUAGAAAAGCAUCGUCAGCGGCGCAGUACCACCGUGCCCGCUUCUUCACACAGCUGUCGCAAGCUCUCGCCGUCUUGGCUCCAACAGCAUUCGCCAAAUUUUUCAUCUUUUUCACAAGCUCGAGAAACGAGAGAGCACGAGGGGGGGUUCAACUUCAAUAAUUGAAUAUUUUCUUCAAAUUAUUGCUCUCUGCAAAAAGUUAGAUAUAGUGUGUACUCUUAGGGGUAUAGUAUUGGGCAACGAGUGUUUGAGACUGAGAGGACAUUCCCCGCAUGUAGUGCGUUCUCAUUUGUCAGUGGAUUUUGAAGUAUUUUAAUGCACUUUUUGGGUGUUUAUGUCUUUAAUUGGGACCCACCUGAAGGCCUUAUCUGGAUUUUAAUUGGUUGAGUUCUGAAGAUGAUCCUUGUAAUAGGGUUUUGAUUGGUCUGCUUCUUUAUCCAAUGGAUUUCUUGUGUGGUCCAUUUUGUCGCUUUCCCUCAAUUUUUUCCUUUCUCUUAUUCGGUUUCGUUUAUUGAAGACUUUUUGUGGUUUUUGUUAUUUCAUUCUUUUCUGGUAGGAAAGAUUUCGGCCGGGUUGUAAAUAUUCUCAACUACAAAAAAAUGAAUGAAAAGUUACUAUACACGAGACACUUAUAAAAUAUUAAUAUGCAAAAUAGAUAGUUCUUUGGAACACUUGCAAAUAAAAACUUUUUAUUGUGAAGUAAAAGAAAAACCGACACCUUUACCAAAAAAAGAAAGAAAUAGCAAAUAUCAAAAAAGACCCCCUGUUUUGGUCAGUACAAACUUGUUAAAGAUACCACAUUCAAAAUUAUCACUAGCUUUGAGCACUGGAACCAUACACGUACCUUUGAACAUAUGUGUGAUAUUUUUGGAAGACUCUGCGGUUAUAACAUCCCAUGCAAUUUACACUAGAAAUUAGCCACGAUCAUGGCUACAAAUUUUUGUGACCAAGUAUUUCUGUCACUGUAUAGCCAAGGGAAAAUUUUCAAAAUAGUUGGGAAAAUCUUGGCGAGUCCAUAAACAAUAUAUGGUUUGCAAAAGUCUCUUUGGUCUUUGUCCACCGAUUUGAUUUAUGAAACAAUUAUGAAUCUAUAUCAGAAAAUAUGUCCAUGAGAUCUAUAACUAUUUAUAUAGGUGAAAAUAAUAUAUCUUUUUGAAAAAAAUGGCGUAAUUCAAGUAAAAGUUUUAGAUGUGAAUUUUUAUAAAACAGUAUAAUAUAGUUCAUGUGAAAUUAUCAGAUGUGGAUCUUCGUAGAGUAGUAUAAUUGUUUGUAGUAAAAUUCAUAAAUCAAUAUAAAGAGCAAUCAAAGUCUUUCUUGGAAGCUAAAAUGAUAGGGAUGGCAUUCGAUAGACCACAAAAUACAGCAACGAAGUAUCCGUUGUCCAAUUAUUCUACAUAUUUACCAGUGACCACAGAGCAUUUGUGGCCUUAAUGUGACAAAUCUAACAGGUUUAAAUGGAUUUGGUAUCUAGCCCAAAGAUAUGUGGGCUGAUAUUGUUAAAGGAUCUCGAAACAAACUGUAAUAAUAAAAUCUAAAUGGAGGCCCAUACUUUAACCCCAAGAAACCCUUACCAUAUCCUUGCAAAAGUUGCAGAACUCACUUUGGUUCGACCGUUAAUUUUAGUUGUUACGAGAAAAUGAUUAUUAGUCAUCCAAAUUUCAAUGGUAGGAGAGUCUGCUUGCAGUUUCUGUAUGUUUCACUCCACAAAUCUAGGACGAACUGAACAUAAUUUGUACUCAAGAUUUGUAUAAUUAAGACAGUUCGUGUACCCUAGAGUUUAAGUGGCUAGAAGCAAAAGCAAAAAAAAUGACCGCUUGAUGAGGAUCAAACCCAGGUUUACGUUUUACCUAGACAUAGAACUUGAUGUUAUACCACUAGACUAAGGCAAUUUUUUGGAAAAAUGUGGCCGAAUUUUAAUGAUAAAUAUGUCGGCUGGAAGCAGUUGCUUCUUUUGUGGCCCAAGGGCCGGCCCUGCGUGUACCACUCAUCGGUGAGAGACACGGUGGUGAUUUACUGUUUAUGUUCGUUAAACCCAUCAUAAUGAGAUCUGAGAAGUGCAUGUUUAGGUGGAGUCCUAGCUACUUGAGAUAUAGUUAACCCUAUUGAAUUCAUGUAGAAAAUCUUCAUUCAUUACGCAUUUUCGAGUGGUAUAUUUGAUUUCUUAUUUGGUGGAUUUGUUUUAAGGCGUAAAACCAAAGAUGUUGGUAGGACAGGAACUUCUCAUUAACAAUUUGUUCCUCUUUAAUUUUUUCUUAGUUCUUUGAAAAAACUUCACCGUUAAAAUUUUGAAUUAUACCUUCCAUAUUACGCUUUGAUAAUAUAUACUGAUCCCCAGAUUUUAUCAGGGGUAAAAAUUGGGAUGUGUAAGGAUGGAGAGGUGUUGAUAAAACAGCAAAGAAUCUAACGACUUUAAGAAUAAAGAGGUGUGGGUAAAAUAUAGCACUGGGGAGAGCGUAGAGGCAACAACUAACCACAUGAAUAGACUACAGUUUCACGUAUAACCAACAUAUUGUUUGCAUUCAGUUAUUGCCGAAAUAAAAGAACGGCCAGUGUUAUAUUGCAGUUAUCUUUCCCAAUCCAAUUAUGGCGAGACUGACAACGCAUCUCUCUUACCACUUCCACAAGUCUCAUUCAUUUAUUUCUAGGGAUGACAAUGCAUGUUAGGUCUGUUCCGGAAUGCACUAAAAAUAUGUGUGCAUCGUGACUGAUUGGUCCGCCAAAUACACAUUGAAGACUUGAAGUGAGGAGAAUUCAAAAACACACACAUGUGUUGAGACACUGAUAGUACCUCUCAUUUUUUUUUUCACAAAUCAAAAUUCAUUGCAAUGAAAAGUACCUCUCAUCAAAUAAAUUUGAUAGAGUCUAAUAGGAAACGAGCUAGCUAAUAUAUGGUCUAAACAAUAUCUUCAUCGAAUAUUGAAGUAAUCUUGUAGAUCUUUUGCUACAGCACUUAGGUUUUUAAAAUCUCAAUUUUUACUCCUAUUUUUGUGAUUGUAAAACUUCUCAGGUCAGUCCAUAGACAUACCUACAUAGACAUAUCAAUUCUUAAUAAUACUGGUUUAGCAAAUGCAUAAACGGUCGGAAUUUCCUAGCCAUACAAGAAAAUGAAAAUGGGUCUGGAGACUUGUUUGCUUCUGUGCUUUAAGACGUUAAUGUGCUAAAUAUUUUUAGUAAACUUGUUUAACCCGUGCCAUUCGUGUAACCAAUUACGUAUUUGACUAUUUGUACGAUCAAAAGGUAUAUAAAAGAAAACAGACAGAAAUUAAAACUAAAGAAAACGAUUCACCACUUUAAGGUUCUCACCAGAAUUUCCGUGCACAAAGUUAAAUUGGAUUUUAGUAGGCUGUCAAGUCUAUCAACUGUACAACCACAUGGCCUGGCCCCCUAUUGAACUCCCCCCCUAUUACCUAAUACUAUUGAUUACAUAGCUUUUAUUGGUCAAACCCAAAAAACUUUUAUUUUUCUUUUGCUUGCUCUGUUCUGUUUAAUUUUUCUUUUGUUAGCUCAGGCCUCAGGUAUAUAAGCACAUUCAAGGCAACGUUAAGAGAAAGAGAAGUAUUAUUUCAAAUUUCUAAAAAAGAAGAGAAAAGUAGCAUUUGAUACAUCACAAAUAACAUAUCACGAGAAUCUAAAAAGAAAUAAGAAAAAGAAAUACUUCAAAUGAAAAAAUAGAGAUGUAAAAAUAUACGCAGAUAUGAACAUUUUUAUGGUAUUCGUAUCGUCUUUUUCACUUUUCUCUAUCAUAUUCCAACCUUAUUGAAACGUAUCACCGAAAAGAGAGAGAGGCAUGCUCAUAGUUUGACAACUUCAGGGAUAAAGACAGGGUAUCGGUCGAUACAAUCCGACCAUGGUCCCUCCGUUGGUGUCUUGAUCGUACGAUUAGAUUUCCACACGGCUGAGUUACACUUGAAUCCACUCCCGAACGCGAUCUGCCAAACCCUGUCGCCUCUCUUCAUCUUCCCUUUAGCCUCGAUGUAGCUAAGCUCAUACCACAACGAAGACGAAGAUGUGUUACCAAACCUAUGUAACGUCAUUCUCGAGGCUUCCACGUGCUCUGCCGAUAGCUGUAGGUUCUUCUGCAGCUCGUCGAUUACUGCUCUACCUCCAGCGUGGAUGCAGAAAUGUUCGAAAGCCAUCUUACACGUGCUCUGCCGAUAGCUGUAGGUUCUUCUGCAGCUCGUCGAUUACUGCUCUACCUCCAGCGUCGACGCAGAAAUGUUCGAAAGCCAUCUUGAAAUCUGGUAUGUACGGCUUCCACUUUGCAUUAAAGAUUUUACGUCCGAUGAGAGACGUGAGGAAGAGCAGCUGUUCGGAUGCCGGUAGGACCAAAGGACCUAUUCAUCCAGUACUUGUGUUAAUUCAAGAAGAAGAAAAACAUGAUCAUAGUGAUAUAAAGUCAUUAACUCUUAGACAAAUUAUUAUACAACAAUUUAAAAUUUACGAUAUAAACUAAGCCGCAACUGUGUUUUUGGUCCUGAUGAGUGACCACUGUGUUUGUGUCAGAGUCUAGCAGGUGUAUAUAUAUAUUUCAUAUGAACUCUUAAACAUUUUAAAGCAGAAUUUGUUCCAUUUAUAUUUGCGUUUUGCACAAAUAUUUUUUCUUGAAAAACUGAAAAUAUUUAUUCCUAAAGAGGUGAAUUAAAUGCACUAAGUGUUGGCCCAAUCCAACUCUUAUAGUUAUGAUACUCCAUCGGUUUAUAAUGUAUGAUGUUAUGGGUAAUACAAAAAAAGUUAAAUGUUUUUUUGUUCAAAAGCAUUUUUAAAAUAAAAAAAAAUUAUUUAACUAUUUUAUAAAAAUGAUUGUAAAAUAUAAAGUUAAAAUUAAGAUGUUAAAAUAUUUUACAUUUUAAAAUAAUAGAAAUCUUCUAAAAGUAUCCUGAAACUAUUAUAUCGUUAGGAAUGAAAAGAAAAUCAUGUAAACAAAGCAUAUUGUAAUAAGGAUUUUGAGUUACCUAUGGUGGUGAUGUUAGACUUCAAGGCUUCUCCAGCGAUGGCCAUGAGAUCUUUAUUCAAGUUGAUUCCGACGUGACUUUCAUCGUCUUCCUGCUGGUAAACGCAAUAGUACGACUUGUCUUCCGCACCCCGGUGGGUCCUGACAAGGUGACAGAGCUUAUACUUAGCUCUCCACCUGUCUGAUCUGCGGUUAGAGAGAAGAAUAGCCGCUGCUCCCAUGCGGAAAAGGCAGUUUGGGAGCAACAUAGCUCUCUCUUUGCCCUGGUAGUAAUUAGGAGUAAUGAUCUCAGUGCUAACUAUCACAGCGUUGGAGUUAGGAUGAACUUGUAACAAGUCACGUGCUACAUCAACAGAGAUAAGACUAGCGCUGCAUCCCAUCCCGGAGAGGUUAAGGCUCUUGAUGUUACUCCUGAGCUUGUACUUGUUGAUUAUCAUGGCCGAGAGAGAAGGCGUUGGUGAGAAAAGAGAGCAGUUAACAAUGAGUAUGUCGAUGUCUUUAGGUUUAAGACCUGUUUUCUUGAAGAGAUCGUCCAUGGCAGUGAAGAUAACCAACUCUGCUUCGCUUCUUGCGGCAUCCAUCGUUGGAGUUGGAGGGAUGUAGUGAAUAGCUGGAGGGAGACAAGUUUCUUCUCCGAGGCCAGAUCGUUCGAGGAUUCUCAUUUGGAACUCAACGCUCUUUGGACUGUCUAUGAGGUUGAGACGAGAGUGUUCCAUGAACGUAGCGAACGGGACACGGCAAGUAACGGGGGGUUUGAAGCAAGAGUAGUCAACAAGGUAGAUGGUGCGUGGCUUGGACAUGAAGUAAACGGUUGAAACGAAUAUGAUGAGGAAAGAGGAACAUAGGAUGUGAAGUAGAUUGAAGUUGAGUGAGUUCAAGUGGUUGAGUAUCUCUUCAGGACCCAUUCGGAAAAGCUCAAGGGCGGUGUAUGCUAGGAUUGGAAUUAGAAGAAGGGUGAGGAAGUUGUUGACUAGGUAUUGGUAACCGAGUUUAACAUAUUUGUGCUUCGUGGAGGUCGAGAGAUCAGGCAUUUUAGGAGGCGACAUGGUUAAGUGUUUUGCCUGUGAGAUUUGGAGGUGACAAAGGGAAAGAAGGAAAGGUUUGGGAUAUAAAGGGGAAGCAGAGCGUUGAGAGGAGUUAAUGCAUAGGCUCAAGCUUCACAUCACUCAACGCUCUCUCUCUCUCUCUCUCUCUCUCUCUCUGGCUACCCAUUUCUAUGUGUUUAUAUUUUUGAUUUCACUCAUUUACCAAAUAAUAUUUCCUUUUUCUUCUUGAUUUCCAGUUGUAACCAGAGAGAAACGUCAUUUAUGGUGCAAAUGAUUAACGAGUUAAUACCUUUUAACCUACUUCAGCUCAUCAGUUUGGAAUCUUCUUCUCAUUUUUCUAAAAGAACAUGCAAAAAAUAAAAGGCAAGAUACGAGAUGUGUCAGUUAUGUUCCUUUUAACGGAUGUCAAUGACUUCCGUAAUAACAGUUCAAAAGUUACACGGCGUGGUACACAAACUCGCAAAAGUCAUUUUUCGUUUUAUGUUUUUUUUUUGUGUGCAAAUAAACAACAUAUUUUGUUCAACUUUUUAGGGACAACCAUUAGAACUUCAAUAAAUAAAUAAAAAUAUUUUUUCUCGGUUAUUCUCCUAAAAAUUGAUAAUGUAAAAUGAAUUGAAAGAUACUAUUUAGGUAUAUCUGAAAACAAAAUCGAAACUGAAUUUAGUGUAACAGAAUCGAAUCAACAAAUUCUAUUUUAGCAAAUUAAUCAUUUAAAAGUGAUAAAUAUUCCAUAUACAAUUAUACAUAUAUGCCUCUAUUUUAUAAUUAGCUAAAUAGUUAUAUGUUGAUUCCUUGUUAUCUGAAAUCAUGCUAAAUUCAAACAAAAUAUCAAGUAAUAAUUUUACCAUACCGAAACGUAAUGAGUUUUGGUUAUAGUUCUAGUUUGGUGCAUGUGGAAUGGAGUAAUGGACAUAAUAUAUACAAGCGAUCAUCACCUAAAACGCCAGACUGUAAGUUUAAUUUGAGCUUUGCAAUCAAGCUGGCGUUUGGGAAAUAGGAAAAUCUGUCAAGGAGAUAGUUUGGUUUUAUAGUUCCAGAACUACAAAGACGAACAUAACCUAUCACAUAGUAACUAUCAAGAAAUGCUUAAAUUUCAUUCUAAUUACAAAAAAGGAUGACCAUCCGUAGACCUGAAAAGAAAAUUAAAACUUGUCAUAUUUGUUCAGAUGAAUUCUGUCGCAUGGCUGGUUCAUACUUGUAACUUGUAAGCCACUCGUUAAUGUCUAUUGUAUUCAAUAAACCUCGAUUUUAUGUUAUACGAAGUUUUGUAGUAGAAAAUGGAAGUAGGUAUCGUUUUUUUUUCUGUGGGGAGUGUGAGUUAAUGUUCUGAUUGUAUUCAGAACUUUUAAUUAUUGCAAUAUCCAAAACCGCCUCAUAUCAUUGCUGGAAAAUCGCAAGUGGAAUACAACAACAGUGAAUUUGUGUUACGUUUUUCUUUUUUUACACAAGGGUCGUUUUGUUGUUUUUGUUUUGGGGUUUAAAUUGGUGUAACGUCGAAGUUGCAUUAGUCUAGUAAUACAACUCCAACAUAAUCAGAGACUACUAUCGAUUCUAUACUUGGUGUGGAGUGACGAUACAUACAUUACAUAAACGUGUAAAUAAAACAAUGGUCCUCCUUUAUACGGAUAAUGAGUACAAUAAUACAAAAGUAAAUUUAUGGGGUGUCGAACCAACCAGCGGCUAACUAUAACUUCCCUUUAACAAUAAAUAAAUUAGUACACACAUCACAUUAUUAAAAAAAGAAGAAAUCUAUAUCGACUUUGAGUUAAUAAAGGAAUUAGUUGCAACUCUCAACUAUAUGAUAGCUUAGUAUUUAUUACAGUAUAUUAAUCACUAGGGUCGACCCGCGCUACGCGCGGGAAGUCUUAUAUUUGUGCUAUGAACAUUUGUAAUUUAUUUUGCAGAAUUUGUGGUUUUAAAAUAUGGUUGUUUAUUGUUUGACCAAUAAAAAUACAGUUGUUUAUGCAUAUGAUAUUAGUGUUUUGUUACUUAGUAUUAAUACGAUGUCUUAUAAUACGAUCCAGAGCUAUGUGUGCCAUGUGAUGUAAUUUUUUACUUCUUAAGAUAUCAAAUACUGUCUUUGGUUCAUAUGAUUAGCUGAUUGAACUUAAAAAAAAAUUUGGUAUUAUGUGGAACAAUUCUGCUAAAAGUCAUAAACAACCGGUGUUUUUCUUGUUUUCUUAAAAAAAUAUUGCAUUCGUCAAGAAGCUGUUGGUACCUGACAUGUUGUCAUCACCCACGUCGAGAUCAUAGUCUGAGUCAGCGUUUAUGGCACGACGACUGUGGUUUCUAUUGCUCGGCUCGCCCUUACCAGAUUUAGCUCUGCUUUUGGUUGUUUUCUUAACCAUAUCUUAGAGUAUAUUCAUUCUUUCUUUUUCAUCAAACAGCUAUGUAUUGCCUAACUUGAGCUUGUCUGGAAAACCAGACCGGAAACAUAACAACUAAUGUGAUACAUGUCCUUAUGAAAUGAUCUUGCUAUCUCAGCUAAUGAAUCAGAUGAUACAUUUUCAAACCGAGGAAUAAAAACAAUCGAGAACUCCGUGAAUCCACUCUUCUAUGUUAUUGUUUCUAUGUUACAAUGUCCUAUGAGUUUUAUAGAUGUUGUUUAAAAAUAUAGGGAAGCAAUAGGGUAAGUGAAAAACAUGGACGGCUAUGUCUGUAAUGGAUUGGUUUUAGUGAGAUAGUUAAUCGUUUUAGUUAGGUCUGGGCAAAAAAACUGGAACCGAAUAACCGAACCAAAAUAUCCAAAACCAGAACCGUGCCGAAAAUCUUUUAUAUCCGAACGGUUCCUAUAUUUCUAUAACCGAAAUAACUGAACCGAACCGGAACCAAACCGAGAACCGAACGGAUACCCCAAUAGAUAAAUAAUAUUAAUUAUUAUAUACAUAUAACAUAACUAAAUAUAUAUUUUUAAUUUAAAAUCUAUUAAAGGUAUCCGAAAAUAUCUGAAUAUAACUAAAUUAUUAUAAAACAUCCAAACUACCCGAAAGUAUCCAAAAGUAUAAGGAUAGUAUUUUCUGAAAUUCCUAAAAUAAUCUUAAAUAUCUAAAUUUUUAUCUAAAUCAUCAUAAUUAUUUGAUAGUUUACCCUAAAUAACCAUAAGAAGUAGUUAAGUGUCACAAACUUGAGAGAUAUGCAGUACCGGUCCUGAGUUUUGCUAGGCUCCAUUCAAAAAUAACAUAUAUAUAUAUAUAUAUAUUUUAGUACAAAAUUUAAUUUAUUAUAGUAAUUAUAUAUUUUGAAAAUGAAUAAUGAUUAAAAAACUUUUAUUUGUUUUAGUAUAUGUAUUUUAUAUUUUUUAAUUGAUUUAUUAAUAUAAAAUUUAUUACUUUGAUAUGUUUAGAUAUUUUAUUCUAACUAAAUCUACAAAAGUAUCAAAUUUUUAUACAAUUUUUUUAGAAAUAAAAUGAAACCACAGAGUAGGCCCCAUCCCAAUGUAUCAUGGGUUUGGGGUCAAGCCCGGCACUGGAGAUAUGCAAGGGAAGUCAUGUGUGAUUGACGUUGUGUUGAAUCUUAGUGUUAUUAGGUUAUUAUUAUUUUGGAUGUUGUUGGGUGUUCGUGUUAAUUAACUAUUGAUGCCAAUACGUAGUAAUCAAAUAUUUUUUUCCUCAUACUAUGGCAACCAUUGUAAUUAAUAAACUAUGCAUAUUAUUGUGUUGAAAUAUUUUAAAAGGAAUGUAAUUAAUAAACUAUGCAUAUUAUUGUGUUGAAAUAUUUUAAAAGGAAAAAAUCUAUGGAGGCUAUUGGAUUAUGUACUGGGACUAUCCACUGUAACCGUUACUGGGUUUCUAUUGGAUCCUUAAUGGACGAAGCUCUAAUACUAUAUUUAACACAUAGGAGGUUCGAACAUUCGUUUGGGGACAAAAAAAAGUAGCUCGUGUAUACUUAGAGAACGAAUAGUUUUUAGUCGAGACCACUAUGAAAGAAUAACAAACUAUAUAGUUGUAGUCGUACACGUAUAGUAUAUACAUCUGUUAAUUGAGAAAGGUUAAAUUUGCAAACACUUAUAUCUUAUCAUAACCGUAAUCUACAUGUAUGUAGACAUUCGCAGCAAGUCUAACUGUUAUUAUAAUUCAGCUGAAAAACUUUUAAUUUGAGUAAAGACAAUAUGUGAGUGUUUUAAAAAAACCUGUUUCAAAAAAAGAGUAAGAUAAUAUGUGCUAAGCAGGUAAACAUAAACGGUUAAAUAUAAUAAGUCAUGAAAAUGAUGAUAAAGUCCAAAAAAGCAUUUUUUAUUAUAGUUUUAGUUUUUUUUUAAAACAUACCAGACUCCAUUAGAGGACAUAGUUUAAAAGAAAACUCACGUUAACACAAAAUCAUUAUUGAAACAGCAAGUACUCCAUCCGCAUCACAACCCUCAUCCUCACUUAUUCCUUACGUGGCUUCUUGACCACCUUUGAAGACUUUGAUGCCUAAGGUUUCUUGAUGGCGACCACUUAGAGAUGUUCCAGCAAUGGUUUGAUGCGUGGUGUUACUGCAGGUCACGCAAGGAUGAGACCGUUCGUUGGAGCUUCUUUGUGCACCUUGAGCAAGAGACGUAACACCAGCCUUUCUCCAGUUUGAUAUCAGUCACCAUUCCAGUGCAGACAAAUUCAAUGUCCUAUAUUUUGAACCUUUCAGAACCACAUACAGAAAAUAAACUUUAAACAGUAAAAACUGACUGUACAACCUGAGGCUCGGAAAUGAUGACGAACUCAUUGAGCUCAGCUAUAGUAAGAGGCUCAACCUUUGCAUAGCUUCUCAGCAAUGAUGGAACAGGGGUGAUCCCAAUGGCUUUGGAAACCGGCAUGUGCUGUUACAAAGCAUUCCGUGAGAGUUUGUUAUGGAUGUAAUAAUUUAUGAAUCGUCAAACACUUACUCCUAAAAUUGAAUUUCCCCUGAUCAGUUGCCUUGUCGGAAAAUAAAUGCGUUCCCGAGGUGGCAUUCAAGAACAAACGUCCUGCAGAAAAAUAUUCAAUCUGUGUUUCAUGAAUAUUAGGCCUCCUCACAUGUAAGCACUAAAGUUUAAAAUUAGUAUAACUGAUCCUAUGCAUUAUGUGUAUUUAAUUCCAGACAGAAAUAUACUUCCUACCAUCUUUGGGUUUAUGCUAAUUGCAACAACAACCCUUGGAUCUCCCAGGAAUCCUUCAAGUUUCUUGUGAAAAGAGACAUCUUGUGAGUCAAUCAGACUCAAAGUGACAGAGAUAUUACUAUGAAAAGGAAGAUAGAACAUAAAACGGUCAAUGUAUAUUCAAAAGAAAAGUAAGAUAAUUUAUGAAAGUAUUGAAUAGAUUCAUAUGUAGAAGAGAGUUUACCUGUCGAUCUUAAAAGUCCCAUAACUCGCUAGACUAAAUGUCACUCACUGUACUUUUCACAGCAGUGAGCUCACCAAUAACGUUCCUAAAAGAUUAAGAACAUCUUAAUUUAUUAUCUGUUUCAAUAAUAAGUCUGUCAUAAACAGUCUUUAAGAAAAGUUGUACAUGGAAGAGGUGUUGGUGUUGGCUAAUCACGGAACCUGAAACGUUUUACAGGAAUGGGUGAAUAUGGUUCGGUUAGCACAUCUAGAUUGGUUGAAUCACUGAACAGUAUUGUCAUAAGUGAGUCUGAAAGCCUGAAGUUCUGGUUGCACCGAGUGAUAUCAAAUCCGCAGCCUGGAGACGAUCCCUGAAAUUGGCUAGCCGGUGAACGUUCACGGUGGCUGGCAUGAGGGUUGACUGUAACGAAUGUGAAAAGAGAUCUUUAUAAAAAAAACGUUAUGAAAAAACAACAAUAGGUUCAAUGAAGAUUAAAUCUAUAUAAAAGUUUAAUUCGUGUGAAGGUGGUUGCCGGAAAAAUAAAAAUAAAACUAUGAGCAUGAGAUAAAAAAACGUUCAAACCUUCACAUCGAAGAGGAGCAUAUCAACCCCCAUUAACUCAUCACCGCGUUGUGCUUUUUCGGCCUCCCAGAAUUGGAGCAUCCACACCUGGAUCGGAGCAACCACACCUGGACGAUGGAAGAGGAAUAACCAGCCAUCAAAUCACCAAGAAGAACAUGUGAUUUAGCUAUAAUUGAAGAUUUUCUUUGUUUUCUGGAGAAUCACAAAAUGUAAGGAUGAUGUUCAAGGGUAGAAGGCUUACCUUUUUUAUAAGUAAAAAAACGGCCUUGGAGUUGAAUGAGUAUGAUUGAAUGAGACGUCGUGCUUAAUUGCGUCGGUGGAGUUAAGACAUCUCUUAAAGCCGAUGAAAGAAGAGAGUCGUAACGUCUGGGGGUUCAGGACCAAAUACGAAACGACGAUGCGUUUUAAUCGAUUAGAUCGCCAUUGUUGCUCAAGCUCGUUCAUUGUGAAGAUAACGGCUAACCCUAAUUUUCACCACCGUCUGUCGCCUGAAGGAUCCCCAAAUGGACACCAUUGUAGCUUUAGCUAGUAACAGAGGAAUAACACAGAUGAACCCUGGUUUUGCCGUUCGUGAAGAAGGUAAAAGACAAUCAGGUGGGUUGUUUAGUUAUAAGCCCAAACAAAAAGACGAAACCCAACUAUAAACUAUAGAAGCCCAAAUAAUCCAUUCAGAAUAAAUGAAGCUCUGCGUUUUGGGGAAGCCGGACACGUGUCACACUCACAAAAACCGAAUUUGUGAUCUGGAAUCCUAGGUGGCUUCACCAGGAGAGAUCAAACCAUACUUUAUAUAUAAAGAUUUACAUACGUUUAUCUCCAGACUCCACAAUCGCUUUCGGUUGGGAUGUUGAUGAUUGUUAUUUCAACUUUCAGCUUUUGGCAGUCUGUCCCUUGUAGAGUAGUAACUUUAGUAUAAACCCUAAAACUCUACUUAACACAUACUUAAGCCUAUUUAAAAAAAACUCUAAACAUACUUUCUUUAAAAAAAAAAAAUACUUGCAGAAGUUAUAAGAACUUUUUAGAACCUUGUUUCAUGGUCAGUUUAGCUUUAUUUAGGUUACGAAUAUUAUCUAGUACUUGUAUAUAUAAUCUAUUGUGUAUAUAUUAUUCUAUGCAAAGAUCAAAGUUUUUUUUUUUGAUAUCCAAAGAUCAAAGUUUAGACUACUAGUUUUCUGCAAAUAAAUAAGAACCUAUGAAGCAAUGGUUUUUAUUUCAUUUAUGUGAAUGGUAAAUUGUUAAAUUACUAUUAGUAAACUGAUAAAAGACUACAAAAUUAUGAACAUGGAACUUAGCGUGUGAUUUCAUUUCACUUAAAUAUAUUUGCUUUUGUCAGCAAGAUCUUGAGGUUAUCCUACAAUUAAGAAGCUGGUGUUUCUGGUGAUCACCCAAAGCAUGGGCCGGCGACAACUUCUCUAUGGUAUGUUGCGAUGUAUGGGCUUAUCAAGGCACUAACCUUAUAUGCUUAUAUAUUGACUCUUAAGUUCACUUGUAAUAACCCGUAUAAUCUCUACAUUCAGAUUCAAACCCUCUGAAAUAAUUGGGCCAACUUGUAAGUUUUUAUUAAAUAUUUAAUCUCCUAAAUAUCAAACAGAAAGAUAGUUAGUUGGCAGAAUAAUUAGAUAUCUAAUCUCCAACUUGUAUGUAAUAUUAAAUAUGUUGACGUUCGAAGAAUUAAAUACGGUUGACGACUGACUUGUUGUCGGAAAUGUGAUUCAAAAAGUCUUAAUUUUAUUCUGUAAAUAGUGUAUAGAAAAUUUAAUUUUAGCUAACAAAAAUUUAAUAUAUAUAUAUAUAUAUAUAUAUAUAUGUGUGACUUUCUAUAAAUGAAUAACCCGAUAAAUAUAUAAAUACUACUGUGUAAUACAUAAUCGAAAUAUAUAAUUUUCUAAUCUAAUCCACAAAAUUUUACCUUUUCAUAAUUUCAAUUAAAUCAUUUAAUUACAACCAUAUAUAAGUAUACCAGGUGUUGUACAUUAGAACUCCAGACCAUAUAUAUCAAUAGAACUUUAUGUUGUGAUAGAAAUUAUUAAACAAUACUCCCAACAUAUACAUAGUUUGAUAAAAACAAAUCCACAACUAGUCCAGUUCAUACUUUAUUAAAUUUGACUUGAACGAUUAGUAUUCAAAAAGUCAAUCAGAAACUAAACUUAGCCCGAAUUGUGAAUCCCUUAUAAUCUAGUUUCUCAUUAUACACCAACAAUCAGAAGAACAGAAUUGAAUAAAAAUUAAAAUGGCAGAAUAUUUGGUAACUGGAGGGACAAGCUUUAUAGCUUCUCAUGUUGUAAAGGCACUUCUCGACUUUGGCUAUUUCGUAAGAACAACUGUUAGAGACUCCUCAUGUACUUUUAGAUUCCUCAUUUUUGUUUGGUAAGAACGUUAAUAUCAUUAAAAUGAAUUGUGAGGAAGAUACAAAGGUGAAGUCCUAAAGAAACGCUGUGACUGUUUUAGUUUCUAACUGUUUGUAAAGAUGAAGAGAAGGUUAGGUUUUUGUGGGAGUUGAAAGGAGCAAAAGAAAGGUUGAAGAUUUUCGAAGCAGAUCUAACGGUGGAUGGAAGCUUUGACGAUGCAGUCAAAGGUGUUGAUGGAGUCUUUCACAUCGCCUCUAGGAUUUCUGUUUGUCUGGACGACAAUGAUCUGGUCAGACACAUAAAAAUAGUCUCAUUUUUACUAAUACAUCAGUCAGAGUAAUUGAAAUAUUAUCACCAAGGAAUUGGCCUAUUAUCAAAAAAGUCUCUACUAAAUCACAUUAGGGGCUGUGGGUUCGAUUCCCGUUAGAAUGAGUCAAAUAUUUUAAAACGUUAAUUUAUUAUGGUUUGGCUUCGCCCAAUAGAGAUGUACGGGUUUCGGGGUCCUGAAUUUUUUAGAGAACACUCGUUUUAGAGCAUCUCUAACCAUUACACCAAAUUUAAUGUAUUCAACAUCAAAUUUAAUGUUUUAAUGUCAUAUUUCUUUUGUCAUCUCUAACAUGACACAAAAAUUAAUAUUAUUAUACUAGGAUCGGCCCGCCCUACGGGCGGGUUGUGAUGUCUUGGUUUUUAUCGAUGAUAUAAUUUUUCUUUAAUGUUCAUUUGGUUGUUAUUGUGAUUAUGUUAAGCAAUCAGUGUUAUUUACAUCAAAUUCCAAUUAUAUAACUAAAAAUGACAUGUGAGCAUACUUAGUAUUGGCGUUGAUUCAGUUACAAAAUUUUAUAGUGUUAUAAUACUCAUAAAAUUUUUCUAAAUUUAAACUUCGAGCAUUAUAAGUUAAAUCAAACAAAAUCGAUCAAAAGAGAGCACAAUAGAGAAACUUUGUUAAACCACAGAUAGUAAGAAUAUCUUUAGAUCUUAUGGUAUGAAAAGUUGAAAUUUAGUUUCUUAUUUUUCCUAUGUAGCCAAAGAAGGAGCAUAGACCUUUUAUAUUAUGUUUUUGAUCAAAUGAGAGUUUCAACAAUUAGAGUAUGAGAAAUCAAAUACAAUUAUAAAUGGGUUAGAUUUUAAUAGAUAUAUAUUACAUUAGAAUUGACUACUAAAAUAUAAUUAAUAUGCCAAUUGAGAAUUUUUUAUUUAUUUAUUCAAUGUGUUGCUCAACAAAUUUAAAAUGAUUAGAACUCACUAUUUGUUAUAUUUUCAGUAUUGGAAUUAACAGAAGGUAAAUUUAAUUUAAUUAGACUUUGUUUAUGCUUUAAAUACUUUUAUCUUAUUAUUAUUUUUUCAUAUAAACAAUUGUUUAAAUUUUUAUUAACUUCUUCGCUUUCUUUUUGACUCCUGCAAUUUUUUUUUUUCAAUUUCUUCAGAUCUUUUCUUAACUUCUUUAGAUCCUUCUUUUAAAAAAAAAAAUUAGAUUUUUCUUUAUGCUUUGACGUUUACUUAAUUUCUUUUAAUAUAUUGUUUCUUUUCUUUCAUUGAUCAUACAUCCUUUGCUUUUAAAUCCAAUAGUUGCAUUAACUUCUGGGAUUUUUGACUUCUUUUCUUCCCAACACACUCAUUUUAACCUUGUCCAUAUAAGCUUUGAUCCUCUUUACAUUAUUAACAUCAUUCCCUUUCCCACUAGCAGAUAUGUCUCUUAUCCAGUAAAAGCAAAGAAGAAAUUAAAACAAGCAAAAGAAUCAAAGGAAACAAAAACAUAAAAGCAAGUAAGAAAAAUCUAGGUAGAAAACAAAAAGGCAAAUCUGAUGUUGAUUUUAGAAAGAGAAAACGAGAGAGAAAACUGCUUUAGAAAACAUGAAAAUAAGAGAGGGAAAAUUGCUUUAUUACAAGAUUGAUAAGUAGAACUAAAUGAUCAAAAGUGUCAAGACAAAAGAAAUAUACAAUCUCUAACAAUCAAUUAAUGACAGGAUGUAAUUUCUAAUUUUUUUUCACAAAUGACACAUUAAGUUUUCAUUAUCAAUCAAAUAAUAUAGAAUUUUCCCCCUAAAAUUUUGAAAGUUUUUUUAAAAAAAUAAAUUGUAGUGAAAACAAUGCUUUGACAAAAAAAAACCGUUUUAUAAUACAUUCCAAAUCAGUUUAUGGUUAGUAAAACGUUUUGUUUCUAUUUUAAAAAGUUCAAGAAGAGAGGAAGCGUACCCGUGUAGACUCUAUUUCCAUGGGAAUCGUCUCCUUCAAGCAACUCUCUAAUCGCUACGGAGUUAGUCUUCACUGCUGUGUACAACAUUGAGCCGUGCGAGCUCUUCUCUAUAAACGAUGUAUUCCAUAUCUGGCUACAUAUUUUCUGCCCCGAGUAAUUGGAGAAAGAAUAUGAAGAAGAAGAAAGUGAAAGGAAAUAAUUGAUUCUUGCGCUAAAGAAGAAAGUGAAAGGAAAUAAUUGAUUCUUGCGCUAAAGAAGAAAGUGAAAGGAAAUAAUUGAUUCUUGCGCUAAAGAAGAAAGUGAAAGGAAAUAAUUGAUUCUUGCGCUAAAGAAUAUGAAGAAGAAGAAAGUGAAAGGAAAUAAUUGAUUCUUGCGCUCUGAUAACAAAUAUAUAUAUAUGCCUCAAUUUUCCUUUUUGCAGCAGUCUCAAUAUCCUUUAUGCACAAAAAAAUGAAAAUAGCAUGCCGUUGCCUCCCACAGUCCAAUAAAAUACUAGCCAUUGGACUAGAAUAAUUAUUAUUUUAAUUGAAUUUGCUUUUUUUUUUUUAUCAUUAACUAUAUACUCAUACUGAUUCUGUGAAGCAAACCGGGAGAUCUUGAUCCAUGUGAACGACGAAAGACGAUUGCUUCCAGACACUGCGUGCUAGGCUAUCCGCCUUUGAAUUUUGCAUCCUUGGUACAUAGAUGAUCUCUGAUCUUUGGUACAUAGAUGCGAUCCGGUACACCCUCAUGUGUGUAUGAAAGGUCAUCGCAGAUCAUUCAUGGCCUCCUCUGUAUCACUCAUCUUUUGAUUCUUGACUCUACAUGAGACGCGUCACCACUAUAAGGAAGAAACGAUGAUGAAUCUUGUGAAACAAUGAGAUAUGUAGAUGGCUGCACCACUAUAUAUGGUAUGGAAAAUUAGGGAUUUGCAAAGAAGAUGGGAAGAGAAGUAAUUAAAUUCGAGUAGUGGGAAAGUUGAAUGGAGUGACUUAAUGGUGAAACUUAAUAUAUUUUCUCAAUGGUGGAGAAAGCGUUACAUAUAGUUAUGUUUCUGCAGUGGAAAAUAGAAUAAUAUAGAAGACGAAAAUCUGUUUAAAAAAAAAAAAAUAUGAAGAAGAGAGUUCGAAGGAGGAGCUUGUGGUGGGCUCCGUAGGAAGUUUAGUUAAUUAUAAGCAAUUCUGAUUUUGUGGGCUCGUUUUGAAAAUUCAGGUUCAUUAUUGUGUGCCUAACAAAAACGUGAAACACUUAAAAUCAAAGUGAUUACAUGUGGAGCCCACUCCAAAUAAAAGAAGAACGUGAAGCCCAUAAAUAAUUGAAGCCAGUCUGACGUGUCCAAAUGAAAUGUUCUGAUUGGAGAAAUAUUUUAAGUGACGUGGACACCCUAAAAACUCAGGAUAUUUGGCUUUUAGUAUUGUGAUAGUUGCAUUAACUUCUGGGAUCUUUGACUUCUUUUCUUCCCAACACUCAUUUUCUUGUCUUCCCCUUUUUUCUAUCCUUGACUUAUUUUUUCCUUUUCAUUUGCAUGUUUCAGAUCUGACUUCUUGGAGAAGAUUGUGGAGAACCAUUACACAUCACCACCGACGCUGUUUACAUUUACCAUAUUUGCAACUGAGUACUGUCAUUUGUUCCGGCCACCACCAUUGUCAUUUCUUCCACCAUCGCCAUUAUUGUCAUAUCUUCUUCUACCGACAUAAGUAUUUUAUAUUUAGAUUUAUUAUAAUUUCUUUUUAUUUCCGUCUGUAAUAUUUUAAUGAUUUAAAAUCGUUUUAUAUUUUCUAAUUUAUUAUUUUGUUAAGAUUAGAAUUUGGCCCAAUUUAACAAAGUAGCCCAAUAUGUAUAAGUCUCAAAUAUAUACAUUUGGAGUUAAUUCUUAGUGGACUGGACUUUAUAAACUAAAAUAAUGACAACGGAAGAAACGAAAACCCAGACGGAACACAAACAAAAAUAAAUGAAACGCAUCGUUUUUGGAAAUGGGACAGAUGUUGCUUCUAGGAUGCACGACUUAGUGACGUGGAGGCACAUGAGAGAGACAAACAAUACUUUAUAUAUAUAGAUACUCUCUCCGUUUUACAAAGAUAGACUUUAUAGCGUUUUCACACAUAUUAAGAAAACAUAUUAAUCACUAUAAUAAAUGUAUCAUUUUCUGCAAUUUUUAAUUUUCAAUAUCUUUUAACUAAUAGUAAUUCAAUAAAAUCAAUUAAUUUUCUUGAAGUUUACCUUUUAACAUAGAAAACACAAAAUAUCUAUCUUUGUGAAAGAAAUUAUUUUUUUAAAACAUCUAUCUUUUUAAAACGGAAGGAGUGUUAUUUAAUAUUUUUCAAGUAUUAAUAAUUUUAUUAUUUUUAUUAUAAUUGAUAAAUAAUUAUUUAUCUCACUUAGAUAUCUUUGAUAAAAUUUUAUAAUUUUACGUUUAUAUAAUUUAUUUAUAUUUAUAUUUCGGUUUAACAAUAUUAUACUUUUUUGUAUUUAUUGUAUAUAAAUAUUAAAAAUUACAAACUAUUAAUUAUGAAAAGCACAUAACAAAAUGAUACAAUUAUUUUAUGUUUUGAGUGUUUAUUUUAAAUUUAAUAUGCAUUUUAAUCUUAUCCAGCCUAUGUUAUUAAUUUUAUAUUUUAUAAAAUACUAAUUAAAAAUUUAUAGUAUUAAAAGUAAAAUAUAAAGUUCUAUGAUAUUUUAUUUUUAAUAAUAUAAAAUAUUGCCAUUUAAUGAUUUCUUACUUGAAAAUAAAAUAAAAAUAUUUAAUUAUGUUAAAUAAUUAAAAAUAUAAAUAAUACAGUAUAUUUAUGUUAAAUUACAAAUUUUAACUAAUUAAUUAUAAUAAUUGAGCUAUAUUAUUAAAUGAAACACAAUAACAUAUGUAUAUUAAAUAUUUGGUGUGAUGAAUAAUUUGGUGUAACACUAUUUAUUUUACAUCAAAUUUGGUGAGAUAGUGUAAUUUUUAGUGUUCCAUUGGAAAUGAACUUAAUUACACCAAAUUUGGUGUUUUGAUGUCUCAUUGGAGUUGGCCUUAGGGUUAGGUUUCAUGGGUUCAUAUUCAGUCUUUGCCAAAAUACGUUACUUGGUCCGCAAGACAUCGUUUUGCUCCCUCCCUAAGUUAUAUCCAACAUGAAAUGAUGAAAUCACUGAUGUUCUUAACGUUUUUUACUCUCAGGAAAAGUUGGCCGAUCGCGAUAUAUACGGAACAAGGAACUUGAUGAACUCUUGUGAGAAAUCAAGAAACACUGUGAAAAGGAUUGUUCUCACAUCUUCUUCGACCUCAGUCCGGUACAGUUAUGAUGCCACAAAAGCCUCUCCACUUAAAGGAUCGCAUUGGAGCGAUCUUGAGUACUUUAGAAGCUUCAGUGUAAGGAACCCUUCCUGACUCUUGUAUCAACUUUUGCCAGACUCAAGUCCGGUACUAUUUUGAUUAAUGGAAGUUUGAAAAUGUACGUGUGUAGAUCUGGUACGGUUAUGCAAAGACUCUAGUGGAGAAAGAAGCUUGGUUGAUCGCAGCCGAGAAGAAUCUAAACCUAGUGGUCGUAAUCCCUUCAUUUUGUAUCGGUCCAAUACUUAGUCCAAAACCCACAAGCUCCCCUUCAAUUUUUCUCUCUAUAAUCAAAGGUUAGAGACAAUCUUUCACUUUGAGGAUAUACAUUUCAGUUUCAUAAGUGCUGCUCAACUUCAGUUUCUUGUUUGAAAAGGUGUUCAUGGAGAAUACCCAAAUUUCAGAGGAGGGUUUGUGCACAUAGACGAUGUCGCUGCUGCACAAAUAUUAGCAAUGAAAGAGCCUAAAGCAUCAGGAAGAAUCAUAUGUUCGAGUUCAGUGGCUCACUGGUCAGAGAUCAUUGAGAUGCUGAAACCCAAAUACCCGUUAUACCCAUUUGAGACCAAGUCCAUGCAUUAUGCAUAUAUCCUCUACUUUACUCCCACUCUAUAUUUGACACUUGCAAGACAUGUUUUAAUGUUUUGCACAAAUAAAACUGUUUCAGGUGCGGUAGUGAAGAAGGGAGAGAUAUGCCUCAUAGCUUGGACACAAGAAAGAUACAUGAACUUGGCUUUCGGUCCUUCAAAUCAUUACCUGAGAUGUUCGAUGACUGUAUCAAGUGUUUCAAAGACAAGGGUCUACUCUGAAACCAAACCGCUAUCGUUAUCAGGAAAUCAAAGUGAUCCAGCUUAUGUUGAUCCUUUAAAGUUUAUUCAAACAUUAAAUAAUCUACUUGUCUUAUGAUUCUGCACUGUCAUUCCCAUUUUCUUGGAGUUUAGGAUUCGUCACUAGGUCUUGUAGAUUAUCUUUGGACAAAGUAGCAUAGAUGAUAGAUAGGUCGACUGAUAAUGUCACAUGUGUCUGUCCGUACAAAGAACGGUGAAAGAGGAUGUGUGAGAACUAUUCCACAAAAGUAGUCGAGCAUGCCGAGAGUCUCUCAUUUGGUUAUGUUUGUUCACAGUCACAAUCACCGUUAGCCUCCUUCAGAAGCAGGGCUGGCUAACUAGAGGGGACAAAUGAUGCGACCUCUGCGGGUUCAACCCCGUGUCUUCCGUAUAUGCCCUCGUAUAUUAAUAGUUAAAGGGUCCAUCUUAUUUAUAUAAAUGCACAUUUUUUACAUAAUGUUUUAAAAAAAAAUUGAAAAGGACCCAAAAAUAUUUUAAUGUAUAUAGUUUUGUACUUAUGUUUACAUCACAAAAUAUUACUGUUAAAUUUUUUAAAACAAAAAUAUAUAUUUAAAACAUUGAAAAUAUAAAUUUAAAAGUAAGAGAAUUUUUUUUUACCCUAGGACCCCUAACAAUAUUAAGUCGGCCUUAUUCAGAAGCAUAAAUGCAUUGUGAUGCAACUGAUUAUUGUGUAUAUCUACCUAAGUAUUGAAAAAUCAACCCUUGGCCUGACUAGUUAUAUUCCUACGUUGUAGAAACUUGAAAUCUCAGUGGUUAGAUUUUAUUUUCUGAUCAGAAUUAAGAGAGAGUUAAAAACCAACGCUUGUGGUCUAGUGGUGAUUAACUUGAGAGCAAAGCCCAAUACGGUGAAAUCAUUUGGGUUCGAGUUUCGGUUAGUGGAGAAUUAAAAUUUCUCCUAUAUAAUUCAGAAAAAAAGAAGAAGAGAGAGUUAAGAUCCUAAUAGACAUAAAAGGCCAAACCAACAAAGAAUAACACACAUAAGGCAACAUAGAAAAAAUGGAGAUUGAAGAAGGUAAAAGCCAACAUUCCUCGUGCGAAAAUGAAUUUUAGGGACGCUUUAGAAGCACAUGAACAUCUAAAGAAGAUUACAUAUUAAAAAUGUACUUCUAAGCUUUUCAAACAUAAAUGUUUCUUAUAAAAAUAUUGAAAACUUUUUGAAUAGUAUAUGUUUAAAUAUUUUUAGUUAAAUGAAUGAAUUUUGUCCUUAUAUGUUAUUUUGAAACAAAAAUGUAUUUUGAUGUUAUUUGAGACUAUUUUUUCAUAUCUAUGGUGUGUAUAUAUUAAUAUGUUUAUAUGCAGACUACUAGUUUUCUUUAAAUUAAUGAGAAAUCUUGUUAAUCAAUGAUUUUUAUUUCAUUUAUGUGAAUGAUAAAUUGGUAAAUUACCACUAUUAAAGUGUCAAAUAACUUGAAACCAACAGUCAUUAGCUCAUCUAAAAAUUACCGUCUUGGCCACUAUAUCAGAGGUAUUUGAUUCGAGUGACCGCUUGAGAUAAAACAAAUAUUACAUGAUGUGGUUUUGGACUUGAAGGAUUAUCCCGAACUUCGUGGUAUUUACAAAAAAAGACUAAAAACUUGGACAUGAAACUUUGGUUGCAUUUCAUUUAUAAAUUUACUAGGAGUUUUGCCCGCACAUACGGGCAUAAGCUUCUUAUUAAUUUAUGUCUUACUAAUCUAAAACUAACAUAAUAAAUUAUUAUCUAUGUUUUCAAAUAUUUAAAUUAAACAUCAAAGUAUUUAUAUAUGUCGAAUAUUUUUCAUCAAAAUAUAUACUUAUUAUUGUGUUAAAUUUUUUAAAACACUCAUAUUGUAGAAAUAGUUUAGAAAAUAUCUUAUAUAAAUUGUUUUGUUUGACGAAUAUUUAAUUAUAAAUGGUUUGGUAUCUUAAUUUUUUUAACUUUCAUAAUCAAAAAUAUUGUUUCCAGAUAACAACACAAUGUUUAUAAAAAUUAUCUUAUUUUUUAAUAUGUUUUUGAUAAUUUUAUUAUAUUAUUUUAUAAUCAAUUGUUUAAUAUAACAUAUAAAUUUAAUAUUAUUAAAAUUAAUUUUGUUUUGAAUUAUAUAUAAAACUCAUUAAGGGUAUUAUUUAAAUUAAGAAAUUAGUGAAUAAGUUAGAACUAAUAAGAAAUCAAUAACCUAGCCAAAAGUCUAAAAUCUAAUAAAAAUAUGACAAAUAAAAAAAUUAACUAAAUAUUUAAUAUAACAUAUAAAUUUAAUAUUAUUAAAAUAAAUUUUGUUUUGAAUUAUAUAUAAAACUCAUUAAGGGUAUUAUUUAAAUUAAUAAAUUAGUGAAUAAGUUAGAACUAAUAAGAAAUCAAUAACCUAGCUAAAAGUCUAAAACCUAAUAAAAAUAUGACAAAUAAAAAAUUAACUAAAUAUUUAAUAUAACAUAUAAAUUUAAUAUUAUUAAAAUAAAUUUUGUUUUGAAUUAUAUAUAAAACUCAUUAAGGGUAUUAUUUAAAUUAAUAAAUUAGUGAAUAAGUUAGAACUAAUAAGAAAUCAAUAACCUAGCCAAAAGUCUAAAACCUAAUAAAAAUAUGACAAAUAAAAAAAUUAACUAAAUAUUUAAUAUAACAUAUAAAUUUAAUAUUAUUAAAAUAAAAUUCGUUUUUAAUUAUAUAUAAGAUUCAAUAAGAGUAUUUUUUAAAUUAAUAAAUUAGUGACUCAACUAAAAAUUAAUAAUAAAUCAAUAAUUUAGCUUAAACCUAAUAAAACAUGAUAAAUAAGCAAAAUUGCCUAAAAUUAUGGAGAACAUGAUAAAUCAGAAAAUUCUUGAUAAUAUUUAAAGUUCAAUUGUUAAUAUUUAUUUAUUAAUUAAAUAUAUUUUUAAAUUUUUUUUUUAAAAUAGUAGUAUAUAUAUAUCAGUAGAAUAUGUUAAUGUUUAUUAAUUAUCUUAAAUAUUAUGAUAAAUAUAUAGAUAUAUAUCAACAAAAUUUUGAAAUAAUAAUAUUAAUUAAAGUAAUGACUUAUUCUAAAAUUAUGGAAAAGAUGACAAGUAAAUAUAUUAACUAAAAUCAUGGAAAAGAUGACAAGUAAGCAAAUUCACUUAUCAAAUAAUAGUAUAGAUUUUUGUCAGCAAAGUCGUAAUCACUAAAUCAUGGGCCGGCGACUCAAUAAUCAUGGGAUGUAUGGGCUUAUCAGUGCACUAACCUUUUUUUUUUGUCACAGAUCAGUGCACUAACCUCAGAGCGUCCGCAACGGAGGUACAUGCAGGGUCCUUAGCGUUUAAUCAUAGGUUAGGAAGAUUAUAAUAAUAGUUGUUUGGUUAAUAGGAGUAAGGAUUGAUACGUUAUUAAGGAUUUUUAGGACUUGAUCCUUAGGAUACGUGGCGUGUUUUGAAUGGAUGGAAGAGAUUUCGGUUUGGUUACGCGUAAAACACUGGUCAUUCUCGACCGAAGCAGAAAAACAAAAAAAAGUCCCGACGAAGAAAGGCGAUUGCUCUCUCGACAAAGCGAAGGCGAAUCCCGCGACGCCAGACGGCUAUUCCCGCGGCGGAACCCCUAACAAUAUUAAGUCGGCCUUAUUCAGAAGCAUAAAUGCAUUGUGAUGCAACUGAUUAUUGUGUAUAUCUACCUAAGUAUUGAAAAAUCAACCCUUGGCCUGACUAGUUAUAUUCCUACGUUGUAGAAACUUGAAAUCUCAGUGGUUAGAUUUUAUUUUCUGAUCAGAAUUAAGAGAGAGUUAAAAACCAACGCUUGUGGUCUAGUGGUGAUUAACUUGAGAGCAAAGCCCAAUACGGUGAAAUCAUUUGGGUUCGAGUUUCGGUUAGUGGAGAAUUAAAAUUUCUCCUAUAUAAUUCAGAAAAAAAGAAGAAGAGAGAGUUAAGAUCCUAAUAGACAUAAAAGGCCAAACCAACAAAGAAUAACACACAUAAGGCAACAUAGAAAAAAUGGAGAUUGAAGAAGGUAAAAGCCAACAUUCCUCGUGCGAAAAUGAAUUUUAGGGACGCUUUAGAAGCACAUGAACAUCUAAAGAAGAUUACAUAUUAAAAAUGUACUUCUAAGCUUUUCAAACAUAAAUGUUUCUUAUAGACGUCAAAAGAAAAACAUAAAUGUUUCUUAUAAAAAUAUUGAAAACUUUUUGAAUAGUAUAUGUUUAAAUAUUUUUAGUUAAAUGAAUGAAUUUUGUCCUUAUAUGUUAUUUUGAAACAAAAAUGUAUUUUGAUGUUAUUUGAGACUAUUUUUUCAUAUCUAUGUGUGUUUGCAGUAUCUUCCUAAGCGAGCUACGAGUUCUACUGCUUUGAACAAACAAUGCCAAGAGAUGAUACUAGUGAACAAAGAGGGAAACUCAUGGACUGCGAGUUUGCGAUUUAGCGAAUCAGGCGGCAUGUAUUACAUCACAAGGGGCUGGGGAAAGUUCUGUCGUGAUAACAGAUGCGACAUAGGAGACUUAUUUGUCUUCAAUCUGGUUGGAGAUGGGAAAACUACUCCCUUGUUGUGUGUAUGCCCGGAAAGUAAAGAGUGUUCUGAACUACUGAGCAAACACUUGAGCAGAAAGCGUGGUGAGUCUUCUCCAUUGCCUUGCUUGAGACGUCUUUAACUUGCUUAUUCUUUCUUUGCUUCUAGUUGAGCUUGCUUGUUUGGUUUUGUUCUGUAGGCGACAUUGCUUCAAGCUUAGCAUCGAUUUCGGGUUCUUCUGGUUUGAAAUUAGGAUUUCAAAAGGAGUUGGGAAUCAAUUCAAUACUGAUAUUGUUUACAUUCGUUUCUUGUUUGCAGAUGGCGAAUCCACAUGAACCUCAUUUCUUUAAGCCGCUGCUUCCUGGUUUCCAAAGUGGCGUCGUAAGAACCUCACUCUCUCUAUUUGUUUACAUGCGUUUCUUGAUUAGAUGUAUUUCUUGUUUGAUUAACUUUGCCUUUUCUUGUAGACAAUACCACUUGCCUUCUUCUCAAAGCACAUAGAAGGGAAGACGAACCAUAAAACAUGGAAACUAAUGCUAACUACAAUCUUGCUUCUCUUCAUUCUCUUCUCUUUUAUCUCUUGUUUAGUUAAUCUCAAUCUGUUUAGGAUCUUCCCUCUCACAAUUCACGAAUGUGUGAUCACACUUCUCACACACAAUCGUUAACCACAUGCGCUCUUUAUAUAUCAGAGCUAACUACAAUCAUUAAGUCGAUAACUACUAUCAUAAACCUUGAGCUAAACCGUCUAACUGAACCGGAUGCCUCCUCUUCAAUCUGACCGCUCAAUUGACAUAACCAGUCUUGGUUUAAGUUUAACCAACUGAUUUAACAUCACCAAAGCACUACAAACUACAAUUUCAGUUUUAAAAACAAAUUUCAAUUUCAGUUUUAAAAAAAAAUUAAUAAUAUUUUUUUUUCUUUAAGGACCCAUCUUCGGGAACACCAUUGGACGACCAUUUUUGAUUCGAAUCCUUAACUAUUCAAACAAAAACCAAAAAAAAAAAAUAUUACUAAAAUAUUCUUAAGGAUUUAAUGGUGAGGAUCACCAUUGCAUAUGCUCUCAUGUGCUUAUUGAGUCUUAAGUUCACUUGAGUUCUCGAAUUUAACCCGUCUACAUUCAGAUCAAACUUCUGAAAUAAUUGGUGCCAAUUUGUAAGUUUGUGUUAGAUAUCUAAUAUCCUAAAUAAAGCUAUUUGGUUGGCUGAGCAAAGAUAUCUUAUCUCCAAUUCAUAAGUUAAAAAAAAAUGAUGUACGAAUAUGGUUGACGACUUGACUUGUUGUCGGAAAUGCGUAGGAUCCAAAAAAAGUCAACCAGAAACAGAACUUGACUCUGAUUGUGAAUCCAGUAAUCAGAACAGAGGAACAGUAUUGAAUAAAUAUUAAAAUGGGAGAGUACUUGGUAACUGGAGGGACAAGCUUUAUAGCCUCUCACGUUGUAAAGGCACUUCUUGACUUGGGCCAUUCCGUAAGAACAACUGUUAGAGACUCCUCAGGUACUUUCAGAUCUCUCAUUUAUGUUUCAGAUCUCUCAUUGCACAAAUCUUAGCAAUGGAAGAGCCUAAAGCAUCAGGAAGAAUCAUAUGUUCGAGUUCAGUUGCUCACUGGUCAGAGAUCAUCGAGAUGCUCAGACCCAAAUACCCGUUAUACCCAUUUGAGACCCAGUACAUGCAUGCAUAUUUCCAUUCUUUACUCCACACUCUAUAUUUGACACACUUGUAAGACAUGUUUUAAUUUUGUGCACAAAUAAAACUGUUUCAGGUGCGGUAGUGAAGAAGGGAGAGAUAUGCCUCAUAGCUUGGACACAAGAAAGAUACAUGAACUUGGCUUUGGGUCCUUCAAGUCAUUAGCUGAGAUGUUCGAUGACUGCAUCAAGUGUUUCCAAGACAAGGGUCUACUCUGAAACCAAACCGCUAUCGUUAUCAGGAAAUCAAAGUGAUCCAGCUUAUGUUGAUCUUUUAAAGUUUAUUCAGACACUAAAUAAUCUACUUGUCUUAUGAUUCUGCAGUCUGCACUGUCAUUCCCAUUUUCUUGGAGUUUAGGAUUCGUCACUAGGUCUUGUAGAUUAUCUUUGGACAAAGUAGCAUAGAUGAUAGAUAGGUCGACUGAUAAUGUCACAUGUGUCUGUCCGUACAAAGAACGGUGAAAGAGGAUGUGUGAGAACUAUUCCACAAAAGUAGUAGAGAAUGCCGAGAGUCUCUCAUUUGGUUAUGUUUGCUCACAGUCACAAUCACCGUUAGCCUCCUUCAGAAGCAGGGCUGGCUAACUAGAGGGGACCAAUGAUGCGACCUUUGCGGGUCCAAACCCGUGUCUCCCUUAUAUUCCCGUAUAUUAAUAGUUAAAAAGCCCAUUUUUUUUAAUAUAAAUGCACAUUUUUUACAUAAUGUUUUAAAAAAAAUUGAUAAAUAAAAUUGAAAAAAACCCAAAAAUAUUUUAAUGUAUAUAGUUUUGUACUUUUGUUUACAUCACAGAAUAUUACUGUUAAAAAUUUUAAAACAAAAAUAUAUAUUUAAAACAUUGAUAAUAUAAAUUUAAAAGUAAGAAAUUUUUUUUUGGCCCUAGGAUCCCUAACAAUAUUAAAUCGGCCUUAUUCAGAAGCAUAAAUGCAUUGCCAUUCAGCUGAUUAUUGUGUAUAUCUACCUAAGUAUUGAAAAAUCAACCCUUGGCCUGACUUCUUAUAUUCCUACGUUGUAGAAUCUUGAAAUCUCAGUGGUUAGAUUUCAUUUUCUGAUCAGAACUAAGAGAGAGUUAAAAACCAACGUUUGUAGCCUAGCGGUGAUUAACUUGAGGGUGAAUCCCAAUACGGUGAAACCACUUGGAUUCGAGUAUCGGUUAGUGGAGAAUUAAAAUUUCUCCUGUAUAAUUCAGAAAAAAAAAAAAGAAGAGAGAGUUAAGAUCCUAAUAGACAUAAAAGGCCAAACCAACAAAAAAUAACACACAUAAGGCAACAUAGAAAACAUGGAGAUUGAAGAAGGUAAAAGCCAACAUUCCUCGUGCGAAAACGAAUUUUAGGGACGCUUUAGAAGCACAUGAACAUCUAAAAAACAUUACAUAUUAAAAAUGUAUUUCUAAGCUUUUCAAACAUAAAUGUUUCUUAUAGACGUCAAAAGAAAAACAUAAAUGUUUCUUAUAAAAAUAUUGAAAACUUUUUGAAUAGUAUAAUUUUUUCCAAUUUUUUUUAUUUUGAUUAUUUAUGUUUAAAUAUUUUUAUUUAAAUGAAUGAAUUUUGUCCUUUUAUGUUAUUUUGAAACAAAAAUGUAUUUUGAUGUUAUUUGAGACUAUUUCUUCAUAUCUAUGGUGUGUAUAUGUUUCUAUGCAGACUACAAGUUUUCUUUAAAUUAAUAAGAAAUCUUGUUAAUCAUUGAUUUUUAUUUCAUUUAUGUGAAUGAUAAAUUGUUAAAUUACCACUAGUAAAGUGUCAAAAAACUUUAAACCAAAAGUCAUUAGCUCAUCUAAAAAUUUCUGCUUUGGCCACUAUAUCAGAGGUAUUUAAUUCGAGUGACCGCUUGAGAUAAAACAAAUAUUACAUGAUGUGGUUUUGGACUUGAAGGAUUACAGGAUUCGAUCCCGAACUUCGUGGUAUUUACAAAAAAAUACUAAAAACUAGGACAUAAACUUUGGUUGCAUUUCAUUUAUAAAUUUACUAGGUGCGUAGCCCCGCGCAAGCGCGGGGACGUUGACAAAUGGAUGUAUUGUUGUAGUUUAAAAAUCAAAGUCUCAUACAUUGUUGAGCAACGCAAAACUAUAUGAAUGUAUGUUGUAGGUGAUAGAGUCGUAGUGUAUUAAGAAACGUAAGGAGAAAAGGUGACAGAGUAAUUGAGUGUGUAGUUUUCAUAAAUUAGUAUAUAAUUAAUGUACAUGAAAGUACGGGUGAAAUGUAUUGAAAUCUAGUGUACCAGGAAUGCUUUAGAAGAACACGGAAUCGAAGGCAACGUGAAUAAAACAGGUUGCAUUUUGUCUCAUAAAACACUAAAUCACGUCAACCCUUUUUAAUUAAUAAAAUAGUUGUUCUCCGAAGAGGUACGUAAAAGGCUUGUUAAAAAACCUGGAAAAAAGGAAAAUAUAUAAAAGUGAAACAUAGAAAAUGCAUAGUAAUAUUUGAUAUUGUAAAGAAACAGGAGCAGGGUUGGGUCGACGGUGUGGCAGCUUCGUAUCUUCACUCACGGGUGUGUGUAUUGCCAACCUCUUCUUCCUUAACUCCCUCUGGAUGUGUGUCAUCCUUUAGACCUUCAACUUCGGUGCUGGUAGAAGCAGAUGCUUGGCCAAUUUCCCUUUCAAUAAAUGGAGCUGCCUUGGGGUUGGAAGUCUGGAAAAGAGUUGAACAGUGAAAGUGGGGUUGUCUAGAGGGGAAGUAAACGGGGGCACACAUAUUUGGAAAAUAUUUUCCAGCAAAUUUUGCAUGGCAUUGUGGGAGUUGCUCGCUGCCACCACUAUUUAUCUGCAGCGGAUGUAAGAAUUGAGUUGAUUGGCAAUUGUUUUACAAUGUAAUAUUUUCGGGAAAAAUUGUCGGAGGUAAGAACACACCUCAUUUAGAGUAAGAGCAGCUGCAGGUAGGUUAGUGAGUUGAAGCAUUUCUCUGUCGAAGACCACAAAAGUGGCAUUAUCAUUUGCAUCAUCAACUUAUACUUCUACUUGGUACCUGUAGUGAAGAGUAACAUUAGUGAUCAGUAUGAGUAGGAUACUAUCUAAUAAUCAUACAUAUACAAUUUUGCUAUAAAAACUUCUUACUUUACAACACCCGUGGCGUUAAGAUUAACACAGCGGUUGCAAUGGGGAGACUGGUCUGAUUUGUCUAGUUUCCUGCUGCACCCAGUGCAUGAGACAUAGUACCAGUUGUUAUGCUUCAAGACCUCAACGAUCCUAAGUCUACAAAACCUGCAAAUAAUGAGUAUUUCGUGUAUUAUGAGUCUACAAAACCAGCGAAACAACAUUUUCAACAUAUAUACAAACUUGCAAAUUUUUUGGGAUUCACGGUUGUGACCACCAUAACAGUCUGGGUUCUAUCACCUGAGCUGAUGAGGCCCCUAAACAUUGCUGCAGCUUCGUCCCAUAAAGAGAGAUACACCACAACAGUCCUGUAAUACAUAUUGAAAUAAAUGAUGACUAUAAUGAUGCAAUAUGUUAAAGAGUUUAAUAGAUCAUGGCAAUGUAGACUUACGGUUCGAUGACGAAGCAGACCACAACUCGAGUCAUCACUUGAGCGUCCUUAAGGUCUGAACCUUGGACAAAAUGAAUUUUCCCAACAACAUCUGACAGGUGAUAAACAGAUUACUAUCUCAGUAACAAAUCAGCAGAAUUUACACAAAAUAACCCAACACAAAUACAAAACAAACCUGGGAGUUCAAAGCGUGAAACUUUAACGAUGGAACCACUUCGUAAACAUGGACGGUAGUGGGUGGUGCGAGCAGCAAGGAAAUCCAUGGAUCACGAAGUUCUGGAAACCAAAAUAAAUAUUUUACUUAAAUCAUUGGGCGUUGUCAGGAAAAAAACUAUGAUCCAAAAAUAAAAUGCGUGUUAUUAAAAUACCUUCUCAUCAAGGAGAAGUAGAGUGACUCCCAUGAAUUCACCAUGCUUCUUGAUGUUUUUGGAGUCCCAUAAACGGAGCAGAAGAGCAACAAUGAA
rnacentral:lncRNA from 1 species